UCCGAAAAACCCUAACCUCUGCCUCCUCUUCCUCUUAUCCCGGAAACCUAAAUUCCGUGACCCUAACCCCUUCUCUUUCCGAAAACCCUCCGGAAUCGGAAAAUUCAUAAUUCUUCAGAAUUAAUUUUCACCUCGAAGCCAAACCCUAACUGCCUCAUCUUCCUCUCAUUCAUAUCCCAAAAGUAGCUUCAACAGUCAGGCCUGUAGCCAUGAAAGCCGUAGUGAUCACUACUUCCGGUGAUCCCCAAGUUCUCCAAGUGCAAGAAGUCGAAAACCCUGAAAUUGGAGAUGAUGAAGUUCUAAGUAGAGUGGACGCCGCUGCCAUUAACCGAACAGAUACGCUUCAGAGGAAGGGCUUGCACCCUUCCUCAAAGGCGGCAGUCCCUACCCGGGUCUCGAAUGUUCUGGAAUCAUCGAAGCUGUUGGAAAAGCCGUCGUUCGAUGGAAGGUUGGCGAUCAGGUAUUUCAAUUGCCUAAUAUUUUGAUUUCGUUUCUGUUCCUCUGUUUUUCUCGGCUAUCAAACACUAGGAACGUGUAAAUAAGGAGGUUAGUUGAUUGCGAAAACGGGAAUUUUUUGUUCGUGUCUGUGUUAAGGAGUCUUUGUUGAGAAUUUUGGGGAAAUUUAUGAUAAGUUUGUGAUUUUAUGAUUAAUUUUGUGUAUCAAUAUAGGUUAAAUUAUUGAGCUUAUUGGUUUUCAAAUUUAUGGUUGUAAGAAAAUUGGUCAGUGUAAGGUUAUGGGAUCAUUACCAAUUUGCUUACUGAAAAUUUUUCCAGAUAUUGUGGACCGGUUUGGUAGCAGAAAUAAGAACUGUGUUUUGUUUUUCAAAACGGAAAUGGAUGCAGAAAACAUGUUUUUCUUUCAGAACUUGUUUCCGAAAAUAUUUCCUGAAAAUGAAUUAUUUCAGAACUUGUUUUAAAAAAAUUCAAACACUUUAUCAAUUUAAAAGGUUCUGAAAUGGACAUGUUCAUGGUCUUCAUUUUUUAAAAUUAAAGCUUUUAUGAAAAAACCAUUUUCCCUUCUACUAAACAAACAGGCUCUAUAUUGUAACAGAUCGAUUGGCCAUUUCCUUUGUCAUGUUUUGUGAAUCAUGGCAACACUGGAAUCCACUCCAUUACCAUCUGUUAGUGAUUAGAAGACAAAGCACCAAUUUUAAUGAUAUCCUUUAUGUGAUUUUGCUUCCUCCUGAGUACAAGUUCAUAGUAUACAUGGUACAUGGUGAAUCUGUAUGACAGUUCAUGGUAUACAGGUGUGUGCUCUUCUUUCUGGUGGAGGGCAUGCUGAAAAAGUGGCUGUUCCAGCUGGGCAAGUUCUCCCUGUCCUAUCUGGUGUUUCUCUGAAGGAUGCUGCUGGAAUUCCUGAGGUUGCAUGUACUGUUUGGUCAACUGUUUUAAUGAUGAGCCGACUGUCUGCAGGAGAAACAUUCCUGGUGAAUUUUUUGUCUUUUUUAUUUUCUGAUGCCUGAUAUAUUUACCAGCACAAAUUUACCCUGUUGCUGUUUAAUGUGUGUGCAUCAAUAUUGGAUUAGGGAGGUAGAAGAGCCAUGGUUCUAAUUAAAUCAUUACAUCAUCAUAUUCUUAUUUAGAUACAUUGUAUCCCACAAUUUCAUUGCAUCCAAGGCUAUGUUGUUUUUUAUUGCACGGUUUGUGUCAUGGUAAUUUCUCAACCCUUCUCUGGAAAAUUAUGUUGGAUGGCUGCUAUUAAUUACCCCAAAAGAAGAAAUUUUAUGUUGAAGUAAGAUGAGUAGCACAAAGAGUUACUUGUGGUUGAUCCUAUCAUCAAAUGGGCGAUUGAUGCACAAUCCAAAUGGUAAAUUUUUUUCCCCCUUUAUCCAGAUGGAAUUUUUAUGCAUGGUUGAAUAGUGAAAUGAGGACUGAUAAUAUUUCAGGUUCAUGGGGGUUCAAUUGGAAUUGGUACCAUCUAUUCAAAUAGUGAAAUACUGAGGAGCAAGGGUAUUUGUUACAGCAGGUUUGCCAUCACUGUUCUACCUCAUCUCACAGAAUGCUUAUCUCAUGGCACCAAUUCCUUUUCUUCACAUGUUUUCAACCAUUUUUUCCACCCAGGAACGAGGAAAAAUUAGCUGUUUGUAAGGAUCAUUGAGCAGAUGUGUGCAUCAAUUACAAGACUGAAAACUUUGUUGCAUGGGUGAAGGAGGAAACAGGAGGGAAAGGUAUAAUCUAUUGUAUCUUAACGAUAAUUUCAAUUGAAGGUGGAAUUGCUUUUUAAUUUUUAGUGCACCAAAUCCACUAGUCUGGAAUGUUUGAAAAGAUAAAUAGUCAUCUUCCACUUGAUACCGAUUGUGAAGAUCUAACCCCAAAAAUGUUGAAUGACAGGUGUUGAUGUUAUACUGGAUAAUAUUGGAGGGGCCUACUUUUGGGGAGACAUCAAUGGUUUAAAUGUUGAUGGAAGGCUUUUUAUUAUUGGUUUUCAGGGUGGAACAGUGGUACAAGUAAAUCUUUCAGGUUUACUUGCAAGGCGCCUUACAGUGCAAGGUACCGCUUUCUCUGUAGUUUUGGAGUUGAAUCAAUUUGAUUAAUCUCAUCCAAGUUCAGAACUGAGGUGGAUUCUGGCAAGCCAAGGAAAAACCAAAUUACCAUAAAUUCUUUUUUUCUUGGAAAUCCUGUUUCUCAAUCUGGUCAGUAUAUGGAAAUUCCAAGGAAAAUAUGUUUUACAUUUUCCAUAAGGCUCAAUGGGUUUUAACUCCACUCAGCUACUUUAUGUCUUGUAUUUAAUAUUGCAAACCAAAAUAAUAAUACGUAGAGAUUGAGCUUGGAGGCCAAUCUAGCAAAUGUGGAGAUUAGAAAUAGUUUACCAUCUAGAUAGUCAAGCAUAGCAAUUUACCAAACCCUUACCAACCAUCCAUACUAACCAAUUGUGGUUAAAUGUUUACAAAAAUGUACAUUAAAUCAAAGAGAAAAAAGAUUAAAAACGAACAAGAGAGAAGAAGUACGUCACCUAAUUUUGGUAAUAAAUGAAAUUAAAAUAAAUUCAUAAAUUUUUUAAAUUAAAAUGAAUUUGAACUCUAGAGAUUUGUGUAGAUAUCUUAUUAAAAAACCAAAAAGUUUGUUGCAUAUAUAAUUUCAACAAUGCAUAAAUAAUUACAACAUACGCAAUACAAUAAUAUUACACAACUAUAUUUUCAAAUAUAGUAUAAGAUCAUUAAAGUGAUAAAUUGUAGUUGUAUAAAAUAUUUAUACAAGUAAAGAAGAAAUUAUGAGAUUGAAAUGCUUGUUGGAUUCUAAGUAAAAAGGAAAUGAGAUAUAGAGAUUGUCCCAUCAGACAUAGAAUUUCAUAUACAUAAUUUUCCCUUCAAGAAAAUUUAGGGUCAAAUUGAAAAAUUUUCAUUCAUAGAUUUUGGUAAAACCUCUAUCUAGUCCUCCAAAUCUUGUAUACAAAAGGAAAUAACAUUGGUAUGAGGGGUUUGAAUGCUUAAUUUUAGAUUGAAAAUGCUUGAGAUAAUUUUUGAUCGACUUCACAUGUGUUUUUGAUAAACUUGGAACAUUCAAACUUGUAUUUGAAGAAUCUUCAAAUCUUCAAUUUGAUCUUAAAUAAUGUUGAAACCUUCGAAAUUUGAAUAGAAGAAUCUUUAAGCAUUUGAAUUUUGGUUUAAAGAAUUUUGAAAUUUGAGAUUGAAGAAUCUUCAAAUUUGGGCCUGAAGAUCAAAGGCUAAGCUUGAAGAGUUCUUGAAGCUUGAGUGGUAUCUCCGAUUUUGUUUUGUAUUUCAUAAAAACUUUUAAGUAUACUAUAUUUAUAGGUUUGAAGAGACAUUGAGAUUUUGUAUACAUGUUUGGAGUUUUAAACCUUGAAAUAUUACUCUUUUAUGAAAUUAACAUUUAUAAAAUUUGGAAGAACAUAAUUAGAUAAUAUUCUAAGUUAUUUUUAAUGAAAAUUGAUAAUUACCUUUUAAUUAUCAAAUUCACUAUUUCUAUUUAUUUUUGUAAUAUAUAUUAAUUACUAAAAUCAUUUAUUUCCUUUAUUUAGUUUGAAAGCAAUUAUAUAUCUUUUGUUUGUGUAGAGCUCAUGUGACACGACAAAUUUUAUUUUGUAACUUGCUCUGGAUGAAUGGCCAUUAUAAACUUCAUUUUAUCCUCAUCUGAUUUUGAGGUGGGAAUAGGAGAGAUGAGGAUUUGACAUUUGGACCUAAGCCUCAGAGGGUUUUAACUCCACUCAACUACUUUAUGCCUUGUAUUUAAUAUUGCAAACCAAAAUAAUAACAGACAUGAUCCUUUUCAAAAUUUUUAUAAUAAUAGAAGUGUAAAUAAUAUAAGUAAAAAUAAUAUAAUAUUUUUUAAAAUGAUAAAAUAAUAGGUUAUAUAAAUUUUAAUAUAUAGGUAAAAUUAAUUAAAUUUUAACAAAUACCUUCACACUUAAACAUUACAUAUCUUUUAUUUAAUAAAAUGUUAAAAUAUUAAUAUAUUUAAAAUUGUAUAAUUAUUUUUUAUUUUAAUACUAUAUAAAUUAUAUAUUUAUGAUAUUACUGGUUCAACUAUAAUUCAAUCACUGAUCCAACCAUUGAACCAUGAAUUAGUAAAUUUUUUUAUUCAAUGAUAGGUUUGAUUCUAAAAAUAUUAUGACUAUGUUUGGUUCCAGAAAUUUUUUUUUGAUGGAUUACAUCAAUCUAGAUAAUGACAAAGAUAUUACCAAUUUGAUAUCACCAAUUGAUAACACAAUUAAAAAAUAAUAUGCAUUUUAACAUAUUUGAAUUCAUUGUACUCAUAUCCAUGACCUAAUUUUACACAUCCUUAAAUCAUGGUUGAUUUAUGAAACAAAUCUAUACCAUCAAUAGAAAAUAAAUAAAUAAAAUAAUACAAAAAAAUAUAUAGAUAGUCAAGCAUAGCAAUUUACCAAACCCUUAGCCACCAUCCAUACUAACCAAUUGUUGUUAAAUGUUUACAAAAAUAUACAUUAAAUCAAAGAGUAAAAAGAUUAAAAACGAACAAGAGAGAAGAAAUACAUCACCUAAUUUUUGUAAUAAAUGAAAUUAUAAUAAAUUCAUAAUUUUUUUAAAUUAAAAUAGAAAUUCAAAUACAUGUAACUAUUGUUUUUGUCUUGUAAAUCAUCCAAUUUUUCAAUGAAUUUAAACUCCACAUAUUUGUGUAGAUAUCUUAUUAAAAAAAACAAAAAGUUUUCACUAAAAUCAUAAAAUUUAGAUUAGAAAUGAUUUACUAUAUUAGUUCAAAAUUCAUCUCCACAAAAAUUGAAAUAAAUUAAUUAUCUUGAUCAAUUCAAAUAAAAUUUCUCCAAUUAAAUUUCCAAAUAUGUGCCUUAAUACCUAUAAUGGAAUUAGUAAUUUUAAUUAAAAAAUAAAUAAAAAUAAGGAUUUGAUCUUUUUCUUACCAUUUGAUGAAAAUUAUAAAAUAUACUAAAAUGACAAGUGAUCAGACAUUUGAAAUUUGCAUCAUUUCUACCAUUGCAAACACCACCAACUCCAUAUUUCCCAUUUUUCUACCUACUGCCAAUUCACUCAUCUCUCUGGGAAGAUUUUUGAGGUUAUCGCCAUGCUUGAGAUAAUCCAGAAAGUUGAGCGGCAUCACUCUCUGAAAGGUGCCUUACAGCAUGGGUAAUGUAUGGGAUACAUCUGAUAGCUUGCCAUAUCCAUAAACCACUAUAUUAAACCAUGGUUCAUAUCCCCAACGCCACACGAGAAUCUGUACUCAUCCCAAGCAGCUUGGAGAUCAUAAAAUUAGGUUUUGAGGGCCUCCCGAGACAUGCACAGCUUCACCUUUGUGCAUUCCUUUGAUUUGGAAAAUUUCUUCUGUAAAAUCCCCCAUUAUCAUGCCCUGAACCAAGACAAUUUCACAAUAUCCAAUAGCAUAUCAUUUACUUCCAUUUUGUCAAUGGGAAUUACCAUUUUGCAUGGGAAGCACCAACGGAGAUAGGGGUUUUCAAAUUGGAUCACUAGCAAAGAAACCCACCGCAACGAUCUGAAUAAUUGAGCACAACAUCCACUUUAGAGAACCCCUCCUGAAGGCGAAAUCGUCAUCUUGGCUAAACGUAGUCAUAGUUGGGUUGUGAGAAAUGGAGAUGAAUCACAGAAGGCUUUCAGUUUGAUAGCAACGAAAAGGUAAAUGUACUCUAGAGAAGUUUUGACCUUGGGAGAAGCGCUUUUGAAUCCAAGUCAAGGUCUGUUCUGGAUCCCUUUUCGACUCUCUCUAUUAAAGGAAGAUAAUCUGCCCAGGAUUUGGAUGCAAGCCUACAAGGCCAUGUUUAGGAGACUUAUGCAAAAUAUUUAUCCAUAGCUCCCCGCCUGAAACAUCUACAUAAAGCGUCUUCCAAGUGUGAACCAUCGUCUUGGGUCCUUGAGAUGAACAAAAACUGAGACAUGUCGUGAGUUAGAUGCAUUGCCUGAAAAUGCCGAGCAGUAGUAUGGCCUUCUUUCUGAUCAACUGUUUUGUCAAAUUCUAGAGCUCUCAUUCCAAAUCCAUCAGUUUUCUCAAAUGAUUGGCCAGUGGAGAUCCAUGGAUAUAACAUAUGAAAUGUGCACAAUAAAAGUAAUCAAACGGUUGGUUGGUUUGGCUGAAUCCCACAAUCGCAAAGACUUAUCAUAUGAAACUGUUACCAACUGAGUUGAAUUUGGCCUAAAAAGGAUAUCCGUUACUACAAACUAGCGUUCUUUCGUGGUGCUCUCUCUUUGCAGGCUAUCCAUGUUCCAAAGAAAAACUCUCUUGUCAUGUCUGGCACUGGGCACUGAUUAGAGUGUGGGACGUUCAUUCUCCAUUAUCACCAAACACAUGCAGGAUAUAUAUAUAUCAAUUCAUUCAAAAUAUGCCUUUAUUUUAUGGAACAUACCCGAAUCCAUUUUGUUUGUGUUGAAGAGGUAUAGAUCUUCUAAGGCUAUGGAGGGCACCACCUUUUCUCAGAAUUCUCUCUGACGAUGGGAAGCCGAAGAGAACGGGUUUUGUUUUUAUUUUGAAAACGUUGUUAUCCUUAAAGAACAAACACUAUUCUUUGGAUUUAUACCCUCCUACCUUAGGGACCAUACCGUUUGGCUACUGGGCCUCACGAGUCUUAGGCCCAUCAUCUAAGGCCCGUGAUGGCACUGGGCUCUACACAUAAGGUGGCCCAUACUCUAGAACGAAUAGAAAUCAUAUGUAUAUAUAUGGAUAGCUAAAUCCUGAAUAAUGGUUAAUAUGAUGUCGGUCCACAUUUAUUCUAUCAAUCUCCCACUUGGACCACAUAUAUUACAAAACAAUGUUCAUGAUAGUACUUUAUUGAGCUCAUCUUUGCUAUCCUAUCUUAAUAUCCUUAAACAAUCUGGUCUACUAGUUAUGCUAACAUAGGAUCAAAGUGGCCUUCAUUAAUCAUAAUUAUAACUAGACCCAUCAAUGAUCACAACAUUAACAAAAUUAGCAACAUAGAUCAAGUAUGGAUGUGUAGCAUGAAAAUUACAUAAAAUGUGAUCUUUAUUAUGUCUAUUUCCAAUUGGUCCUACUUUAUGACUAAAAAAUAGUCAAAUUCCACUUUCAACACUUGAUGCUAAACUGCUUCUGAAAGUCAUCAUUUCAAUUCAGAGAAUUCAAAUACAAUAGUCUUUAAAAUCAAGGUUUGUUGCGUACAUUAUUGGAAUGUUCAGCAAAUAUUUGAGUAACCCAAGUAUGGAUUACUGGAAAAAGGCAAAAUAGGUUAUGCGGUAUUUACAAAGAACUAAAGAUUAUAUGCUCACAUACCGUAGAUCCAGUCAUUUAGAGAUCAUGGGAUAUUCGGACUCCGAUUUCGCGGGAUGUCUUGACAACAAGAGAUCCACUUCAAGCUUCAUCUUCAUGUUGGCUAGAUGAACAGUUUCAUGGAAAAGUGUUAAACAAAUACUUAUUGCUUCUUUCACCAUGGAGGCAGAAUUCAUAGCCUACUACAAAGCAUCAAACCAUGGGAUAUGACUGCGGAAUUUUGUCACUCAGUUGCGAAUCGUUGAUGAGAUUGAGAAAUCAUUAAGAAUAAAUUGUGAUAAUAAAGCCAUAGAAUUGUAAUUCUAAGAACAACCGAAGUUCGUCAAAGUCCAAACACAUUGACAUCAAGUUCUUGGUUGUGAAAGAAAGAGUUUAGAGUCUUCAAGUAUCAAUUGAACAUACAAGCACAAACUCCAUGAUUGCGGAUCCGCUCACUAAGGGUUUGCCACCCAAAGUAUAUCAUGAGCAUGUCACACAUAUGGGUGUUGUACAUAUUGAUGAUGUUCCAGUAUAGUGGGAGUUUGUAUUUAGAUUUUGUGUUUGUUUUCUUGAUAUGAUGUUAUAUUGUGUUAUCGUGUACAAACUUGUGCAUACAUGAGACUUCCUAUUGUUGAGGCAUAGGGAAACCUCUUCAUAUCCUUCUUUUUAAGUUCAUUUUUCGGACAUUGGUGCAAACUAAAUUUAUCGCCUUUUGCUACAGGCAUGUCUCCUGGUGUACAAUUGCUCAUGCCAAAUCUACUCAACACCUUAUCGAUGUAGGCCUUUUGUGAUAACCCAAGUAUACCUCUUAAACGAUCCCUAUAGAUCUGUAUACCUAGCAAAAAAGAUGCAUUACCAAGAUCCUUCAUGUCAAAUUUACUAGACAAAAAUAGCUUAGUUUCAUGCAAAAGUCCCACAUCACUACUUGCAAGUAGAAUAUCAUCAACAUAUAGCACCAAGAUAAUGAAUUUGCUCCCACUAAACUUGAGAUAUAUGCAUUGAUCAAUGGUGUUUUCCUUAAAACCAAAUGAAGUAAUCACCUGAUUAAACUUUUGGUACCAUUGUCAAGAUGCUUGCUUUAAACCAUAUAUGGACCUUUUUAAUCUGCAUACAAGUUGCUUUAAAUCAUUAGACUCAAAGUUCUCCGGUUGCAUCAUGAAUAUUGUUUCAUCAAUGUUACCAUUAAGAAACGCAGUUUUAACGUCCAUUUGAUGCAACUCUAAAUCAUAAUGAGCCACAAGUGCCAUGAUGAUUCUAAAGGAGUCAUUUGACAAAACCGAUGAAAAAAUCUCCUUAUAAUCAAUGUCUUCCUUUUGAGUGAAACCUUUUGCGACUAGACGUGCCUUAUACCUAACAAUGUUGCCUUUUGAAUCCCACUUGGUCUUAAAAAUCCAUUUACAACCAAUCGAUUUUACACUUUCAGGCAACUUUACUAGGUCCCAAACACCAUUAUCUUUCAUUGAUUUCAUCUCAUCUUUUAUGGCUUCUAUCCACUUUUCAGAGUCAGAACUUUGUUUGACUUGACUAACUGAAAUUGGAUCAUCUUCCAAACCCAUGUCAAACUCUUGUUCCUGGAGAUGUACAACAUAAUCAUCUGAAAUUGUACUUCUCAUUUCUCUAGUGGAUCUCCUUAGUGGCACUUGUAUUUGAGGUUCUUGAGGCUGUUGAGUUACCUCUUCAUAAACUUGAACCGGUUCCAUAACUUGAGCAGGAGGAAUCUCAAGUGUGUUUUGAAUCUCUGUUAUUGAUUGUACAAUCUGGAUAGUGUCAUCAAACAUAAUAUGACCAUGUCCAGUCGUAAUAAUAGGAAUACUAACAGAUUCCUCUUCAAAUACCACAUUUCUUAACGGUUCUCUCCCAUUUAACUCAACAUCCUCAAUAAAUUUAGCUUUGCCCGUUUCAAAAAAGGAUCUAGUUGAGGGGUCAUAAAACUUGAAACCUCUCAACCUUUUAGAAUAUCCUACAAAGUAGCAGCUCACUAUUCUAGAGUCCAAUUUCUUUUCAUUUGGUUUUUAAGGCCUAUCUUCAGCUGGACAACCCUAGACAUGCAAGUGCCUAAUACUAGGUUUCUUGCUAGUUCAUAACUCAUAUGAGGUUUUGGCUACUGCUUUGCUUGAGACUCUAUUCAAAAUAUAAAUUGUUGUUUUGAUGGCUUCGCCCUAAAGUGAUUCUGGUAAGGUGGAAUGACUGAUCAUACUUCUUACCAUAUCCUUAAGAGUACGAUUUCGCCUAUCUGCUACACCAUUUUGGAUUGGAGUCCCCAGCAUGGUGUAUUGAGGAACGAUACCACACUCCAUCAAAUAUUUGGCGAACAGCCCUGGACGUUGUUCACUAGAUCCGUCAUAUCUACCAUAAUAUUCACCUCCACGGUCAGAUCUGACGACCUUUAUUUUCUUGCUUAGUUGGUUCUCAACUUUAGCUUUGAAAUUCUUGAACACAUCUAAUGAUUGAGACUUCUCAUGAAUCAAAUAAAGAUAGCCAUAGCGCGAGUAAUCGUCAAUGAAAGUGAUAAAAUAUUAUUGUCCAUUCCAAGAAGGGGUAGGAGAUGGACCACAAAUGUCCGUAUGUAUCAAUUCAAAGACGUCACUGCACUUGUUAACAUCAUUUUUUUUCUCAUAUUUGUUUGUUUACCCUUAAUAUACUCUAUACAGACUCGAAAGUAUAAGAAAUUAAGUGGAUCAAGAAUUCAUUCUGACACAAGCCUUUGAAUACGUUGAUUUGAAAUAUGACCCAAAUGCCUGUGCCAUAACAUCGAUGAAUUCUCAUUUGUUAAUUUCCGUUUAAUGUCAUAAUUACUUGAAUUCAAGGUUUCAUUUUCAUUAGUGGUCUUUAUGUUUAAUUUGUAUAAUUUGUCUGUUAGAUUACCUGUACCAAUAACAUUUGAAUUUAGAUAAAGACUAACCAUUCCAUUUCUAAAUGAACAAUAAUAUCCAAAGUACAUCCAGAGUCUAACUGUAAUCUAAAAAGACCAAUAGUCUUGACUGCAACCUUGUUGCCAUUUCCCGCAUAGAUGUAUCUUUCACCAUCAAUUGGCAUUCGGCUCCUUAGGCAACCCUACAUCGUGACACUUAUGUGAGUAGUUGCACCCGUAUCUAUCCACCAAGUGUCAGUAGGCACUACGACUAAAUUAAUUUAUGAACAAACAAAGUUGAGAAGUGUACCUUUCUUUUCACGCCAAGCAGCGUAUUUGGUACAUGUCUCUUCAUAUGACCAACCUUCUUGCAAAAGAAACAAGUCAUCUCCUUAUCUUGUUUCUUCUACACCUUUUGCAUUGAUGUCCCAAAAAUUGCAGUUUGUUUUUCUUUAUUGUCCCUUUUUCUUUUCUUGUUGGUACCAAAUCCCUGAGAUGUGGAAGCCAAGUGAGCACUUUCUAUCUUUUCUUGUUUCAAUCUCUCAUCCUUUUGUGCACAUUGAGCAAUAAGCUCAUUCAAAGUCCAUUUUUCUUUUUGUGUGUUGUAACUGAUUUGGAAUGGACUGAAUUGUGUAGGCAGAGAGAUCAAGACCAAGUGCACGAGUAUGUCUUCUGAAAACUCUAAUUUUAGUACCUUUAGUCUAGUCACAAGAUUAGACAUUUCCAUAAUAUACUCCCUUAUAUUCUCUUUCCCUUUGUACCGCAUAGAGACAAGCUUACUAAGAAUAGUGCUUGUCUCAACCUUUUCAUUUGUAGUGAAUCGGUUUGCUAUCUGGUCUAAGAAUGCCUUGGCUCGAGUUUUCUCAGGUAUUGCACUUCUUACAGCUUUUGGAAUUGAGUGCUUUGUUAUCAUUAGAGUCAUGCGAUUGGAUCGCUCCCAUUUUUCCAUAGUAGAACUUUGCUCAGCAGUGCUGGCACUAGUAAGAUCUGGAGGGCGAUCCUCUCUUAAUGCAUAGUCUAAAUCCAUGCACCCGAGCACAAUUAUAGCGUGUUUCUUCCAUUUCUUGAAGUUUGUGCCAUUAAGUGCAGGAAUGUUAUUAACAUUUGCAGAUAUAGAAUAUGUUGAAUUCAUAAUAAUAAAGCUCACAAUCAGUCACAUAAAUAUCAUACAUACAUGAAAAAUAACAUCAUACAAGAUACUUAGCACAAACAUUAAUAUUCUGUCUUUGGACAAUAAAUAUUAACUUGUAAUUGGUAUCCUUAUUCAAAAUUAUUCAUAAAUAUUGACAAUAAAACCAAAAACAAUAUGCUUGUCUUUAGACUAACAUAUCGAAUGCAAGAUAAACUUUAUAUGUCACAUAUUUAUGACUACUUUAUUUAUUAUUAUAUUAAAAUAAUCUUCCUUUGGGCCAAUUAUUUUAAAUAAUAAUAAUAACAUGUUUAGAUAUUAUAAAAUAAAUAAAUUAUAUAAUAUAAGUUACUUUGACAACUAACAUACAUAAUUCAUUUAUUUUAAAAUAUUAAACACAAACAUAACAAGAAAUAAUAAAUUCAAUUAAAAUUAUUUAUUUAUUUAUGCAUAAACCCAUGUAUAUAUAUAUAUAUAUAUAUUAAUUGAAGCAUAAAAAACCAUCUACAUGUGUAUAUAUAUCAAUUGAAGCAUAUAUACAAGCUUUAGUCUAAUGGUUUAAGCAAAAAAUAGGCCAUGGUAAAGGGUUUAAGCCAACCCGCCCCUUUAGUUUGGUUUUUGUUUUUUUUUUUUUGUUUUAAUUUCUUUUGGGCUACUGACCAUGCAUUCUCUCAUGGCCCAACGACCACUUAUGGUCACUUACAAGCCAAGCCCCUUCCAUAUAUAUAUAUAUAUAUAUAUGUUUUUAUUUAUUUAUUUAAAUUUUGUCCAUUGCAGCCCAAAGCGACCAUCCCUUGUAAUGGCAUCAUCAACGGUGCCAGAGCUGUCCUCGAACGACACCGAUAGUGAAACGCUGCCACCAUCACCGGAACGGUGAUUUCCCAUCGCCAAACGACGGUGUCACUACCGGAAUGAUGCUGUAACAGCAUCGCUGGGAAGCAACCUAACUUGUGGCGUGACACCAUGACAAGCAAUGCCACUAGCAGUGAAACGCUGUCGCCAUCACCGAAACGGUGAUUUUCCAUUGCCAAACAAUGGCGCCACCACCGGAACAACGUUGAAACAACAUCACUGGGAAGCAGCCCUACCCGUGGCACCAAAAUGGCGCUUGGAUGGCAUUUGGAACACUUGCAACAACGUUCAAAUCAGCGCUUCUCACUGGCAAAUGACGCUUGAACGACAUCUGGAAAUAAUGCCUACAACGCCUAAAAAUUGUGCUAUUUUGAACUCUUAAAACAACGUUGAAAUGACGUCUACCAAAGUCUGGAAUUGCACCGCUGUCUAGAACGAUGCCAUGAUGGUGUCUCACUCGCCUUAAAUGGCACCAACCACCAUGACUUGCAACCUAAAAAAUGGCACUUGAACAGCGCCUGAAGCGUGCCUGGAACGACGCUACAAACGAUGCCUGAAAUGGUGCCUUUUGUAUGCCUGAAAACGACAUAGGAAUGACGCUUAAACUACGUCCAUUUUGAACGCCUGAACGGUGUCCUAACGGCGCCUGAAACGAUGCCUGAAUGACGCCUGGAAUUGGCCCAGAUUUAUUUUAUGUUGUUUCCUUCCUCUUGGAUCUUUUGUUUGUGUUUUAAAAAAAAAAAUGUUUUGGUGAAAAUGGGAAAUGCAACCAGGCUCUGAUACCAUUUUGUGGGACGUUCAUUCUCCAUUAUCAUCGAACACAUGCAAGAUAUAUUUAUAUAUAUCUAUCAAUUCAUUCAAAAUAUGCCUUCAUUUUAUGGAACAUACCCGAAUCCAUUUUGUUUGUGUUGAAGAGGUACAGAUCUUCUAAGGCUAUGGGGGGUACCACCUUUUCUUAGAAUUCUCUAUGACGAUGGGAAGCCAGAGAGAACAAGUUCUAUUUUUAUUUUGAAAACGUUGUUAUCCUUAAAGAACAAACACUAUUAUUUGGAUUUAUACUCUCCUACCUUAGGGACCAUACCCUUUGGCUAUUGGGCCUCACGAGUCUUAGGCCCAUCAUCUAAGGCUCGUUAUAGCACUAGGCUCUACACAUAAGGUGGCCCAUACUCUGGAAAGAAUAGAAAUCAUAUGUAUAUAUAUGGAUAGCUAAAUCAUGAACAAUGGUUAAUAUGAUGUCGGUUCACAUUUAUUAUAUCAUAGAGACUUCCCAUAUGAAGAAAAUCGACAGCAGGUAGCUUUGCCAUUCUUAGUCUGUAUACAACCAACCUUAGCAAGGAUUGAACCCUUUUAUGCUUAGUUGUGCCAUAAAGAUCCUUACCACUGCCUAUAACAUGUAAUCAAAAUGAUUCGAUAAUAUCAUCUAGUGAACCAAUACCUCCAAAUGAGAGACCAUUGCCUUGGUAACUAGGGCUCAUGACUGAGAAUUGCUUGAACCCCUUUGCUUGGGUUGGAGCUUGACUGAUGCACAAAAUAUUCAUAGGCCUCUUCCCAUAACUGGCACCUUGUGUUUGCAACAUAAUUGAACAUGUAUUGAAGUGAGUUUUUUUGCAUCUUUUUGUAAGAAAAUUCUAAACAACAGAGAUUGCUUAGUGUGCCCGGCUCCUCGGGGAAUCAAGGUUCAUUCCUGUAGGGCCAAUUUUUUCACAGUCGAACUAGAUAACAUGGAGAGUAUGUUGCAAUGCUUCAACGGGGUAUUUCUUAGGAAAAUCCACCUGAAGCUAGUACAAUUCGUUGGCGUACUGAGUUCCUGGAGCUCUAUUGACUUCAAUCACCCAUCUUUGUAGAUUAUCGGUGACUUAUGCUCGGAUCCUGUAGGAGGAUUGACCUGACAUUCCACUAGCUCUUUCUGGAAGGCGAUCUUGUUUAACACCUUGUGAGAAGAGGCAAGGGAACUGGUCAUUGUUUCUUCGAGAAGAUCAGUGGCCGAGGAUGGGUUUGGAUCAGAAUUGCUAUAUGGGUUUUCUUUGGGUGAACCAAUUAGUGAAGUGGGUGGCUAUAUAGCAACUGAAGGGUAGUCAUACUAACGAGGAACUAUUAUUUCAUGCAUGUGGAGAGGAAAUGAGUAGAUUCUUCAGGGAUAUAUGAUUAUUCAUCUCUAGCUUACGUUGAAUAUCUCCUAACAAAUUUAUGCUUUGAAGCUCCCUUAGUUUCAUUACAGCUAACUUGGCCAACUUGGUUUCAUCAUGUUUCCUACAACCUCUAAGCAAAGCACGCCAGAUCACCAAAUCAGGUUCUAUUCGCAUUUUGUCCAUAAACUCCUUUGCCUAUUGACAAUAGACUGCCCCUCAAAAUUUGAUGAGAUAACAUCAACGCUGACAGGUUGGCCAUCCCCAUAAGCAUCUUUAUAGAGAUUGAUUCUAUGUUUAGAUAUUUCUCUCUCCUCAAGUGAGUUCAAUUUUUUUGUAACAUCCUUCUCCUUCUCUACUAAUAGUCUUAGCUGAACAUCCAACCUAUGUUCCUAAAGUGCCAGCAUCUCAUAUCUGAUGACAAGCCAACAACCUUGCCCUUGCUGAGACCAAUGUUUUUAAGGCGUUUGUGGGGCGCGCCUUGAGGCGAGGCGCAGCGAAAACGUGUUGAGGCGUUAAAAAUAAAAUGAAACACCUGAAAGGCGUACGCUUUUCCGAUGAGGCGUGAUUGAGGCGUGCUUUGAUCGCGCCUUUCACACUCCAAGAAGAAGGUGUAUGCUUCCUCGGAUCUGAUGUGGCAAUGAACAGAGAUUUAAAAAAAAACCCUAAGUAAUCCCUAAAACCCUAGUCCCGACUGAAAACAAACCCAAAACGAAACCCUACCUCCAACGACUCAAGUGGCGACGGAGUGCUCACCCUCGGCUGCGACCAAUCGCAAUGCAUCUUCUCCGGCGACGAUCCCUCUCAUUCAUCUCCAGGUAUGUUGCGAACUCCUUCUUCCAUGGUUUCUCCCUCUUCGUUUCUCUUUCUGCAAUCCACACGGGCUUCGUCGACUCUUCAUCCAAAUUUUUUUUUUAUCAAAUCAGUUAUGUAUAUCUAUUUAAAUUUUAAACCCUUUUUUCUCUCUCUUACAGUAUAUCUAUUUAAAUUCUUUCUCGGCAAUCCACAGCCCACACUUCCAGUCCACACUUUUCUCUCUCUCCCAAUAGGCUUUUCAUUUUCCUUUUUUUUUUUUUUUUUUUUUUAAAUUAUCAAAUCAAAUGUGCCUUUUGUUAAUAAGAUUUUUUUUGAAGUUUUUUAUAUGUUUGCUUAUAGUAUCAACAAAAAAAUAUAAUUAAAAUUAUAUAAAAGACAAUUAUUUGUGAAUUUUGAAUUUUUUAUUUCUGGUUUAAUUUUAAUUUUCACCUCAAUUUUCUUUAUUUCAUUAUUAAAUUCCAAUUAAAAUUUAUGUGUAUAAUUUUUAAACUCUUUUAAAAAAAAUUGGUUUUUUUUUAAUUUAAACCAAUUAAAUUUUGUAUUUCAUUUUUAAAUUUCUUUCAAUUGUGCUUUGUUAUUAUUUUUUUAGUCAAUUAUAUUGUUAUAUGGAAAUUUGAAUAUUAUUAUUGGUGAUUUUUUUUAGAAUGAGUUCCUCUGAUUCAAAAAAUUCAAGAAAGGAUUUUGUGUGGAAGUAUGUGAUGGAAGUUUCUAGAGAGCAAUAUUUAAUAUGUAAAUUUUGCAAUCAAAGAUGUACGGGAAGGGUGAAUAGACUAAAACAUCACUUAGCCGGAACUCAUCAUGGUAUGAAACCAUGCAACAAAGUUAGUGAAGAUGCUAGAUUGGAAUGUAAAGAGGUAUUGGCUAAUUUUAAGGAUCAAAAAACGAAGAGAAAUGAAUUGCUCCAAGAAAUUGGUAUGGGUCCAACUUCAAUGCAUGAAAGUGCCUUGUCUAAAAUAAUAGGGACAUUAGGGAGUGGGAGUGGGAGUGUAAGUGGGAGUGGGGAACCUAUUCCUAGGGGACCCAUGGAUAAAUUUACCACUUCACAACCUAGACAAAGUACUUUGAAUUCAUAGUGGAAGCAAGAAGAAAGGAAGGAAGUGUGUAGAAAAAUUGGUAGGUUUAUGUAUUCAAAAGGUCUCCCAUUCAACACUGUGAAUGAUCCUUAUUGGUUUCCUAUGAUAGAUGUUGUUGCAAACUUUGGGCCCGGGUUUAAGCCUCCAUCUAUGCAUGAAUUGAGGACAUGGAUUCUUAAAGAAGAGGUGAAUGACCUAAGUAUCAUUAUGGAAGAUCACAAAAAAGCUUGGAAACAAUAUGGAUGUUUAAUUAUGUCAGAUGGUUGGACAGAUGGAAAAAGUAGGUGUCUUAUCAAUUUUUUGGUGAAUAGUCCUGCUGGAACUUGGUUUAUGAAAUCAAUUGAUGCUUCUGAUACAAUAAAAAAUGGGGAAUUGAUGUUCAAAUAUCUUGAUGAGGUGGUUGAAGAAAUUGGAGAGGAGAAUGUUGUGCAAGUCAUCACUGAUAAUGCCUCUAAUUAUGUGAAUGCUGGAAUGAGGCUUAUGGAAAAAAAGAGUAGAUUGUGGUGGACUCCUUGUGCUGCUCAUUGCAUUGAUUUGAUGUUAGAGGAUAUUGGAAAGCUAAAUGUUCAUGCUACUACACUUUCUCGAGCUAGGCAAGUUGUGAAGUUUAUAUAUGGGCAUACUUGGGUUCUUAGCUUGAUGAGAACAUUUACAAAAAAUCAUGAACUUAUUCGUCCAGCAAUUACACGGUUUGCUACUGCAUUUCUUACUCUCCAAAGUCUUUAUAAGCAAAAGCAAGCUCUUAUAGCAAUGUUCUCCUCAGAAAAAUGGUGUUCAAGCACAUGGGCUAAAAAGGUAGAAGGUGUGAAAACUCGAAGUACAGUGUUGUUUGAUCCAAAUUUUUGGCUUCAUGUUGCUUUUUGCAUAAAGACCACUGUUCCAUUAGUUAGUGUCUUGAGAGAGGUUGAUUCAGAGGAAAGACCAGCCAUGUGUUAUAUUUAUGAGUUGAUGGAUUUAGUUAAGAAGAAGAUUGCAUUUAAUUGUCGGGGCAUGGAGAGAAAAUAUGACCCAAUUUGGAGAAAAAUUGAUGCAAGAUGGACUCCGCAACUUCAUCGACCUUUACAUGCAGCAGACUAUUAUCUUAAUCCUCAAUUGCGGUAUGGAGAUAAGUUCUCUAAUGUUGAUGAGGUGAGGAAGGGAUUAUUUGAAUGCAUGGAUAGAAUGUUGGAUUAUCAAGAACGUUUAAAAGCUGACAUUCAGUUGGACUCAUAUGACCAAGCAAUGGGUGAAUUUGGGAGUCGUAUUGCAAUUGAUUCUCGAACAUUAAGAAGUCCUACAAGUUGGUGGAUGCGUUUUGGGGGUUCAACACCGGAGUUGCAAAAGUUUGCUAUUCGAGUCCUUAGCCUUACUUGUAGUGCUUCGGGAUGUGAAAGAAAUUGGAGCACAUUUGAAUCGGUAAUACUUCUAUUUUUGUAAAUUUUUAUACAUAUAUUUCUAUUUCAAUGUUAGAGAACUUUAUUUCAUUUUAACACAUAAAAUUGUUUCUUUUAUUAUUUGUAGAUCCAUACAAAAAAAAGAAAUAGACUUGAACAUCAAAAGUUGAAUGCUCUAGUGUAUGUAAGGUACAACACUAGAUUGAGAGAGUGAAGUCUACAAAGGAAACAAAAUGUUGAUCCAACCUUGGUAGAGGAGAUUGAUUCUGAUGAUGAAUGGAUUGCGGAGAAAGAAGAUCUCCUCCUCCCCCUUGAUCUUUGUUGGCUUCAAGAUAAUGAAUUAUUCAAUGUUGAUGCCAUUAGAGUUGUGUCAUCCAACUCCCAAGAGACGCAAGCAUCAUCGGAUCAUAUGGUUUCUUCACAUUCCUACAAAAGGAAACAUAAUGAAGUACCAAGUAAGUACUCAAAAAUUGAAAUCAUAAAUUUGAUUAAAUUUAAUAAAAAAAACUUUUAAUAUUUAAACAUAAUUAAUACUUUAUGCUAGGUACAAGUGGAGGCAAAGGCAAAGAGAAGGAAUUGAAUUUGACACCAAUUGAUGAAGAUGAAGAUUUAGAUGAAAUGGGGAUACAUGAUAGUGGACAUUUUCCUACUAUUGAUACAUUGGAUGAGGAUGAUGAUGACCUUGGAGAGGAGGAUUUAAGUUGAAACAAUUUACUCUAGUUGUUAUUUCAUGACUUAGUUAUGGAUUUUUUGUAAAAGUUUAGAACUAUUAUUAUGGUUGACUCUAUUUUCUAUUUCAUGACUUAGUUAUGGCUUUUUGUUAAAGUUUGAAACUAUUAGUAUAGUUGAAUCUAUAAUCUAUUUUAUGAAUUUGUUAUGGUUUUUUGUGAAAGUAAGGAACUAGUAUGUUUUUUUUUAUGAUUCUAAUGAAUUGUUUUCAUGUUUUUAUUUAUGCUAUUUUAUUUUAUAUAUUUUAAAAUAUUAAUUAAUUAUAUAAUGUGAGGCUCAAAAAGCUUACGCCUCAAUGCCUCGAGGCUUACGCCUCGCCUCACGAACACAAAAACGCCUCGCCUUACGCUUUCGCCUUUAAAAACUUUGGCUGAGACCCAAAUAAGUAUCCAGAACCAUCAUCAUCAACCCUUUCACAAGCCUUUGUAUUUGAAGGUCAGAUUGGGAUUGCUUUGAAUGCACUGACACUGACACUGCAAUACACAAUUGUUUCUUCUCCAAUAAAAACACCACAAAGAGGUGAGGGGACUGGUAUUAGCAAAGAAGUGUUGUUAUCUAUAUUGUUCUGAGCCCGAGUACCAAAAACAAAAUCCUCAUCCUCAUCUAUACUCUUCCAUUACAUCCCUAGGCUUUUCAAUGUGAUCCACAUGGCUUACAGGAAUCCAGAAAUAUCGGUCUGUAUAAAAGUUGCUCUUAUGUGGCUCUCCUAGAAAACAUCCCAAUCAAGAUGAUCAACCUAGCUUAGAUGCUCAACACCCCAAACUUACGAGAAAUAGAGGAAUAAAAAGCAAGGAUAGGAGCCAAAGUAAAAACUGAGGGAAGAGCAAAUAGGAAAUCAAGCAAAACAUGAAUGUACAGAGCCUCAUUUCAGGUGACAUCUUUGGGCUAAUAAUAGGUGGAAUUAACAAAGUAGAUAAGCAUGAUUGUUAUAAAUAUCAAGUUCAAGGAUGAAGUCGUGCAUCAGCUACUUAUAGGGGGAGUCAAGGAAACCAAGAUAAGAUCAAAGAGAGCAUGUAUGCAAAUAAACAGAUUUGACAAAAUAGACCAAACAGCUUGUGAAUAUCCUCCUACAAAAAACUACUACACGUGGCAAAAAGUGAUGAAGCAAAAAGAGUCGGGUCCGCAUAUACAUAUCCUAUGCUAUCCUAUUCCUUCAAAUCCAAAGCAACCUGUAUUUUCAAUGGGAUUUGUUGUGAUGAAUUUUACUGGAUUGUAACAUGUAAAUAUGUUAAAAAAGGCUUGGGACAUUCCUAUAUAGUAACGCAUAAAGGUACUUCCAUUGUGAAGUUGUCAAAAUUGCAAAUUUAAAUUACAAAAUUUGAAAACAUAGAGAUGAAAGAUGAUGAAACCUUCUUUGAAAUUUUAUAUUGAACUCAUUAAUAUUAUUAAUUUUCAUUUCAGUCUAAGGGAAAGAAUUCUUUACUCUAAAGUGGUCACAAAAAUAUUAAAAUUCCUUGUCGAGAGAUUUAGAUCUAAAGUGAUCAAUAUAGAAGAAAGUAAAAAUAUUCUAAGUGUAGGUAAACUUGUAGACUCAAAUGACUCUACCUUCUCAUAAAAAAUCCUCAAUUUUAUAAAUUAUAUAGAUUUCUUCAUUUGAUACAAAAUUUGAAUAAAGAUUUUUCAAAUGACAACACAAGGAAAGGGAAAAAAAAAAUCUAUCCAGAUCAUAUUAUUUAAUCACUUAAAUUAUUUAAAAAUAAAAAUGUUUACUGCUAACAUUAUUUAGGUUCAUCUUUCUUUUGAUGGAGGUUAAAAUUCAUAAUUUUGAGGAAAAAGAUGAGGAUUCUCAUUUUUUUUUUCCAUGUAUGAAUGGGAUUCUCAUUGUGUAUAUGUGGGUUACUAAAUGGCAAAUUUGGGGGCCAAUAUGAGGGAAAAAAUGAAGUUGAGUUUGUCACCAAGAAUAGACAUGGUUCCUACAAAGGUGGCAUCUUUAAUUUCAUGUUUGGAUUGGACUUGUCAUGUAACAACUUAACAAGUGAAAUCCCUCAUGAACUUGGAAUGUUAAGUUUGAUUCAUGCAUUGAACUUGUCUCGUAAUCAACUAAAAGGCUCCAUUUCAAAGAGUUUUUGCAAUCUUUCUCAAAUAGAGAGCUUAGACCUUUUUAAUAAUAAACUAAGUGGAAAAAUUCCUCCAAAAUUGGUUAGACUAAACUUUUUAGCAGUGUUCAAUGUUAGCAUAUUCGGAAGAGUUUUAGAUAUGAAUGCAUAAUUUGCAAAAUUUGAUGAAAGUAACUAUGAAGCUAAUCCUUUCCUUUGUGGACCACCAUUAAACAGAAAAUGUAGCAUAAAUGUUGUUGAACCACCUUACCAACCAUUAGAGUCUUCAGAAGAAAGUGAUGCAAAAUGGUAUAAUAUCAAUCUUGUUAUUUUCUUUGCAAAUUUUACUACAUCAUAUAUCAUGAUAUUAUUAGGAAUUUCAACCAUUCUUUACAUUAACCCUUAUUGGUGUCAAAUAUGGUUCAAUUUUAUCGAGAAAUAUAUAUACUUUUGCUAUUAUUUUGUUUCCUAUACUCUUUCCAAGUUAUUAACAUAUUUUGAAUAAUUAGAGAUUUUUGUUUUCAAUAAUAUUUACAUAAUUAACUACUAUUGGUUUCCAUGACAUGGAAAGAAAUGCGGUGAAGGCAACAACCACUUUUUUUUCUCCUCUACUAGUGCAUGAUUGAUAUGAGUUAAAACUUGCACCCUUAUCUUUACUUAAAUUUUCUCAGCUUUUGUUUCAAUUCUUAAUUAUCAUUUCUUUUAUGUAUUGUUUAAUACAAUAUCCUAAACACAUUGCUUUGAAGGUUACUUAUUUAUUAAGCAUGAUAUUUAUUUUCAUAAAGACAAAUUCAAGUUUUUUAGGAAUUUUUAGAAUUAUUAUAAUUUGGAGUUCACAUUAGAGGAAAAAAAGGAAAGAAAAGAAUAGAUAAUUAAAAAAACAAUUUUAGUAAGUAUAAUUUGUCAUCUUCGGUAUAACAAAUGGGAAUUCCAAAAUAAUAUUUCAAUUUGUUAGUCUAUUCCUUAUAAUAUUAAUUGAAAUAUCAAAUAAGGAGUCACGUUUUGAUUUUUUUAUUAGCUUGAAUUGCAUGUCACAUAUAUUUUAAAAUCAAGCAUACCUCAGCAGGGAAGUUCUUGUAACAUGCAUGAACAUGAUAUGAUGAAUUAAAUAAUUUUCUUAAUUGUGUGAGACACAAACCCUCUUUGUUUAAUAAUAAUAAUAAUAAUAAUAAUAUACUACACAUUAUUAAAUCAUAUAUGUAUAUUUAUAGUCGUAUAAUAUAUUUAUAUAAGUAACAAUAAAUUAUAUUGUAUAAGGUAUCGGUAGGAGUUUUCAAUUCCCUCAUAUAAUAAUAUCUAUCAAUAAUUGGAUUGGACACCUUGCUGGCCAUGAGAAUGGACUUGACAUUAACACAUAGCCUUGAGUGGUGUUGAUAUUAUUACUUUGAACCAGAACUGCAGUCAUCUCAAAAACUAUAUUAUAUAGAAAAGCAAAAUAAAAACAUUAGUUAAAAAAAAUGUCAAGAUCCUUGAAAUCACGUUUCAAUAUGUUAAAUUACCAUUUUUUUAAAUAAAUUUUUGAUAGGUUGUGUGAAUAAAUAUAAUUGCUAUGAAGGGUUUCAAUUUAAUUUUACUAGCAAAUCCAUAAUAGGUGAAAAGACAAAACUACCAUUUUUGUUUUUUUUCUUUAUUUACCUUUUUUCUCUCGUAACCUUACUCCUUUCUCCUUUUUGUUUUUUCCUUUUUUAUUAUUAAUUUGUCUUUUUCCUUUUUCUCAACUAACUAUUUUUUUUCUUGUAAUUGUUAUUAUCAUUCUUAUUAUAAAUAUUAUAACCUUAUAUUAUAAAUUUUUAGUUUAGAUUAUAUUUAAACUAACUAAUGUUGUGGUUUUAAUUGACAUGGAAAAGAAUGUGGUUAUACAUGUGAUUGUCGCCUUUUUUUUUUUCAAUUAGUUAACUAUUGAUACAAGUUAAAAGUAAAAAUUGCAAUAUUAUCUUUACGUCAAUUUCACCGAUCUUUUGUUUUUAUUUUCAUGUAUCAUUCCUUUUUUGGUUAUUUAAUUAAAAGGAUUAAAAAAAAAUCACAUAUUCACAAUAAUAACCUUCAUAUUUUAAAAACAUAAAAUAAACAUUUUUUUUUUUUUAUAAAAAUACCCUCCAACUAUAUUUUUUAUAUCCCUAUUUCAAAUCCAAACACUUCUUUUAAAAAUAAUAAUAAUAAAUAAGGGCAAAAAUGUCAAACUGGGAUUAUAUUUAUAAUUUUCAAUAAUUAGAGGUUGUUUUUCCAAUGUAAAAAUUAUUUUGUUCCUUUGGCACAAAUAUUUCUUUCUUUUAUGUAUUUUUUUUAUUCAAAAUAUUAAACACAUUACCCUCAAGGUUACUAUUUAUUAUGAAUGGUGUUUACUUUACAUAACGAGAUAUUCAAAUUUUUUAGAAUUUUUUAAUGUUAAAAUAAUUUGGAGCUUAAUAGGGAAAAAAAAGAAGAAAGAAUAGAUAAUUAGAAAAGCAAUUCAAAAAAAUAAAAUUUAUCCUCUUAAAUUGGUUUUGUGUAAUACUAUAGAAGCCAUUUCUUGAGUUUGAUAUGGUAGAAUUUGGAUUCAUAUUUAUUUUAAAAUCAAGAAAUUCAAGUGUUGGUAGCAUCAAUAGAAUCUUAACAAAUUUGAAAAAAAAUAUUUAGGUAGAUCACAUUUAAAUAUAGCUAAUAGAAUAAAAAAUUAGUAUUAUUAGAAAGACAUGAUCAAUUAAAUCUUUUUUCUUAUCUAUGACACCGACUUUAUUUUUUUACAUAGUCAAUACAAUUUAUUACAACUUAUAUGUCAUUAAAUUAUAUACGUUUAUAUUAAAUAUAAUAUAAGACCAUUAAUGGAAUAAUUAUGCAAGUAAUAUAAAUUGUAUAUAAUAUAAAAAAUUUAAACUCCAUCAAACUAAUGGAAUCUAUUAUAAUAAGUAGACUAGACACCAUGUUGGCCCGAGUUGCAGGCCUGGGCCAGAUUUUAAAGGCUGGGCUUUGAGUUGCCCGUGGGCCUGAGCCAAGGCCUUCUCUUGGUAUCAUCAUUUUGAAGAAAUAAAUUGCUGAUACAGAGAAAAAAACUAUACUAAAUAGAAAAAUAAAUAAAAGCAUUGACUAAAAUGAAGGUCAAGGUCCUUGAAAAAUAAUCUUUAAAUUGUUGCAUAUAUAAUUUCAAUAAUGCAUAAAUAAUUGCAAUAUAUAUGAUAUGAUAAAGAAUUUGGAAUUAAAAGAAGAUUGAUCUAUUUUAAAUGUGGUUGGAAUAUUUCUAAAUUUGUGAUGGGAAGUUAGACAGCCAAUUAGGGAUCCAUAUUAUUUAUUUUCAAUGAUAUGAAUUUAUUUACUUUUAUUAAUAUUCUUAAUGCAACAAUAUAAAAUAUGUCAAUUUUCUAAAAUUUAAAAAGUAAUUGUAAAAGAAUUUUUUUUAAUUAUUUUUCUGAAAUUGAGUUUAUUAUAACAUUUUUCUUUACAUAAAUUUCUUUUUUAUUUUUAUUUUUUUUAAAAUGAGAUAUGAAAAAAAGAGAUCAAUAUUAGUACAAGUAAAACCCAAUAUAUAUAUAAAAAAAAUGAAUAAAUGUUUAUGAAAUAUUUUUUCUCUUUUAAUUCCUAUUCAAUUCAUUACACAAAAUAUUUUUGGUUUUUAUGCUAAAAUUUAUUGUUUAUUCAAAAAUUCUAGUAUACCUAGCUAUCAUAGAAGAGCCCCAAAAUUUUAUUGUUUAAGAGAAUAUGUGUUGCCACUUUAAAAGAUUUAUAUGCAAAAGGGAUUGAUAUUUUUUUCCUUUGGAUAUAUUUAGUUCCCGGAAAAUUUGAGGGAAAAUGUGAGGGAAGAAAAAUAGAGAAGAAAAGUAUAACGAAAUAAAAAGUGAAGGAAAAUGAAAAAUAGAUUUAAAGUUAAUAAAUUAUUUUCAUUGGUUUUUUCAAACUUAUUUUACUUAUUUUAUUCUAUUAAAUAAAGAUUAGCUAAUUUUAAUUAUAUUUGGUUUGAUUUUUAUUAUUUUUCAAAGCAAAACCAAAUAUGAAAAAAAAAACAUUUUUUUUGUUCAUUUUUUCUUUCCUUAUUACUUUUCAAAACUCAAACAUAGCUUUUAGAUUUGGAGCAUGGAAAGAUAAGAGUAUUGAAUAAAGGUUCUAUAUAUGCCCAUGCCCAUGAUACCAUUGAAAAAAAUGGAGAAAGGGUGAAACUUUUUCUCUUCAAUGGAAAUCAAAUAUAAUUAUUUUUAUCUUGUAGUAAUUGAAUGUUAUACUCCAUAAACUCAAAAUUAAAAUAAAUAAAAAAUUUAAAAACUAGGACAAUCCCAUUUUUUUUUUCAAUUUCUUAAAAAGAAAUUAAAUUACAUUUAUUUAUAUCUAUUUUCAUCCCUACCCAAAAAAAUAAAAAAAAAAUUAACAAGGUGGGACAUGUAUGAGAAAUUCUCACACUAACUCUCUCUAGUUUAUUUUUUAUUUUUUAAAAAAAAUCAAUUUCUUUUAAAAAAAUUAAACUAUAUAAAAAAUAAAUAUAAUUUAAAAUAAAAUAAUUUAACAAUUUUUUUUUUAAGAAAAGUAAAUUUCUUAUUUUAUAUAUGUUAAAAAUAAAUAUAAUCUUUUAUUUUUUUAUAUAUAUAAUCGGGUAAGGUAGAGUGGGACAAAGAAAUAAUCCCCUUCGAUUCCAAUAUGAAUUUUUAAAAUAUAAAAUAAAAAUCUUAAACUCAUCCCUAAUCCAUUUAUUUUUAAUCCUAAACUCGUCUUAUUAAGAAUAAGGCAAAGUGAGUACAUGAAAACACUUCUUUUAUCAUCAUCUCUACAAGUUCUAAUGUUUAGACUGCAAUCCAUAUCAAAGAUUUAUAAAGAAAGGACAACGAUGAAUUUCAUAAACAUUUGAAAGCAUAUACGUACAAAGUUUUAAAUAAUAUUGCUUGAGGUGCAAAUAUUAUUUGGCGCACAUAUUGAGGGACUUCAACUUGUUUUUUACAUUAGUAAGUAAUCUUGAAUAUCUAGAGUAACUUGACCAAAAUCUCUUUAAUUUUAUUUUCUUUGAUGGUUGUAUGAUGAAUUAGAAUGCUUAUAUAACAUGAUUAAAAAUUUUAAGAAAAAAAAAACUAAGAAGAAAGAAAGAAGCACCGAUCUUCCAAAUAUUGCUUCCACUUUAAUAUCUAGAAGGCUCUAAGAAAAGAACUUUUUUCAUGAAUCAUAACCCAAGUCGAAAAUAAAUUGAACCCAUUUUCUAAGUUAAAUUUUGAAUUUUUUACUAGUGAAUGCAAAUUGGGAAAAUGUAUAUAAAUAUAAUUAAACUAGAAUAGUAGGUUAGGUUUGUAGGUGGAGUUUGUUUGAAUUGUUGGAACUUCCAAGUCGUUGUGGGUCUAGUGGUCCCAUAGCUCUCUAUUAAUUUCCACCAUCAAUUUUCUGCAAUAAAGUCAAGUCAUUCCUAACCCCUAUAUUAAGUUGGCCUUAAAAGUCAAGUCAUUGAUCAUAGUUACAUUCAUGAAUCACAACCUAAGUCGAAAAUAAAUUGAACCCAUUUUUCAAGUUCAACUUUGAAUUUUUUACUAGUGAAUGCAAAUUGGGAAAACAUAUAUAAAUAUAAUUAAACUAAAAUAGUAGAUUAGGUUUGUAGGUGGAGUCUGCUUAAAUUGUUGAAACUUCCAAGUCAUCGUGGGCCCAGUGGUCCCAUAGCUCUCUAUUAAUUUCCACCAUCAAUUUUUUGCAAUAAAGUCAAGUCAUUCCUAACCCCUAUAUUAAUUUGGCCUUAAAAGUUCAGUCAUUGAUAGCUAAAUCCCAACCCAAGUCAAAAAUAAAUUGAACCCAUUUUCUACGUUCAACUUUGAAUUUUUUUUAAUUGGAAAAAUGUAUAUAAAUACAAUUAAACUAGAAUAGUAGAUUAGGUUUGUAGGUGGAGUCUGCUUGAAUUUGUGAAACUUCCAAGUCAUCGUGGGUCUAGUGGUCCUAUAGCUCUCUAUUAAUUUCCACCAUCAAUUUUCUACAAUAAAGUCAAGUCAUUCCUAACCCCUAUAUUAAUUUGGCCUUAAAAGUCUAGUCAUUGAUAGCUACGUUCAUGAAUCCCAACCCAAGUCAAAAAUAAAUUGAACCCAUUUUCUAAGUUCAACUUUGAAUUCUUUUAAUUGGGAAAAUGUAUAUAAAUACAAUUAAACUAGAAUAGUAUAUUAGGUUUGUAGGUGGAGUCUGCUUGAAUUUGUGAAACUUUCAAGUCGUCAUGGGUCUAGUGGUCCCAUAGCUCUUUAUUAAUUUUCACCAUCAAUUUUUUGCAAUAAAGUCAAGCCAUUCCUAAACCAUAUAUUAAUUUGGCCUUAAAAGUCAAGUCAUUGAUAGUUACGUUCAUGAAUCACAACCCAAGUCUAAAAUAAAUUGAACCCAUUUUCCAAGUUCAACUUUGAUUUUUUUACUAGUGAAUGCAAAUUGGGAAAACGUAUAUAAAUAUAAUUAAACUAGAAUAGUAUAUUAGGUUUGUAGGUGGAGUAAGCUUGAAUUGUUGAAACUUCCAAGUCAUCACGGGUCUAAGGGUUCCAUAGCUCUCUAUUAAUUUUCAUGGUCAAUUUUUAUGAAUUAAGAUUUAAAAGUGAGAAGGGAAUAAAUUUUUUCUUUUUCAAUUCAUUACAAAAAAUAUUUUUGGUUUUUAUGCUAAAAUUUAUUGUUUAUUCAAAAAAUUAAAGUAUAAAUAUAUAUAUAUAUAUCUUGCUAUUAUAGAAGAGCUCCAAAAUUUUUGUGUUUAAGAGAAUAUGUGUUGCCACUUUAGAAGAUUUAUAUACAAAAAGGAUUGAUGUUUCUCCUUUGACUAUGUUUGGUUCCCAAAAUUUGAGGGAAAUAAAAAAAAAAUAGUAAAAAAGAAAAAAUGAAAGAAAAUAAAAAAUAGUUUUAAAGUUAAUAAUUAUUUUUAUAUGUUUUUUCAAACUUAUUUUACUUUUUUUUUCAUUAUAUAAAGAUUAAAUAAUUUUAAAAUGCAUAAAUUUCUAACUAAUUUUAAUUAUAUUUAAUUUUUCUUUUAUAUUUUUUAGAUAGGAUCCGACACAUGAAAAAUCCUUUUUUUUAGCAUUUUUUUUUCUUUUCUUAUUACUUUCCAAUAACCAAAUAUAACCUUUAGAUUUAGCCUUUAAACUUGGAGUAUGGAACGAUACUGAGUAUUGAAAGAAGGUUUUGUAUAUGGCCAUGAUACCAUAGAAAAAAUGGGCGAGAGAGAAAAAACCUUUAUUAAAUGAUAAAUUAUUUUUUUCAAUGGAAAUCAAAUAUAAUUAUUUUUAUAAUAAUUACUUUAUUUUUUUUAAAAAUAAUAAUUUGUUGUUGCAUUAAGUAUUCUUGCAUUUGGAGAAGCAUGUUACUACUUACUACAUAAAUAGAUAUUCAUGGAGUGCAUUCUCUAAAAAGCUCCAGUCUCAUGAAAAUGGAAAGAUGGACCGGCCGGUGAACCGGUUCGAGUUUGGAUUUAUUGGCUGCCUCAGCCUUACACGCAUGAUAGGCUGUUGCAGGUGAAGAACUAAUUAAUUUAAAGCCUUCUUCUAUCCUCUCCUAUUCCUCUAUCACUCCAAAUGUUCCACAUGAUAAUGACAAUUCUUUUGUUAAAUGGUAAAAAAAAAAUUUAAAUAUUAUUUAAAAUUUUUUUUAAUUCUAAAUCCAAUGGAAAUUCGACUCUAAGGUGUGUAGAAGGCCCUAGUGCCCAUGUUGCUAAUUUGAUGAUAGUUAAAUUGUCAUUUUGGGAGAUUCCACACACUAGUAUUCUCAUUUAUAAAAUCAUGAACUUUGGCAUCCUAAUUAAUGCAAUUUAAACUUUUUUUGUUUACAAAUGAAAUAAGAGGCAACAUAUAAACCCAAAAGUUAAUUUUCCUACCAUCUCUAUGCACCAUUUUAGCUUUACUCCAAUAUAUUUUCUAUGAUUAAUUAUUUUCAUUCAAACAAUAAUAUCAAAAUAUUUUAAAAUUAGACAUAUCAUAAUCAAAUACCAUUAUAUUAUUACCGAAUAAUAUUUAAUGUAAUUUAAUUAUCAACGUAUACUUAUAAAAUUUAUAUUUUUUAUUAAUGCAUAUAAUAUUAUUAUCAAAUAUGAUAAAUUAUAUAUAUAUAUAUAUAUAUAUAUAUAUAUUUCUUCAACAAAACAACUUUAAAAUAUCUAUUAUAUUUCUAAUUUCAUUUCUAAGAAGUUUUUUUUUUUUUUUUACAUUUUUAUAAGUUUUGAUCAAUUGUAGGCUAACUGAUAUUUUUUAUAUCAAAAUAUCCACCAAUAUAUCUCUGAUAUAUUAGAUAUAUCCGUAAAAUCGAAAUACCAAUAUAUCCGUGAUUAUCGAUAUUUUUAUCCUUGAGGGAUAAUAACUAAUCUAGUUUUUGCACUUAUUGAUAUUUCUCAACAUUUAGAUUGAUUUGACCAAAAUCUUUUUAAUUUUAUUUUCUUUGAUGGUUAUAUGAUGAAUUAGAAUAGUCAUAUAAACAAAUUUAAGAAAAAACGAUAAAAAAGCUCACAUUUUUCAAAUAUUGGUUUCAACUUUGAAUAUUUUUAUUGGUAAAUGAAAAUUGUGAAAAACCUACUAAUGCUAAUACUUUUCACCACAUAAUUAAAUAUAAUAAACUAGAAUAGUGAUUCAUUGAUGUCUUAUAAAGCUACAUGCCUACUUUGACUUGUUAGUUGAUUUUUGUAGGCAGAGUCCAUUUCCAUAUGAAUUGUUGAAACUUCCAAGUCCUUGUGGGUCUAGUGGUCUCUCUAAUAAUUCCCACCAUUAAUUUUUUGUGAUGAAGUGACGUCAUUGAUAGCUACUAUAUCAAUUUGCUAUUAAAAGUCAAGUCAUUGAUAAUUACUAUUCAAUCUUUUUCAAUAUGGAAAUUGGAAUCUCUACUCUUCUCAUUGUUCAUUUUUAGGUAAUGUGAGAAUGUGAGAAUGUGUGAACAUAAAUGUCUUCUAAUCAACCAAUUUUUUUUGAAAAAAACAUGUACAAAAUUGCAAACUUGCAAAAUCAAACUUUCUUGUUGAAUAACCAUAGCUUGAUGGUUUUGAAGAAUCAAAGGAUGAAUCAUAAAAGGGUAUUUGAUAAAAAAUAAAAAUUAAAAAAAUUAAAAGACAACUACUCCCUUAGGUGUAAUAAGUGUAUUUGGUAGCACAAAUUUCCUACCACUUAUUAUUUUUUCCUUUCUUAAAAAAUUAUUUACUCUAUUAAAUAAACUAACCUUGGCUUAUCACUUAUAGCAAAAUAGGUUAAGUACUUUUUAAAAUUUUAUAAUAUUAGAUUUACAUUUUUAUCCUUCAAAAUUUCAUUAAUGUUAGAUUCUUCUAUAUGCUUAACUAAUAAAUAAUUUUUAGCAUUUUUCUUUUCUUAUAAACAUAAAAAAAUAAAAAUAUUAUUAACUUAUUGGUAUAUUUUAAAAUUUUAAUUAGAUUUAAGCUUUUAUUUAUUUGGAUUACCAAUUAUACAUAUAAAUCCUUUAUUAUUAUUGUUAUUAUUGAAAGAAAGGGGUUGAAUAGGUAGUCCCUCAAUCCCCAAAUUAAAUUCUUUAUUGCCUACUUUUGGUUUAUUCCUUUACAUGAAUUCCUUGGUGAGAGUAAACAUUUCAUUAAUAGAUAAAUAAAAUUGAUUCCAUAUCAUAGGGUAUAAUGUGGAAAAAUCACCAGUCUCAUGUGUUCCUUAGUGGAUCCUUUGGAGCCCUUAUCAAAGUUUCAUGAUGAAACCAUUGACUUUUGUUUAACCCAAAUGUGCUUUCAAGACAAAUCUUGAAAUAUUUGAGAGAUGGAGGUUCAAGUCUUUUAUGAACGACCAUGUUCUCUUAGGGUUCAUGAAAAUUCACACCUUUUGAUAAAUAAAACUUAUCUAUUUAUACGUCUAAAACCCAGUAUUUAUUUAUUUAAUUAUAGAAAGUUUCUUAGUUUUAAAAACAUUUCAAAAAUCAUUUUUAGAAUCAAAUAAUAAUUUUAGAGAUAAACACAAUAUUAAAAUUUAACAAAAACAAAAUUUCGAAUUAAAAACACAAUAUAAACUAAAUUACAAAAUAUAAAGGAAUUUUUAUCCUAAUUUCUUGUUUCAAAACCAAAUGGAACACCUAGAAGGGGAGUGAAUGGGUGAUUUUAAAAUUUUUCAAUAAUGAUUUAUAAGUUAUACCCAAUUCUUUUACCCUGCGAGUUGUUAGGGACUAUCAAUUCUUUCCUUUUGGCAAUUCAAACAAUAUAUCAAAUAAUAAAAAGAUAUAAAUAAUGAGACAUAAAGAUUUUUACAUGGAAAACCCCCCACACUAACCAUGGAGAUAAAAAGCCAUGGAGUCUAAGACCUAUUAAUCUAAAUUCACUGUACGAAAUCAAGUUACACAAAUUUAUUUGAUAGCUUUAACUUAAAGACUUACUCUCCGGUACUGACAACUUGAUUCACAUCCACAACGUAGCAACCCUCAAUUACUCCAAUGGAUCACUUCAAGCUUACUAAAAGGAUGAAGGCCUUCAAACCAAGAUUCAAAAAUCAAUUCCUUGAAUGAAAGAUCAGGGAUGGUGUGCCACUUUAGGCUUUCUCUCUAAGAACUCUAAAAUGAUCUCCUCAAUGAAAACCUCUUAAACAAAAUGAGAUAUUUCCCCACAAUCUCUAAUCCUCAAGGGGUUAUAAUGAGAUAUUUAUAAGCAACUAAGUUGAAGAGUUUCAGUUUUGGAACAUGACCGCUCGAGCCAACACACUUCCUACUUGAGCGUUUCGGGCACUUGAGCGGUAAGGCUCGCUUGAGUUGUCCUAAGCGCUUGAGCAUUCCAAGCUACUUGAGCAAUCUUGCUCUAUUUCAAAAGUUAAUUUUAAAUCAUUUUAAGUUCAAAACAAAAUUGAUUCCCUUUAUACCUCAAAGUAGCCUAACUUACAAACCAAACUUUUUUAGAUAUACUUGUGACUUCCUGGUUGGACGAACAACUCUUAAUCUUCAAUGGAAAGCAAGUCAUUAUCUAAAAAGAUUUAUAUGGUCAAACAUAAAAAAACAAAAACAAAAAAAUUGCCAACAUAACAACAAGACUCAAUGUCCUAACAAUCUCCCCCUUUGGCAAUUUUAUGACAAAAACAACAUUACAUAUACCCACUUGAACUCUCAUAAUGGAGUUUAAUAAUACACAUUAAUGUUCAAUUAAAAAUAAACUAAGGGAAUACUUUGUAUCACUUUGUAGUAUUUGUCUUCCAACUUUGUAACCUACACACAUAUAGAAAACUAUACCAAAGGUAAAGCAAUGUGUAGGAUAAGAUAUGAUCAAGAAAGCAAAAUAGGAUAAUUGAAAAUUUUGCUUGAUGCCUUGUGAAAGCAUGAAAAGGGAACAAAUUCAUAUAGUAAUACCAAGGGACAAAGCAAAACUAGAGAAGAAUAUAUAUGUAUGCAAAUCAACCAAACAUAAUAAAAGCUACAUAAGAUGCAAUAGAUCAAUAAUAAUGCCUAGGGGUCUAUCUCCAACCAGAAAAUAGGGAGUGAAAAUCAUAGGAAGAACCUUCUGUGACUUAGAAAGGUUCUAGAGAGAUAGUCAAUUCAAACAUAAAUAUCUUGCUAGAAACAUCUAUGUUAUGUAUCUCUCUAAACCUUCUAAGUUAUGCUUUCAUUAGUUGAUUUGGUUUUUCUCCAAUGUCUCAGGUUUAAUUUCCUCUAAUAUUUCAAUUAGAGAGAAAUUGGUAGUCGAUUGACUUAGUGGGUGUUUGGUAAAACUUAAUACUUAUUAUUUAAUGAUUAACUUUAAGUUAAAUUGUUCUUAAGUUAUUAAUUUAAAAUUUAUUACUUAUUUUGUAUUUAAGUACUAGGGUUAUUUGAAAAAAUCGACUUAAAAUUUAUUCUAAAUCAUCAAAAUGACACAUUUACCCUUAUUAAUUUUAACUUAUAUUUAUUUUCAUUAAUUUUAAACAAUAAAUUUAUUCAUAAAACAUCUAUAUUUUUGUAGAUACAUAACCAUAAAAUAUUUACUAUAAAAAAUGAGUCAUGGAUGUAGAAUUAUAAUUCUAAAAUAUACACUUAUGAGUGUGGGUAAAUAAGGCAAAAAUGAUUUGAGAUUAAGAGUAAAGUUAAUUAUUUUGACUUAAGACUUCAAGUUAAAAAUAACUUUAAGUUGCAAUAUUAAGUUAUUUUAUCAAACAUGCUUAAUUUACUUAACAACUUAAAUUAAGUUAUUAAGUUGAAUUAUCAAACACCCCACUAGUAGUAUGUUGAAAAUUCACACCUUUUGAUAAAUAAAACUUAUCUAUUUAUACGUCUAAAACCCAGUAUUUAUUUAUUUAAUUAGAGAAAGUUUCUUAGUUUUAAAAACAUUUCAAAAAUCAUUUUUAGAAUCAAAUAACAAUUUUAGAGAUAAACACAAUAUUAAAAUUUAACAAAAACAAAAUUUCGAAUUAAAAACACAAUAUAAACUAAAUUACAAAAUAUAAAGUAAUUUUUAUCCUAAUUUCUUGUUUCAAAACCAAAUGGAACACUUAGAAGGGGAGUGAAUGGGUGAUUUUAAAUUUUUUCAAUAAUGAUUUAUAAGUUAUACCCAAUUCUUUUACCCUACGAGUUGUUAGGGACUAUCAAUUCUUUCCUUUUGGCAAUUCAAACAAUAUAUCAAAUAAUAAAAAGAUAUAAAUAAUGAGACAUAAAUAUUUUUACGUGGAAAACCCCCCACACUAACCAUGGAGAUAAAAAGCUAUGGAGUGUAAGACCUAUUAAUCUAAAUUCACUGUACGAAAUCAAGUUACACAAAUUUAUUUGACAGCUUUACCUUAAAGACUUACUCUCCGGUACUGACAACUUGAUUCACAUCCACGACGUAGCAACCCUUGAUUACUCCAAUGGAUCACUUCAAGCUUACUAAAAGGAUGAAGGCCUUCACACCAAGAUUCAAAAAUCAAUUCCUUGAAUGAAAUAUCAGGGAUGGUGUGCCACUUUAGGCUUUCUCUCUAAGAACUCUAAAAUGAUCUCCUCAAUGAAAACCUCUUAAACAAAAUGAGAUAUUUUCCCACAAUCUCUAAUCCUCAAGGGGUUAUAAUGAGAUAUUUAUAAGCAACUAAGUUGAAGAGUUUCGGUUUUGGAAGGUUUCUUAAUUGAAUUUGUGUGAAAAACUCAACAGAAUCAACAUGACCGCUCGAGCCAGCACACUUCCCACUUGAGCAUUUCGGGCACUUGAGCGGUAAGGCUCGCUUGAGUUGUCCUAAGCGCUUGAGCAUUCCAGGCUACUUGAGCAAUCUUGCUCUAUUUCAAAAGUUAAUUUUAAAUCAUUUUAAGUUCAAAACAAAAUUGAUUCCUUUUAUACCUCAAAGGAACCUAACUUGCCACAAACCAAACCUUUUUAGAUAUACUUGUGACUUCUUGGUUGGACGAACAACAACUCUUAAUCUUCAAUGGAGAGCAAGUCACUAUCUAAAAAGAUUUAUAUGAUCAAACAUAAAAAAACAAAAAAAUUGCCAACAUCACAACAAGACUCAAUGUCCAUGCAUGGUCACCUGAAAGUUGACUCCAACCACAAUAUAAUGCAUGUUCUCAUAGAACAUGUGAACAAGAUGGAGAUAGAAAGUCCCUUAGAGAGAAAACAGAGUCUUCUAACCCUACUCUUGAAUGAUGAUAGGGAAGACAGUGUCCUGAAAAGCUUAGAGGUUAAUGGCAUGUUGAGGCUCGACACACCGAUAUGUGAAAGAAGCGUAAUAAUGGUCCCAUGCCACCUGGCAGUGAAAGCGCUCAAUCGAAAGUGCAUCUAGGUUAAAAAGACCCUAGAGUGGGAUGCCCUAGACGGUUUUCAGUGACCUAGGAAAGGUCACCUCCCUCUGAAAUCUAUGACUAGCCAUAUCUAAGGUAUAUAAUAUGAAAAAAAAAAAGCUAAAGAAAAACUAAAGAAAAUCCAAAGAAAAGCUAAACCACUAAAAAUGUUAAACUCAAUGCGUCGAACAAUACUAUACAAAUGGAAAUGAAAAAUAUGAAGCGAACUGACCUCAGAAGACAAAAGGACAGUUACCCAGAGGGCUCGAAGAGGAAUAGGAAAGUUUGAAAUGAAUAUUGUGUGAUGGAUGACCUUUAUAUAGCUUAUAGGAGUGCUUGAUGCAGAUUAGCACUUGAGCGUCAUGACUAACUUAAAUCAAAUUAUUUAUUAAUAUGGAAAUAUUUUAUAAGUUUCAAAGGAAGUAUUCAAUUUAGAACCUUUUUAGAAUUUUUUUGAAAGAAACAAAAAUAAAGCGUGAAAUAUUAUGUGUUAAAGGUGUUAGAAGACAAUAUUGUCUAAUCAAAAGCCUUACACAUUCCCAAAAAAAAAAAAAAAAAAGGAAAAAAAAAGAUACUAUAUAAGAUUUUGAUCACAUCUAAUAGAAACUAAUAUUUAGCAACAUAUCACCAAGCACUAUCUUAUCAGAAAGCUCUAACAUGUUGGAAAUUUAUGUAAGGUUCCAUAACAACUAACAACUUUUUAUGACGACUCGGUAAUGGACCAUUUGCACUUCAACUACAUUAUUAAAUUUAAAUCAUAUUAGAAUAUAAUUGACUUCUCUUUUGUGAGGUUACAUAUCUUGUAGGAUGGGAUAGGUGAUUCAUUUCAUAUAUGAAAUUUUCUUAAUUUAGUAAUGCUUCCAAGUUCAUUAUGAAUCUAAUGGUAUCACAACUCCUUGAAUAUUUGUAAUCUGUAAUCUUUGCUUCAACUUCUCAAGUCUAGUCAUUUUAUCGGCAUAACUAGUUUGCUUCAAUUAUCUCUCAACUUUAUUAUAAAACUAAGGGAAAGGAUUGUCACUCAUUUUAUAUUAACUUAACCAAACAUCUUUAUAUAUAUAUAUAUAUAUAUAUAUUGUAAAUUUAGGAAAAAUUCAUCCAUUAGCCAUAGUAAGUAAGAAUCAAAUAAGGGAUAUGUAAGCCAAUGGUGAUAUUGAUGGCGUUAAAUCAAUGACAUAGUAGAAAAGUGGAUUGUCUAUUUUCAAACCUUUAUAUUUUCAUGCAAUAGUAAAAAGGUUAAGGCAUCACUUGAAAAGUAGUUCGUUUUUUACCUUGGACUAUGAUUUAUGAAUAAAGUUCUUCUGUUGUAUACCUUUUGUGAUGCCCCAACCUAAUUUAGGGGUAAAAAAAUAAUUUAGAAAAAAAUAAAUAAAAAGUUAAAUAAAUUUAAUUAAGGUAAAAAUGUAUUUUUGUAUUUAAAAUUCCUAGGUAUCAAUUAUAUAUUUCUUGUCUUCUCUAUUCAAAAAACCAUAUUACACAAAAAUCAAAUAUCAGAGAACAUAGGACAACGCAGGGUUGAAGAUUUGGAGGUUUAGGGUUGAAGAUUAGUUUUCCAGGUAAGAUUCUAACCCUUAAAUUAGUAUUUUAGAUUCGUUAAUUAGUUUGAACACUUUAGAUAUUCUUUGAAAAAUCUGAAUAUACAUUAGGGUUUGUUAAUUUAAUUUUUAAAUAAAAAAGAUUGAAAAUUUAUGAACAUAAGUAGAGUUAUUAUUAAAGAUUGAAAAUUUUUGAAUAUUUGAAUUAAAAAUCUAGAAAAAAAAGAAGAAAAUAAAUUAUAGCUUUGGACGUGGAAAAAAAUUAAUAUUAAUUAAUAAAUAAAACCUAUGAGUAUGGAAGUAGAAAAAUAUGAGAGUUGAAAGCAAAGAAAAAAAAAGAGAAUAAGGUUUUGUGGUUGUACAUGCCUCCUUAGUGGAAAAAAAAAAUACAAGGUUGCUUGCAAUAGGAUAUGACAAAGAGAGAGAGAUAAAUGCUUAGAUGUUGAUUUUUGUGGGGAAAAAAAGAUUGGGUAAUGUAGGAGAGAAAUAGGUAGCACUUUUAGAGUCGGUGGAGUUGUUGUAAAAGCUCGUAGGGGUAAUUGUUAGGUAGUAGUAGGGUAUGAGAUUAAUUGUUAGGAAACAUUAGGACUUGAAAUAAUAAUAAUUGCUUCUAGUAAAAGUUUUAAUUUAGUUUAAGUAUAUAAAAGAAAUAGAUGAUUAGAAUAAGAUUUGGAAGGAAUAUGAAUUCAUAAAAAUUUCAAAAUUUACUAAUUUAGAUUAUUAUUGUUUUGGAAGUUGAAUAUAAUAUAGGUGAUAAUAUUAUUAAUAUAGGAAAUGAUUAAGAUUCUCAAACCUACAAUUUUAGAUAAAUAGUUAAUAGUAAUAGUUGAUUUUUUAUUUUUUUUUUAUUUUUUAUUUUUUAUGUUAUGUUAAGUGAAUAAUGGAUUCUUUGAUUAAUUCUCUAAGGUUUCUAAGUGCUUCUUUAAGGUAAGGGAUAUUAAUACUGAUUUUGUAAAUGAAAAUAUUUCUUUUUAUAAGUUAUUUUAAAUUAUGAAAAUUUUUAUUUUUAUUUAUGCAUGGAUCAAAUAUAUAUUUUUUCAUGAGAAACAUGUUUGGGCAAUUUCUUUGUUUAUAAAUAAAUAAAUGAAAACUUUGGAAAUAUAAUGUUUUGUUUUGUAAGUUUAAAAUAAUGAAAUAAAGUUUUUGACUCUGGUUUAUAUGACCUUAGUUAAUAGGUUAUAAUUGUUGACAUUUUCAGCUCCAGUCAACGAUUAUAAUUGUUGACAUUUUCGGCUCUCCAAUCAAUGAUUAUAAUUGUUGAGAUUUUCAACCCUAGCCAACGGGUUAUAAUAGUUGACCUUAUAGCCCUAGUCAACAGAUAUAAUUGUUAACCUUUGGCUUUUCCCAUCUUAAAAAGAACAAAUUUAAGGCUAGCCAUUUAUUUGUAAAGUCCCACCUAACUAAGUACCAUUUGUUAUUUAAUAACCAGAGUAAAGAUAUUUUGAAUGUAUUUGAUGUGAAAUUGUUGUGAUAUUAAUAUGAAAAUGUUUGGUUGAAAAGUUCAAAUGUUUAAUGCAUGUUGAAUUCAAAAGUUUUUAUGAAAAUGAUUAUAUGUUAUAUCUCUUAUUUGUAAGUUUGAUCCAUGAAACUGUAUUAAUAUUCCUUAUUGGACUUUGAGCUCAUUCCCCUUUAUUGAGAAUUUUUUUUCGUAUUCUCAGUUUGGGCAAGGAGUGAUGACUGGGUUGGGGAAUUUUCUUUACUAUGGUUUUGCUUCAAUCUUAUUUUGGACAUUGUUUAGAUGUUAAAAUUUAAUUCCCAUUUAAAUUAUUUGGGUUUGGAGUUAUUUGGACGAUAAAACUUUGAUUGAUGUGUUAGUUUUAAAGUUGAGAAUUGAAAAUUAUAGAAUUUAUUUAUCUUACUACUUUGAACAGAAAUUUAGUAAUUGGAGAUCAUCCAGUUACAAGAUGAAUAUUUGAGUCGUUUCAAGUCGUUUCCACUUUGAGUGUUCAGGCUUAGGGUGUGAAAUGAUCGUUAUGCCCUUGGAGUGGGUAUAUUGUUUAUUUGAAUUUAAUGGUCCCCGAACUCCUUAAUUACUCAUAACUUUAUAUCAGCUUCUCAAAGUUAAGUUGUUUUACAACUACUAUCUAGCUACUUUUCUCUACUAUGACAACUUUAUUACAUAGUGAUUAAUUGAAAGAAUCUACAUGUCUUAUUUCAUAGGAUAGUUGAUUUUUUUACUCAAUGAAUUUUGCUUUUAUUAUUGAAAAUUUCAAAUCAUUGUAGUCCAACAAUUUCCUAUCCAUUGGUAAUUUCAUAUUACAUUUCCAAAGUCUAAUCAUUUAAAAACACUUGUAGUUAAUAUAUUGGCAAUUGCAUUGUGGGAAGUUGUUCACUUGAUUUUAAUGUUGAAACUUUCAAAUUUUUGUAGUCCAACAAUUCCCUAUCCAUUGGUAAUUUCAUAUCACAUUUUCAAAGUAUAAUACUUGUAUAUAGUAUAUUUGGUGAUUGUAGAGUGGAAAGUUGAUCAUUUUCAUGAAGACCUCUAAAAUAGAAUUUUUUUUCAUUCCAUUUAUUAAAGAAUUUCAUUAAUUGAACAUAUAUGUUUUUUUAACCGAAAAGUAGAGGCCACAUUAUACGAGGCCUUAGGUGACAAUACUAGGUGAGGGCUUUUUUUUUUAAUUUAUUUAUUACGAAAUAUAAAUAAUAUUAUUUAUUGUAUAAUAAAGAUUAUUAUAAUAUAUUUUUUAUAGAUGAAAAAAAAUAUUAAUUGAGUUUUAUUUUUUUAAAUAAUUGUUUUCAAUAAAUAACGUAUUUGUAAAAAGAAAACUAUAAAAUAUAUGCAUUUGAAAAAUAUUUAAUUUUUAUUUGAUUUAGUAUCAAUUAAUAUUUGUAAUAUUUUUUAAUAUUAUAGAAGUUAACAUACUCAAUUAAGAUAUUCAAGAUCAAGAGAAUAUUUGAGAUUGAAUUAAUUUCUUUAUUGUUUAUGUUUUAGUAAAUUUUUAUAUCCAUUAAAAUUUUUUUAUUGUUUAUUUUUCAUUCAAUGUUUGCAUUUUGUAAUAGAUAUUAAAACAAAUUUUUUUCUUGUAUGUUAAAAAAAUAUUUCAAUGUCUUUAAAAAUAAAAUAUUGUAGUAAAAUCAAAAUUACAUUGUGAAACUUUAAGCGAAUGUUUUAUACUAAAGAAGUGCCAAUUAAAGUAAGCAUGCAUCUACAAUUGUAAUUUAGAUGUCAUAUUGAAACAAUAGUUCUCUUUGACUAUAUCAUAAAAUUUGGUUCGAAUUACUUUAAGUCAUCUUGUAGAUUUUCAAGUUCCAAUGAUAUGCAUCAAGUAUGUGCAACAUACUUGAUAUGACUAAUAUUUUCUUAAGUAAUUGGACACUUUUUUCUAUAAAUUUACUUGAUUAUCAAUGAAUACUUUUAUGUAAGGUAUUGAUAUAAUUCGAUAAAUAUUUUAAAAUAGUAUUAGAAUAGCUUUGCUCUUUCCUAAUUAACAAAUUUACUAAAUUAACUUAUAUAUAUUUGUUUAUUUUAAUUUACUGGUAUUUGACUCAAUUUGUUAUUAUUUUUAAAAUUAUAGGAAAACCAUUAUUUAUAGAGUUUAAUUAUAUUUGGUAAAUUAUCUUUUUAAGUUUGACUAGGAUUAGGAAACUAUUAAUUUAAGAUUAAUCCAUAAGGCUCUAUAAAUUUGCAGUUUUAUAUAACAUUUAAAAAAAGAAAGAAAAAGUAAGAAAAAGUGAAGAGAGAUAGGCAAAGAGUGCAUUGGGUUUUAGAUAGAGAAAGGUCGAGAGAGUUUUGAUUACUACUCAAAAAGAACAUAUUUUAGAUAGUAAUUCUCAUGGGUUUCACAUCUUUUGAGUAUUAAUUAUGCCUAAAAAUGCUCAAUUAACAUGUUGUUGCCCUUGCAAGAGUUACUAAUAAGUUUUAUAAAGUUUUGGAGUCAUUUCAAGUUAUGAUUUUAAUAAAUUGGUGAUGAAAGAGAUGAAUUGAUUUGAAGAAGGAAAAUAAUAUUGAUGAUGAUCCAAAUGCAUAAUGAAAGAAGCAAUAUAAUUAGUUUGAUCGGGAUUUGCUGCUAAUUUGGAGGUAGUUAAGGUGGAGUCAAAAGAAGAAAAUGGAAGAAAUGACAAAGAGGAACUUAAAAACCAAAUGUUGCAGAUUUGUAUGAUCAUUCAAAAAUUACAUGACUAUGCCAAAUGGAUUAGAGAAGGAAAAUUGACUAUAGUAUAAGGAGGAUGCUUAAGUUGAUUUAGCAUGAACAUGAGAAAAUUUCGCAUGAACAUGCGAAAAUUUUGCACAAUCAUGCGAAAUGGUCCAGAAAGCUCUCUAAUGUUGUUGUUGCUCCACUAAUUUCGCACCACCAUGCGAAAUCGAUCUUUUCAUGCAAAAUGGCUGAAGCUCAUGUGAAAUCAUGAUUUUGAUGCUAAACUCCAGAUUUGUGAAUUUGGAAGGUUUUAGAAGACCAAUGAGAGGUUGCCAAGUGUCCACUUGACCUUGGUCUAUAAAUAGAAACUUGAAUUUCCCAUGUAAAGAGCUUUGUGAUACUUUUGAUUUUAGAUUUUUCUAGAAACUCUUUCUCUAAAUAGAAUUCUAUAUUUUCUUUAAUUUUCCCUCAUUUUCUCAUUAGCCAAACAUGCCUAGUGAGACCAAAUUUCCAAGUAUGAGUGACUAAAUCUCGUUUUUCUCAGAGGAAUGAGGAUCUAGAGGCAAGAUCUAUGGUGAAUUAUAGAAAUGAGUUUUAAUUGCAAAUGUAAUUUGAUUCAAUUGAUUGAUUAAUUGAAAUUCGAGGAUUUUUCUCUUCAAAUUGUCCUGAAUGACAAUUACAUUGCAAACUAGGCAGAUUAAUUAAAUUCUUAAAGUUAGAUUUAAUGAGACUGAAUAGUUGCAUUGUAUGAAUCAUUGGAAGAUGAUUUAAGAUGAAUUGAAUAUAUAAUUUAAAUUCAUAUCUUGGAUUAAAUAACCUAAUUUGAAGAGAAAUUAGGUUUAGACUUAAAGGGAAAUCUAAAAUCGGUUUAGAUAAGAAUUUAGGUUUUCAAUCUAACUUGAUGAAAAAUAAAUCUCAACAUUUAUUCACCAUGGAAAUUGUUUUCUAAAAAAUAUUAACUCUGAGAAUUCCUUUUCCUUAUCAGUUUUCUUAUAUUCUACAUUAUAUUAUUCUUUUCGAUUAGAAAUCAUUGUUAUUUUGAUUUUUCGUGAAUUGUCAAAUCAAUUUCACUUGACCAUAAUCAUUUCUUUUCCUCUCAUUUAAACCUUAAUUAUCGAGAAUAAUCCAUCCCAAUAGAAGACACCUAAGACCACUAUACUACUGUAGCUUUUGCUAAAAAACCUUUUUGAUCGGGCAAGAGUUACCUUAGCAUAGUUGAAUUAGGUUAUAAAUUUUUUAUCCAAUAAACAACAAAAAAAUCAAUUGAUCAAGUUUACAUUGUGUAUUCUUGAAUUUUAUUAAUAAAUUUGAUCCCCUUUUUUGAAGCGAUUACACCAAACCAAGUAAAUAUUUUAUCUACUUCAUUUGCUUUAUUUUUUCUAUUAAGUUUAGGUGUUGCAAUUUUUAAGAGUCAUGGUGAGAAGAUUGUGGGAAAAAUUAUUUUAAGGAUGGAGUCGAACAUAAAAUAUGAAAUUGAGUCCUUUGAUGGAAAUAAUAAUUUUAAUAUUUGAUAGAGUAUUAUUAAAGAUGUUUUGAUACAACAAAGACUUCUCAAAGCAUUACAAGGCAAAAAAAACUAGAGAGCAUGACAAAUAAAGAAAUGAAAGAAUUACAAGCAAGAGUUGUAAGUACUAUUUGUUUAAGUCUUAAAAAUGAAAUACAUUGUUUUGAAUGAAAAAAAUAUUCUUUUAGGGGUGUCAAUUGCUCUUUUAGAGACCAAAAAUAUUAAGCAAUCAAGUAGUUCAUCUCAUAUUGGACAAACUGUUAUGAUGAAUUCUAAACCAUAUCAUCAUAGGAGUAAAUCGAAAGAAAAGUAUCUGAUAGGAGGAUGAUCAUUCCAUUCACACUUAUAGAGGAAUAUGAAGUAUUAUUNNNNNNNNNNNNNNNNNNNNNNNNNNNNNNNNNNNNNNNNNNNNNNNNNNNNNNNNNNNNNNNNNNUAGUGAUUGUUUUAUGUUGAAGAAAGGCUAAUUAAAGUAAACAUGCAUCUAAAAUUAUAAUUUAGAUGUUGUACUCAAAUAGUUGCUCUCCUCGAUUAUAUCAUAAAAUUUGGUUUGAAGUCUAAGUCAUCUAAUAAUUUUCUAGUUCCAAUUACAUGCAUCAAACAUGUGUGUUAGGAAGUGUUGCAAAUUACUAAUUAGUAUAUAUUCUUUUUUUUUUAAGAAUAUUGUAUUAAAUAUUUCUAGGUUGAUAUAUUAUUGUAAUAUUAGACUUCUUUAUAGAAUAAGGAAGGUUGUUGAAAAUAUCCCUAUAAAUAUUCUAGUUCAUAAGGGGAAAAAGUUUUGAGAUGAAGAUGGACCCAUAAAGACUAUACAAGGUGGAUAGAGAUGUGAGGAAGAACGAGAGGUACCCGAUGGAGCGAGAGGGCUCGUGGUAGGGUAUAGGUACGAAGAGUGAGGAAACAUGGGAUGUUUUGGGAACUCAAUAUUUGUAUCUAGUUAUGUCCUCUAUAAGUUCUAGUUCUGUCAUCUGCAUUGUUCUCUAUUUUAUAGUGGAAUGAUUCUCUCUUAUCUGUGGACGUAGGCAUGGUUUUCGAACCACGUUAAAACCUUGUGUACCGUUUGUGUUGAUUUUUUUUAUCUUUAUUUUCUUGAUUAAUGAAGUUUGCAUCAAAGCUUCUGUCAACGUAACAAACUUGUAUCAAAGUUUGGGAUAAAGAUUUCUAGAAGAGUAAAAGAUCAUAGAGCACACAAGAUGAAAACAAAAGGAAUUUUUAGUGAAAAAGGAGUCAAUUGCUCUCUCGUGGUGAUAUGAUAUAAAAAGUUUAUGUCAUGGAAAGUUUGAAGAUUUACUUCAUGGAAUCUGGUCCAAAAUGGAGAUUGUUAAUAAGUGUCCCAAAUUCCUAAUUAGUAUAGAUUUUUUUUUUUGUAAAGAAUAUUGUAUAGAAUAUUUCUAGGUUGAUAUAUUAUUGUAAUAUUAGACUUCCUUAUAGAAUAAGGAAGGUUGUUGAAAAUAUCUUUAUAAAUAUUCUAGGUCAUGAGGGAAAAAAGUAUGAGAUGAAGAUGGGCCCUAUAAAAACUAUAUGAGGUGGAUAAAGAUGUGAGGAAGAAUGAGAGGUACUCAAUGGAAUGAGAGGGCUCGUGGUAGGGUAUGGAUACAAAGAGUGGGGAAAUAUGGGAUGUUUUGGGAACCUAUUAGUUGUAUCUAGUUCUGUCAUCUAUAAUGUUCUAGUUACGUCCUCUAUAAUGUUCUCUAUUGUAUAGUGGAAUGAUUCUCUUUCAUCCGUGGAUGUAGGCAUGGUUGUCGAACCACAUUAAAACCUCGUGUACUAUUUGUUUUAUUUUUAAAUUUUUUUUAAUCUUUGUUUCUUGAUUAAUGAUGUGUGCAUCAAAGCUUCCAUCUACGUAACAAACUGGUAUCAGAGCUUGGGUUGAAGAUUUUUGGAAUAGUAAAAGAUCACAAAGCACACAAGAUGAAAACAAAAGGAAUUUUUAGUGAAUGUGGAGUCAAUUGUUCUCUCGUGGUGAUAUGAUACAAAAAGUUUGUGUCAUGGAGGGUUUAAUGAUUGACUCCGUGGAAUUUGGUCCAAGGUAGAGAUUGUUAGGAAGUGUCCCAAAUUCCUAAUUAGUAUAGAUUUUUUUUUUUUAAAGAAUAUUGUAUAGAAUAUUUCUAGGUUGACAUAUUAUUGUAAUAUUAGACUUCCUUAUAGAAUAAGGAAUGUUGUUGGAAAUAUUUUUAUAAAUAUUUUAAGUCAUGAGGGGAAAAAUUUAUGAGAUGAAGAUGGGCCUAUAAAGACCAUAUGAGAUGGAUAGAGAUGUGAGGAAGAAUCGGAGGUACCCAGUGGAGCGAGAGAGUUCGUGGUAGGGUGUGAAUAUGAAGAGUGGGGAAACAUGGGAUGUUUUGGGAACCCAAUAGUUGUAUCUAGUUCUGACAUCUAUAAUGUUCUGGUUCUGUCAUCUAUAAUGUUCUGGUUUUGUCCUCUGUAAUGUUCUUUAUUGUAUAGUGGAAUUAUUCUCUCUCAUCUAUAUAGGCAAGUUGCUAAACCACGUUAAAACCUCGAAUACCUUUUGUGUUGAUUUUUUUUAUCUUUGUGUUCUUGAUUAACGAUGCUUGCAUCAAAGCUUCUACCAACGUAACAAUGUGCAACAUAUUUGAUAUAACUUAUAUUUUCUUAAGUAAUUGAACACUUUUUUCUAUAAAUUUACUUGAUGAUCAAUGAGUACCUACAUAUACGGUAUUGACAUAGUUUGAUAAACAUUUUAAAAUAGUAUUAGAAUGGCUUUUCUUUUUCCCAAUUAACAAAUUUAUCAAAUACACACACACACACACACACACAAAAUACUCAUUAGUAUGUCUUUUAUGAAAAAACUAUGUUUGUUUAUUUGAAUUUAGUAGCCAUUCAAUUCCUUAGUUACUCAUAAACUUUUUAUCACCUUCUUAAAGUCAAGUCAUUUACAAUUAUUUUCAAGUCAUUUACAAUUAUUUUAGCCUUCUCCAUUAUGACAACUUUAUAAGAUAGUGAUUGAUUGGAAGAAUCUACAUGCCUUUGUUGAUAGUAUAAUUGUUUUUCUUUUUUUUCGUAUUCAAAGAAUCUUGCUUCUGUUAUUGAAACUUUCAAAUCCUUUAUGUCUAGUGGUCUUAUAAUUCCCUAUUCAUUGGUCUUUCAUAUUACCAAUCAUUUUGCAAAUGAGUUAAUUUCAUUCACAUCCUCUGAGAUUUGAUGUAAAUUCGCUUAGUUACCAAUGAUUUCAAAUUUCAUUAAUUAGUACCCCUACAGAUAUAAUUCGUGUACAAAAUUUAUUUUUUAAAAGAGUUUAGGUAAAAAUAUUUUAGGUAUAUGUCUUUAACAAUUCUCUAAAAUAAAUUUUACUUGCUAAAAAAUAACUUAUAUAGAUAGAAUACAUCUACAGGAGUUCUAACUAACGAAAUUUAAAACUAAUGGUGGUUUAGUGUAUUUAAACUAAACAUUAGGAAGGGUGACUGAAAUUAACCCUCUAGGUAUAUAUGUUUAACAAAAUUUUUAUUGUUUAUUUUUCAUUUAAUGUUUGCAUUUUUCAAUAAACAUUGAAAAGGAAUUGUUUUUCCAUAUGUUAACAAAAAGAAAUUUGAAUACCUAUAAAAAUGAAAUCUUGUAGUAAAAUUGGAGUUACAUUAUCAGACUUUUAACGAGUGUUUAUGUUUAGAAAGGCCAAUUAAAGCAAGCAUGCAUCUAGAAAUUGUAACUUAGAUGCAUCAAACAUGAGCAACAUAUUUGAUAUAACUAAUAGUUUCUUAAGUAACUAAACACUUCUUUUUCUAUAAAUUUACUUGAUUGUCGAUGAAUACUUACAUACAUUUACAUAGUUUGAUAAAUAUUUUAAAAUAAUAUUAGAAUAACUUUGUUUUUUCUCAAUUAUAUUAGAAAAUAAUAUAAAGUUACUUAUAAACUUUAUAUCAUUUUCUCAAAGUCAAGUCAUUUACAAUUAUUUCUAUCUAGUCUUCUCCAUUAUGACAACUUUUAUAUGAUAGUCGUUGAUUGGAAGAAUCUACAUGUCUUUUUUGAUAAGAUAGUUGUUUUUAUUAUUUUUAUUUUUUUUAUUCCAAAAAUUUGCUUCUAUCAUUGAAACUUUCAAAUCUUUUAUGUAUAUUACCAAUCAUUUUACAAGUGAGUUAAUUUCACUUAGGGUAGAUAUACUUAGCCACACCCCUAUAGAUGUAAUUUGUGUUUAAAUUUUAUUUUUUAUUUAGGUAAAAAUAUCUUAGGUAUAUGUGUUCUACAAUUCUCUAAAAAAUAAAUUUUCUUAUCUAAAAGUUUAUAUAGACAAAAUACAUCUAUAGAAGUCCUAACUAAUGAAAUUUAAAAUCAAUGGUUGUUUAGUGUAUUUACAUUAAACCUUAUGGGGUAUGAUUGAAAUUAAGUCUUUUACAAGCACUUGUAGCUAAUAUGUUUGUAGUUGUAGUCUUGGAAAUUGAUCAUUUUCUUGAAGGCCUCUAGGAUAUUGAAAAUAUUGCCAUAGUUUUAGACUUUUUUUUUAUUACACCUAAUAAAAAAUAUUAUUAAUUUAACAUAUAUAUUCUUGACUUAAAAGUAAAGUCUCUCCAUAUUGUAUAAGCCCUUAGGUGGCAAUAUUAGGUGAAGUUUUUCUUUCGUUUAUUACAAAAUAUAAAUAAUUUAUUAUUGUAUGAUAAAAUUUUAUGUAAUAUAUUUUUAUAGAUGUAAAAUUAUUAAUUGGGUUUUGUUUUUUUUUACUAAAUUGUCAUUUCAAUAUAUAAAACUUAUUUGUAAAAAGACAAUUAUAAACUAUAUGAAAUUGAAAAACAUUUAGUUUUUUUAUUUAAUUUAGAAUUUUAUUUGGAUUAAUAAUUGAUAUUUGUAAGAUUUUUGAAUAUUAAAAAAAGUUAGCAUACUUAAGAAAGAUAUUCAAGAUCGGGAGUGUUUGAUAUCGGAUUAAUUUCCUUAUUUUCUCUAUUUUAAUAAAUUUUCACGUCCAUUACAAAAUUUUUGUUGUUUAUUUUUUACUUCAAUAUUUUUAUUUUGUAAUAGAAAUUUGAAAAGAUUUUUUCCUACAUGUUAAAAAAAAAAAAGAUUUGAACACUCCUAAAAAAGAAAUAUUGCAAUAAAAUUAAAGUUUACACUGUAGGACUAUUAGCAAAUGCUGCAUACUUAAAAUAGACCAAUUAAAGUAGAAAUACUUCUAAAAUUGUAAUUUAGGUAACAAUAAUAUAAAAAGACAAUAUUUUUGAAACAAUAGUUCUCUUGGAGUUUUGGGUACAAUGGACUAGACUUUAUGUAACAAUAGAUAUACAAACUUUCCAUUAACAUCUUGAGAGACAUGAUGAGGAGCAAAGUCAUCCAAGAAGGUACCAUAGAGGUACCUUAGCUCAAUUCAUCUAGACUACAUAAUGUUUAAAGAUCAAAUUCAAUGACUAGAUUUCAAAAAUCAAUAUAAGCUUUCUCAUAUUCUACUCUAUAUAAGACAAUGGUAUGAUACCUCUCUUGUGUCGUAGAAUGCACCAUGAAAACCUUAUCAUUUUAACAUCAGUUUGAAACUUAAAAGUCACUUAGCACAUUCUAGUUAUUAAUUUAAGAGCAUUAAAAGAAAUAUAUAAAAAAAAAGUUACUUUAUCCUUGUGAUUUUGAUCUAGGACUUUUAAUGAUAUUAAAAAAAAAAACAGAAAAAUAAAUGGAAAUAAAAUCAAUAAAUUAAACAAUUGAAUUAAGUUAGUUUAAUUUUUGAAUCGUUAAAUGGGUAAAUAAAGAUCUUAGAUUUGAUAUUAAUAUGAACAUCAUGACUUCAGUGAAUCUUACAAGAAAAUUUUAGUUUGAAAGACUUCAUUCAUUAAACGUGUGGCACAUAUUAAAGUAAAACUAAGUCUUCUCUAUAAUUUGUACCUAUCAUAGUUUCUUUCCUCAUAAAUAGCCUUUUUUGAAUAUAAUAUAGACUUCAACAUGCAUGGUGGGGCCAAUCAAACUACUAGUCAAGACAACUCAUGGGCAACAACGAUGUACCAACUACAUUUAAAUACUCUUCAUAUAUUUGCAUAUCAAGAGUAAUUUAGUAGUGUCUUUCUUAUGUACCUCAUAUCUAGACUUUCAAUGGAGAGUUCUUCAUCUAAAAAUUUGACUUGGGUUUUCAUACUAGUUUUGGUUUAGACAUGUGGAUGCAAAGGUUGCAUCAAAGAAGAGAAGUAGGCUAAAUCAUCUUACAAAUUUUCAAGUUCAAAUUAGAUGCACCAAACAUAUGCAACAUAUUUGAUAUAACUAAUAUUUUCUUAAGUAAUUGAAUACAAUUUUUUUUUAUAAAUUCACUUGAUUAUUAAUGGAUAACUAACUACAUGUAUGGUAUUGACACAACUUGAUAAAUUUUUUAAAAUAGUAUUAGAAUAACUUUGCUAAAAAAAAGUAAAAAUAAAAAUAAAAAUACAUCUAUAUAUAUAUAUAAUUAAAUAAAAUUAAAAAUUAAUAUAUAUAUAUAUAUAUAUAUAUUCUGUGUGUGUAUGUGUGCAUGGUCUCACAAGUCAUUAGCUACUCAUAAGCUUUAUAUCACUUUCUCAAAGUCAAGUCAUUUUGUAAUUAUUUCUAUCUAGCCUUCUCCAUUACGACAACUGUAUAGGAUAUUGAUUGAUUGUAAAAAUCUUCAUGUCUUUUUUUAUAAGAUAGUUUUUUAUUAUUAUUAUUAUUCAAAGAAUUUUCUUUUAUUAUUGAAACUUUCAAAUCCUUUAUGUCUAGUGGUCCUACAAUUCCCUAUUCAUUGGUAUUUCAUAUUACCAAUCAUUUUACAAAUAAGUUUAUUUCACCCGGUAAAUAUACUUAACUACCAAUGGUUUCAAAUUUAAUUGAUUAACACACUUAUAGAUGUAAUUUGUUUUUAAAUUUUAUUUCUUUUAGAAGAAUUGUAGGUAAAAAUGUUCUAGGAAUAUGUGUUCAAUAAUUCUCUAAAAACAAUUUAUAUAGAUGGAAUACAUUCAUGGAAGUUCCAACUAAUGAAAUUUAAAACCAAUGACGAUUUAAUGUAUUUGCACUAAAUCUUAGGGGAGGUGUACUAAAACUAGCCCUUUUACAAAUAUUUGUAGCUAGUAUAUUUGUAGUUAUGGUGUUGGAAGUUGAUCAUUUUCUUAAAGGCCUCUAAGAUAUUGGAAAUAUCGCCAAAGUUUUGAACUUUUUGUUUCACCUAAAUAAAAUAUCAUUAAUUUAAUAUAUAUACUCUUCGCUUGAAAGUAUAGUUUCUUCAUAUUGUAUGAAGUUGUAACUAGGUGACAAUAUUAGGUGAAAUUUUUUUUUGUUUACUACAAAAUAUAAAUAAUAUAUUUAUUAUAUGAUAAAAUUUUGUAAAAUAUAUUAUUAUAGAUGCAAAAUUAUUAAUGGAGUUUUAUUUUUUACUAAAUUAUCAUUUCAAUAAAUAAGAACUUAUUUGUUAAAAGAAAAUUAUAAAAUAUAUGCAAUUGAAAAAAAUUUAAUUUUUUUAUUUAAUUUGGUAUUUUAUUUGAAUUAAUAAUUGAUAUUUGUAAAAUCUUUUAAUAUUAAAAGAAGUUAACAUACUUAAAAAAGACAUUCAAAAUCAAGAGAGUAUUUGAUAUGAAAUUAAUUAAUUAUUUUUUUUCUAUUUAAAUAAAUUUUUACAUCCAUUAAAAAAAUUUUCUUGUUUAUUUUUCACUUCAAUAUUUUUAUUUUGUAAAAUAAAUAGAAAUAAAAUCAACAAAUUAAACAAUUGAAUUAAGUUAGUUUAAUUUUGCCACCGUUAAAUUGGUAAAUGAAGACUCUUAUAUUUGAUAUUAACAUGAACAUCAUGACUUCAUUGAAUAUUCUCACAAGAAAAUUUUAGUUUGAAAGAUUUUAUCCUUUAAACAUGUGGCACAUAUUAAAGUGAGACCAAGUCUUCCCUAUAAUUUGUAUCUAUCACAAUUUCUUUCCUAAUGAAUAACCUUUUUGAAUAGAAUAUAGACUUUAGCAUAUUACCAACCAUUUUACAAAUAAGUUAAUUUCACUCAGUAAAUAUACUUAACCACCAAUGGUUUCCAAUUUGUAGCACUCUUAUAGAUGUAGUUUUUUUUUUAAAUUUUAUUUUUUAGAAGAAUUGUAGGUAAAAAUAUUUUAGAUAUAUAUGUUCAACAAUUCUCUAAAAACAAUUUAUAUAGAUGGAAUACGUUCAUGGAAGUUCCAACUAAUGAAAUUUAAAACCAAUGAUGAUUUAAUGUAUUUGUACUAAAUCUUAGGGAGUGUGGACUAAAAUUAGCCCUUUUACAAAUAUUUAUAACUAGUAUAUUUGUAGUUGUGGUAUUGAAAGUUGAUCAUUUUCUUAAAAGGUUUACCAUUGAAGUUAGUUGAAUAUAAAGUUAGGUGAACUUUACCAUUGUUUAAUUGGUAAAUGAAGACUCUUAGAUUUGAUACUAACAUGUACAUCAUGACUUCAUUGAAUCUCUCACAAGGAAAUUUUAGUUUGAAAGACUUCAUCUUUUAAACAUGUGGCACAUAUUAAAGUGGACCAAGUCUUCCCUAUAAUUUGUAUCUAUCACAAUUUCUUUCCUCAUAAAUAGCCUUUUUUAAUAGAAUUAAUAUAGACUUUAGCAUGCAUGGUGGGCCCUGUCAAACUAUUAGUCAAGAUAAUUUGUAGGUAAGAACGAUGGACCAACUAUAUUAAAUAUUCUUCAUCUAUUUGCAUAUCAAGAGCAACUUAAUAUUGUCUUUCUUUUGUACUUCAUGUUUGAACUUUCAAUGGAGAGUGUGUCAUCUAAAUAUUUGAUGUGGGUUUUUAUACUAUUCUUGGUUCAAAUAUGUGGAUGCAAAGGUUGCAUCGAAGAAGAGAAGAUGGGUUUGCUUGAAUUCAAGGCUUUUCUUAAAUUGAAUAAUGAGCAUGCAGAUUUUCUUCUCCCUUCAUGGAUAGAUAACAACACUAGUGAAUGUUGUAAUUGGGAGCGGGUUAUUUGCAAUCCCACCACAGGUCGAGUUAAGAAGCUUUUCCUCAAUGAUAUUACGCAACAACAAAGUUUCUUGGAAGACAAUUGGUACCAAUAUGAAAAUGUCAAAUUCUGGUUACUAAAUGUCUCCCUAUUCCUUCCUUUUGAAGAACUUCACCAUCUAAACUUGUCUGCAAACUCAUUUGAUGGGUUUAUUGAGAAUGAAGGUAUGUUACCUCUCACCUUUAAAAUUUCAUUUCACUUAUACUCCAAACAUUCUAAAGGAACUACUAGCAUAUGUUCUUAAAAGUGUUCAGGUGGAGACCAAAUGGUCACUAGUAACUAUUGAAUUUAAUAUAAGAACAAUUACUAAUUAUUAAAAUUUAUAAUGUAAAUUAACAUUUAAACAGAACAAUAAAAAAAUUAUUAUUUUAGAAAACUAUAGAUUACAUUAGCCUUAUAUAUAUAAGCAUACUUGUUAUUUAUGCCAUCAUUUCACACUCAACCCAAUAAGUGGGAUUCAACUAAGAGUGAGCAAUUUCACAAUUAUUAAUUAACAGGAACACUUAGUCUCCCAUAUCCUUAUCCUUUUUGUUGAAUUGUCUUUCCUUAUCUUCCAUUCCUAAAAAGCUUGAUUUCUAUAUUCUAAAUUGAUAAAGAUUGGUUAAAGAAAGGUGAUCACAAAAUUUGACUAUUGCUGUCAAAUAAGGAAUCACCAUCUUCAAAGUUUCACAUUUACAAAAAAAAAAAAAAAAAAAAAAAAAAAAAAAAAAAACCCUAGCCUUGGGUAAGGUCCAAGCCUUAUUGUUUUAAGCUGAUGUCGGGUUGGUUUAAUAAUAAACAAAAAAAAUCCUAACCCAUGACCAUCUACGCAUUUCCAAAUUCCACCCAUCCACAACCCAUUAAUAUGACAUUUUCAAGGACAAAAUUUAAUCAAUUAAACCUAUUAGAUGGAUUCUCCAUACAAUGUUAAAAUGAAUAUAAAAACUUUAAUUCAAAAAAUAAUUUCCUUUAUUUAGUUAGGAUUCAAAUUAUAGGGGCACAAAACAUGAAAAUUUUCAUGUUUAAAAUUCACAAAGAUCACAAAAGCUCUUUGAAGCUCUAUGGACUUUUUUAUUUCUAACAUUUAAACACAAAAAUCACCAUAUUUAAUUAGAGAUUUGGAUACAUAUUCUUAUAUUAAAGACAUGUAAGCUUACAUAUUUAAAUAUGAAGAUCUCAACUUGUAAUUACAUGCUUCUAAUUAAAGUUAUAUUACUCUAUUUUAUAGGAUUUAAAGGGUUAUCAAGUUUAAAGAAAUUGGAGAUCUUAGACAUAAGUGGUAAUGAGUUUGAAAAAAGUGUCUUAAAAUCUUUGGACACAAUAACAUCACUCAAGACAUUGGCUAUUUGCAGCAUGGGACUGAAUGAAUCUUUUUCCAUUCGAGGCAUGUUAUAUGUCCACAUUGUUUCUUUGAAAUUAAGUAAAAUAUAUUUCUAACUUUUAAUGUUCCUUAGUUAAUCUCUCUUUUGAUUCAUGUUUGUUGCAGAAUUAGCUAGUUUGAGAAAUUUGGAAGUGUUGGAUCUAAGCUAUAAUGAUUUGGAAAGCUUUCAACUAUUGCAAGGUACUUCAUUAACUUGCUAAAAAAACUUAUGAUAUUUUGUUAUUAAAUUAAAGGUAAGAUUAACAAACAAUUUCUUCUCAUUAGUUACUUUUCUUUGUAAUAUCAUUAAAUUUGAUAUAAAGUAGUCUAAAUCAUCCUUUCAAUUUAUAAGUUUUAAUUAAAACGCAUCAAGCAUGCACAAGAUGUUUAAUAUAACUAAUAUUUUCAUAAGUAAUUGAAUUUUUUUAUAUGAAUUAAUUAACUUGAUUAUCAAUAAAUACUUACAUGUAUAAGAUUAAUAUAGUUUCAUAAGUAUUUUAAAAUUGUCUUACAACACACACACACACACACACAAGGAAAAUGAAAGGUAUGUGAUAUCUUUAUGCUAUGUUUGGUUCCCAAAAAAAUUGAGGGAAAAUGAAAGGAGAAAAAAGUAGAGACGAAAAGUAAAAGAAAAGAAAAAAAGUAAAGAAAAAUAUAAAAUUGAUUAAAGUAAAUACAUUAUUUUUAUAUGUUACUUUAACUUGUUUCACUUAUUUUAAUUCUUCAAUGUAAAGAUGAAAGAUUUGAAAAUGCAUAAGUUUCUAAUUAUUUUUUAUUUUAUUUUAUAGUUUUUACAAUACAACCAAACAUAAUAAAAUCAUUUUCUUUAAUUUUUUUUCUUUUCUUAAUACUUUUCACGAACCCUUUAAGUUAUGUUUGUUUGCAGAAAAUAUGAGGAAUAGAAAAUAGAAAAGAAAAUUAGAAGGAAAGAAAAAGUGAAGUAAAAUAAAAAUAAAUUUAAAUUUAAUAAAUUAUUUGUAUAUGCUACUUUAAACUUAUUUCACUUAUUUUAAAUUAUUUAAACUCAUUUCUAAUAAAUAAUAAUGGAAAUUGUAGAGAAGUUUGUGUUAUUCAAGCUUUGCAAUGACUUUACAAGGUGAAGGAAAAUAUUCUUGCUGAAAUUGAAAAAAGAAAUACCUUCUUAAAUAGCCUAUUGACCGAAAACACAUUACCCUAACAUAUACACACACCUUUAUUAUUUAUACAAUCAUUUAAUACUUAAUCCAGUUAGUGGGAUUCUAGUGGUUGUUUUUAUCUUGGUUUCCAAUAUUUCUGAUUGAUAGUGUUCGAUUAAUGAAAUAUCAUAAAUUUUGACCCUAAUAAGGACCAAUCCCUAUUAAAUGUAAUUGGGUUGACCUAAGACUAAAUGUUAGAUCCAACUAAUAAAAACCCAUCUAUUUGUUGGAGUGUAAAUAACCCGGCCUUAGGUAGGGCCCAUGCCUUAUUAUUUUAAGAUGUAGUCCAACUGGUUUGACACUAGAUUGAGUAAAGCCCAACUUAUGAGCAUCUAUGCAUUUCCAUCCAUCCACAACCUACUGGCAUGGACAAACUUUGGUCAAUUAAACCUAUUAUAACUGCAUACAAAAUUUUAAGUUCAAAAGAUAAUUUUCCUUAUUUAGUUAGGAUUCAUAUUAAAAAGGCACAAAGCACGAAUUUUCAUGUUUAAAUUCACAAAUAUCACAAAAGCUCCUUCAAGCUCUAUGGACCAUUUUAUUUGUAACAUUAUAUUACUCUUAAUUAUCAAAUUAACCAACAAAUUCUUCUCAUUAGUUAUUUUUCUUUAGUAAUGUCAUAAAAUUUGAUAUAAAGUAGUAUUGGUCAUCAUUUCAAAUUUUAGGUUCCAAUUAGAUGUAUCAAGCAUGUGUACCAUAUUUGAUAUAACUAAUAUUUUUAUAAGUAAUUGAAUUUUUUUUUCUAUAAAUCAAUUAAUUUGAUUAUCAAUGAAUACUUUCAUACAUGAUAUUGAUGUAGUUUCAUAAAUAUUUUAAAAUAGUCAUAGAAGUCUUUUAUCUGAUUCACUAGAAAGAAAAAUAAACUAUUCUAAUGAAAAGACUUGAUGAUUUGAAGUGAUUGCUUUUGAUUUUAUUUGAUUGCUACCAUUAUUAAUUGUUAGAAAUUGGCAACAAAUACCCAUUUUGCAUCACUUCUAUAUGCAUCGGGGGAAUGAAUUAUAUUUCAUAGAGCUAAUAGGGCAAAACUCAAACUUUUGGAAUUAUGGAAAAGGUUGCUAGAAAGCUAAUUAACCAUUUAUAUUAUGAUUAAGACUAGUUGGGUUAGAAAUAAUUCAUAUGGAGAUUAAAAAAAACUAUGUAAUUUAGUUUAGUAGCUUGGGUGCUAUUGUAAUGAUUAAUGAUCUGCAACUUGAACACAUCUACUAGUGCUUUCUACUUGUAUAGCUAAAUUUAUGUUACCACUUUGAACUACAGUACUUACAUGAGAAGAAAGUUUUUCCUUAGUGAUAAUGCAAAAGAAAUUAAGUAUCAAUUUUUGUUAAACUAACAAGUGAUAGUUUAGAUAUGGUUUGAAUACACUUCCUUUCUUCUAUAUUUUUAUUUUGAAAAAAAAAAACUCUUUAAUGAAAUAUAAGAAAUCUUAUAUGUAUAAAAAUUAAAGACUUAAACAAAAAAAUUCUUCAAAUUUGAAAAUUUUCGAGAAGUAUUUUUAAGAAUUUGUAUUUUCAAUAUAAUAAUUCAUAUAUUUUGUAUAAAAGUUUUUGUUUAAAAAAAUAGAAGUGUGUCCAAAUUACAAAUUAAUUGUUAAAUUAAGAAUGUUUCUCAGAUCAAGAGAUGAUGAAAGUUGUAGAGAGUUUGCAUUACUCAACCUUUGCAAUUACUUUUUGAAGGUAAAAGAAAAUACCUUCCUACAUAACAUACAAUGGCAGGUUCUGGUUUGUAAGAAACUAAUAAAUGAUUAAGAAUAUGAAUAAGACUUCCUUUAUAAUGGAUAUGUAGAGAAGAAUAGUGGAUGAUAGGAGGUGAAAAUCUUGUAAUAAAAUAUCAAUAUCAGUUAUAAGAUAAUCAACAUUUUCUCUAUUUCUUGUACCUAUGUGAUUAAGAAUCUUGUAGCUCCCUUAUUGAAAUAUAAUAUAAAAAUAUAAAUAAACUAUUUAGAAGUGCAUGUAGUUUUCAACAUGAGGAAGUUCAAAAGCAAGUUAAUUAUGAUAAUUUUCUAUAGUCUAUAUUGAACACAAAUUAUUUUUACUAAAGGUUCAAUCGUUCUAUGAAGGUUAAAAGUUUGAAUUGUUUACAUAUGCAAAUGGACAACCAAACAAGAAAAUGAUUUUGAAAUCCUUUUUGGACCUUUUUUUAUCAUUCAUUUUUUCCCCUACUCUAUUUCCUUUCCCUCAAACUCUCUAGGUAGUAAACAUUACCUAAGAUAAAUAGGGAAGAAAAUAUUUUAUCAUUUAUUUAUUUAGUAUUUUUCUUACAUUUUUUGUAUGUUAUCCAAAUAUAAGAAAACUAUUUUUCUUUAUUUUUUCUUUUCCUUGUUGCUUUUCAAGAAUCAAGCAUACUUUAAACUCUAAUUAAGAGUUACAUAGAUUUACGAAGAAACAAUGCAACUGGUAACAAAAAAUUAAGGAAAUUUAAUUUUUGAGAGUAGGUAUAAUGAGAUUGGUUUGUUUGAUACAAAAUUUGAAUAAAAAUUCUUUCAAUGAAAAUUCAAGGAAAGGAAAAAAAAAACAACUUUCUCUCUAGACUAUAAUACUAAAUCACUUAAAAAAUAUCCUAACAUCGUUUAUGUUCAUCUUUCUUUUUAUGGAUUUGAAAAACCCAAUAAUUUGGAGAAAACUGAUUCAAGGAAGAAUAAUUUUUAGAAUAAAAUAUUAUUAUUUAAGAAGAUCAUAAAUAUUAUAGUCAUUGUUGAAUAUGAUAAAUGAUUUAAAAAAAAUGGUAGUUGGAAAUUUAGAUACUUUUAUAAGACAAAUGAAUUUUUCUAGUAUGGUAUGAAAAAAGGUAAAAUGAUAGGCUUUGAUCAUUUUUUAAGGUAGUUUGUUUAAAUCAUUUUAAUUUAUUUUCAUUUAAGAACAAUAACUUUUAUUACACUAGUUAUUUUGAUUUUCUUUUGAUAGAUUUUGCAAGCUUAAGCAAUUUGGAGCUAUUGGAUUUGAGUAAUAAUUCAUUUAGUGGGAGCGUUCCAUCAUCUAUAAGAUUGAUGUCUUCUCUCAAGUCUUUAUCCCUGGCUGGAAAUUACCUCAAUGGUUCCUUACCAAAUCAAGGUAUAUAUAUAUUGUGAUUACAGGUUUUUCUGUUUUCUUUUUUAAUAUCUUGUUUGUUCUUUAUGCCAAUGAAGUCAUGCAUGUCUAUUAAUUUUUGGUAUUUAAUAAAAAACUUUAUUCUUAAUUCAUAAAGACCUCAUCAACGGUAAGUAACAGCUAGUUGUAAGUUUGGGGGCAUUGACAAGACGAGGAGAUGAUUGGUUACAUGUCUUAUUCUCUUUUGUAGGCUUUUGCCAAUUGAAUAAGCUUCAAGAAUUAGAUCUUUCUUACAACUUGUUCCAAGGAAUCCUUCCUCCAUGUUUGAAUAAUUUGACAUCUUUGAGGUUAUUGGAUCUCUCUUCCAACCUAUUCUCCGGAAAUCUUUCUUCCCCUCUGUUACCUAAUCUCACAUCCCUGGAGUACAUCGAUCUCAGUUACAAUCAUUUUGAGGGUUCAUUCUCUUUCAGCUCUUUUGCUAAUCACUCCAACCUUCAAGUGGUCAAACUUGGAAGGAAUAACAACAAAUUUGAGGUAGAAACUGAAUAUCCAGUUGGUUGGGUUCCCCUGUUUCAGUUGAAAGCUCUUGUGCUAUCCAACUGUAAGCUCAUCGGUGACCUUCCUAGUUUCCUUCGACACCAAUUAAGAUUAACCGUGGUUGAUCUCUCCCAUAAUAACUUGACUGGAAGUUUCUCCAUUUGGCUGCUUGAAAACAAUACAAGACUAGGAUCUCUAGUUCUGAGGAAUAACUCUUUAAUGGGUCAACUACUUCCCCUGAGACCUAAUAGUCGUAUCACUUUAUUGGAUAUCUCAGACAACCGACUUGAUGGGGAACUUCAACAAAAUGUGGCCAAUAUGAUUCCAAAUAUUGAGUUUCUAAAUUUAUCCAACAAUGGUUUUGAAGAUAUUCUCCUAUCCUCAAUAGCCGAAAUGAGUUCCUUACAGUCAUUGGAUUUGUCUGCUAAUAGUUUCUCAGGGGAAGUACCAAAACAAUUGCUUGUGGCAAAAUAUUUGUGGCUUCUGAAAUUAUCAAAUAAUAAAUUUCAUGGUGAAAUAUUUUCAAGGGAGUUUAACUUGACUCAGUUAGGGUUUUUACAUUUGGACAAUAAUCAGUUCAAGGGAACACUGUCAAAUGUAAUCUCCAGAAUCUCUAGGUUAUGGGUGUUGGAUAGGUAACAUGACCGAUUUGACUACCCUAGUGUUGGGCAACAAUAGUUUUAAAGGCAAAUUACCACCUGAGAUUUCUCAAUUGUUGGGGAUGAUAUUUCUUGACCUUUCUUAAAACGCUCUUUCAGGAUCUUUUCUUUCUUUGAAGAGCCUGGAGUAUUUAGAGCAUCUACAUUUGCAAGGGAACAUGUUUAUAGGAUUGAUACCUAGAGAUUUUCUCAAUUCCUCAUAUCUAUUGACUUUGGAUAUCAGAGACAACAGGUUAUUUGGAAGUAUUCCCAAUUCAAUCUCUAGACUUUUAGAGCUAAGAGGAAACCUUUUAAGUGGUUUCAUUCCAUAUCAGCUCUGUCAUUUGACUAAAAUAAGCUUCAUGGAUCUUUCAAACAACAAUUUUUCUAGGUCAAUUCCUGGAUGCUUUGGUCAUAUCAGAUUUGGAGAUUUCAAAACUGAGCACAAUGUGUAUAUACCGAUGUUGGAUUCGUAUUCAGAAAGCAAUCCUUCUAUAUAUGCGGGUUACUUAAUAAAAUUUUAUUUUUCUCUAGUGAACUCCCUAAUGAAGUAGAUGAAGUUGAGUUUGUUACCAAGAAUAGGUAUAGCUCCCACAGAGUAGAUAAAUAUAUUUGUUGGGAAUUUAGAUAUUUUUAUAGAAAAGUAGACAAGUAUUCUAAUUUAUAAAAAUAAUGCAUUUCUUUAGUUUGGUAUAAAAAAAAUGAAAUGAUAUGUAUUGGUAAUUUUUUUUAAAGUAACAAACGUUUUAUUUUAUUUGUAUUUAAGAACAAUUUUUUUUCUUAUACUAGUUAUUUUAAUUUUCUUUUGACAGAUUUUGCAAGCUUAAGCAAUUUGGAGAUGCUAGAUUUGAGUUAUAAUUCCUUAAGUGGGAUUAUUCCAUUAUCUAUAAGAUUGAUGCCUCAUCUCAAGUCUUUAUCCUUGGCCAGAAAUCACUUCAAUGGUUCUUUACAAAAUCAAGGUACAUAUGUUAUGAUUUGUUUGUUUCAUAUAGAUUAGAGAAGAUGAAUAUUGUUAAAAAAAAAAAGUUGUUGUUAAUGUAAGCUAGAAAUAAGUAUUUUGCCUUAUAAAUUAUAUAAGCAUGUGUUUGUUCUGAAUGAAUCUUUACAACAUUUAGAGUUACCAAUGUUUAUAAUUCAUAAAGACCUCAUUAACAGUGAGUAACAACUAAUUGUAAGUAAUUGUGGAAAAAGUAAGGAAAACAAAAUGAGGGAAAAGCAAGGAAUUAGGAAAUUAUUUUGUUCCCAUAAAAAAAUGCUAAGGAAGAAAAAGGUAAAAGAAAGUUUAAAAAAAGUGUAUUUUUCAAAAAUUUAUUUCUCUUUCCUUUAAUUUUGCUAUGGACAACCAAACAAGAAAAUAAUUUUAUAAUUCCUUUUUUUUUUCAUUCUCUCUCUCUCUCUCUCUUUUUCCCUACUCUAUUUCUUUUCCCUCAAACUUUCUUGAUAGUAAACACAACCUAAGGUAAAUGAGGAAGAAAAUUUUUAGUUUUUUUUAUUUUUUAUUUUUUUAGAAUGUUUUCUUACUUUUUAGUAUUUUAUGCAAAUAUAGGAAAAUUUUCAUCUUUCUUUUUAUGGAUUUGAAAAACCCAAUAAUUUGGAGAAAACUGAUUCAAGGAAGAAUAAUUUUUAGAAUAAAAUAUUAUUAUUUAAGAAGAUCAUAAAUAUUAUAGUCAUUGUUGAAUAUGAUAAAUGAUUUAAAAAAAUGGUAGUUGGAAAUUUAGAUACUUUUAUAAGACAAAUGAAUUUUUCUAGUAUGGUAUGAAAAAAGGUAAAAUGAUAGGCUUUGAUCAUUUUUUAAGGUAGUUUGUUUAAAUCAUUUUAAUUUAUUUUCAUUUAAGAACAAUAACUUUUAUUACACUAGUUAUUUUGAUUUUCUUUUGAUAGAUUUUGCAAGCUUAAGCAAUUUGGAGCUAUUGGAUUUGAGUAAUAAUUCAUUUAGUGGGAGCGUUCCAUCAUCUAUAAGAUUGAUGUCUUCUCUCAAGUCUUUAUCCCUGGCUGGAAAUUACCUCAAUGGUUCCUUACCAAAUCAAGGUAUAUAUAUAUUGUGAUUACAAGUUUUUAUGUUUUCUUUUUUAAUAUCUUGUUUGUUCUUUAUGCCAAUGAAGUCAUGCAUGUCUAUUAAUUUUUGGUAUUUAAUAAAAAACUUUAUUCUUAAUUCAUAAAGACCUCAUCAACUGUAAGUAACAGCUAGUUGUAAGUUUGGGGGCAUUGACAAGACGAGGAGAUGAUUGGUUACAUGUCUUAUUCUCUUUUGUAGGCUUUUGCCAAUUGAAUAAGCUUCAAGAAUUAGAUCUUUCUUACAACUUAUUCCAAGGAAUCCUUCCUCCAUGUUUGAAUAAUUUGACAUCUUUGAGGUUAUUGGAUCUCUCUUCCAACCUAUUCUCCGGAAAUCUUUCUUCCCCUCUGUUACCUAAUCUCACAUCCCUGGAGUACAUCGAUCUCAGUUACAAUCAUUUUGAGGGUUCAUUCUCUUUCAGCUCUUUUGCUAAUCACUCCAACCUUCAAGUGGUCAAACUUGGAAGGAAUAACAACAAAUUUGAGGUAGAAACUGAAUAUCCAGCUGGUUGGGUUCCCCUGUUUCAGUUGAAAGCUCUUGUGCUAUCCAACUGUAAGCUCAUCGGUGACCUUCCUGGUUUCCUUCGACACCAAUUAAGAUUAACUGUGGUUGAUCUCUCCCAUAAUAACUUGACUGGAAGUUUCCCCAUUUGGCUGCUUGAAAACAAUACAAGACUAGGAUCUCUAGUCGUAUCACUUUAUUGGAUAUCUCAAACAACCGACUUGUUGGGGAACUUCAACAAAAUGUGGCCAAUAUGAUUCCAAAUAUUGAGUUUUUAAAUUUAUCCAACAAUGGUUUUGAAGGUAUUCUCCCAUCCUCAAUAGCUUAAAUGAGUUCCUUACAGUCGUUAGAUUUGUCUGCUAAUAGUUUCUUAGGGGAAGUACCAAAACAAUUGCUUGCGGCAAAAUAUUUGUGGCUUCUGAAAUUAUCAAAUAAUAAAUUUCAUGGUGAAAUAUUUUCAAGGGACUUUAACUUGACUCAGUUAGGGUUUUUACAUUUGGACAAUAAUCAGUUUAGGGGAUAUUUCUCCAGAAUCUCUAGGUUAUGGGUGUUGGAUGGGAGAUAGUUUUAAAGGCAAAUUACCACCUGAGAUUUCUCAAUUGUCGGGGAUGAUAUUUCUUGACAUUUUUCAAAACGCUCUUUCAGGAUCUCUUCCUUCUUUGAAGAGCCUGGAGUAUUUAGAGCAUCUACAUUUGCAAGGGAACAUGUUUAUAGGAUUGAUACCCAGAGAUUUUCUCAAUUCCUCAUAUCUAUUGACUUUGGAUAUCAGAGACAACAGGUUAUUUGGAAGUAUUCCCAAUUCAAUCUCUAGACUUUUAGAGCUAAGAGGAAACCUUUUAAGUGGUUUCAUUCCAUAUCGGCUUUGUCAUUUGACUAAAACAAGCUUCAUGGAUCUUUCAAACAACAAUUUUUCUGGGUUAAUUCCCGGAUGCUUUGGUCAUAUCGGAUUUGGAGAUUUCAAAACUAAGCACAAUGUGUAUAUACCGAUGUUAGAUUCGUAUUCAGAAAGCAAUCCUUCUAUAUAUACGGGUUACUUAAUAAAAUAUUUAUUUUUCUCUACUGAACUCCUUGAUGAAGUAGAUGAAGUUGAGUUUGUUACCAAGAAUAGGUAUAGCUCCCACAGAGUAGAUAAAAAUAUUUGUUGGGAAUUUAGAUAUUUUAUAGGACAAUAUACAAGUAUUCUAAUUUAUAAAAACAAUGCAUUUCUUUAGUUUGGUAUAAAAAAAAUAAAAUGAUAGGUAUUGGUAAUUUUUUUUCAAAGUAACAAACGUUUUAUUGUAUUUGUAUUUAAGAACAAUGUCUUUUCUUAUACUAGUUAUUUUAAUUUUCUUUUGACAGAUUUUGCAAGCUUAAGCAAUUUGGAGAUACUAGAUUUGAGUUAUAAUUCCUUAAGUGGGAUUAUUCCAUCAUCUAUAAGAUUGAUGUCUUGUCUCAAGUCUUUAUCGUUGGCCGGAAAUCACCUCAAUGGUUCUUUACAAAAUCAAGGUACAUAUGUUAUGAUUUGUUUGUUUCAUAUAGAUUAGAGAAGAUAAAUAUUGUAAAAAAAAAAAAAGUUGUAGUUAAUGUAAGCUAGAAAUAAGUAUCUUGCCUUAUAAAUUAUAUAAGCAUGUGUUUGUUCUUAAUGAAUCUUUACAACAUUUAGAGUUACCAAUGUUUAUAAUUCAUAAAGACCUCAUUAACGGUGAAUAACAACUAAUUGUAAGUAAUUGUGGAAAAAGUAAGGAAAACAAAAUGAGGGAAAAGCAAGGAAUUAGGAAAUUAUUUUUUUCCCAUAAAAAAAUGCUAAGGAAGAAAAAGGUAAAAGAAAGUUUAAAAAAAGUGUAUUUUUAAAAAAAUUAUUUCUCUUUCCUUUAAUUUUGCUAUGGACAACCAAACAAGAAAAUCAUUUUAUAAUUCCUUUUUAUUUUUUUCAUUCUCUCUCUCUUUUUUUCCCUACUCUAUUUCUUUUCCCUCAAACUUCCUUGGUAGUAAACACAACCUAAGAUAAAUGGGGAAGAAAAUUUUCAGUUUUUAUUUUUAUUUUUUUAGAAUGUUUUCUUACUUUUUAGUAUUUUAUGCAAAUAUAGGAAAAUUAUUUUUUUUUCUUGCUCCUUUUCAGACAUGAAUCACACUUUAAAAGAAAAUUAAUUUUUAAUUAGGAGUUAAGAUAAAUUUAAGGAGAAACAAUGAAUCACGAAUAACAAAAAAUUAAGGAAAUUGAAUUUUUGAAAGUAAGUAUAAUCAAAUUGCUUCAUUUGAUACAAAAUUUGAAUAAAAAUUCUUUCAAUGAAAAAUCAAGGAAAGGAAAAAACAUUUUUGUCUCUAGAUUAUAAUACUUAAUCAUGUAAAAAAUCUCUUAACAUCAUUUAUAUUCAUAUUUCUUUUUGUAGAUUUGAAAAAUUCAACAAUUUGGAAUAAACUUAUUCAAUGAAGAAUAAUUUUUAGAUUUAAAGAUUAUUAUUUAAGAUCAUAAAUAUUACCAUCAUUGUUGAUGUCCAAGAAGAUCAUAUUCAACAAUUUUUUUAAUAUGUUGUUUUUUAUGGUAAUUAAUUGAUGUCUUGUAAUUUUUAAUAUUUAAUGAAAAACAUUAAUUUAAUUCAUCUAAAGCUCUUAAUUCAUGAAGACCUCGUUAAUGUAAUGGUGAGUAAUAGUUGGCUGUAAGUUUGGAGUCAAAGACAUGUUAAGGAGAUGAUUAGUUACAUGUCUUAUUCUCUUUUGUAGGUUUCUGCCAAUUGAAUAAGCUUCAAGAGUUAGAUCUUUCUUACAACUUAUUCCAAGGGAUCCUUCCUCCAUGUUUGAAUAAUUUCACAUCUCUGAGGUUAUUGGAUCUCUCUUCCAACCUCUUUUCCGGAAAUUUUUCUUCCCCUCUGUUACGUAAUCUCACAUCCCUAGAGUACAUAGAUCUCAGUUCCAAUCAGUUUGAGGGUUCAUUCUCUUUCAGCUCUUUUGCUAAUCAUUCCAAGCUUCAAGUGGUCAUACUUGGAAGGGAUAACAACAAAUUUGAGGUAGAAACUGAAUAUCCAGUUGGUUGGGUUCCCCUGUUUCAGUUGAAGAUUCUCUCUCUAUCCAGCUGUAAGCUCACCGGUGACCUUCCUGGUUUUCUUCAAUACCAAUUCAGGUUAGUGGGGGUUGAUAUCUCACAUAAUAACUUGACAGGAAGUUUCCCCUAUUGGUUGCUUGAAAACAAUACGAGACUAGAAUCUCUAGUCUUGAGGAAUAACUCUUUAAUGGGUCAACUACUUCCCUUGGGACCUAAUACUCGUAUCAAUUCAUUGGAUAUCUCACACAAUCAGUUGGAUGGACAACUUCAAGAAAAUGUGGCCCAUAUGAUUCCAAAUAUUAUGUUUCUAAAUUUAUCCAACAAUGGUUUUGAAGGUAUUCUCCCAUCCUCAAUAGCUGAACUAAGAGCCUUAUGGAUUUUGGAUUUGUCUACCAAUAAUUUCUCUGGAGAAGUACCAAAGCAAUUGCUUGCAACAAAAGAUUUGGGGAUUCUGAAAUUAUCAAAUAAUAAAUUUCAUGGUGAAAUAUUUUCAAGGGACUUUAACUUGACUGGGUUAUUGUGUUUGUAUUUGGGCAAUAAUCAGUUCACAGGAACUCUGUCAAAUGUAAUCUCCAGAAGCUCUUGGUUGGAGGUGUUGGAUGUGAGCAACAACUACAUGUCAGGUGAAAUUCCAAGCCAGAUAGGUAACAUGACCGAUUUGACUACACUGGUGUUGGGCAACAAUAAUUUUAAAGGCAAAUUACCACUUGAGAUUUCUCAAUUGCAACGGAUGGAGUUUCUUGACGUUUCUCAAAAUGCUUUUUCAGGAUCUCUUCCUUCUUUGAAGAGCAUGGAGUAUUUAGAGCAUCUACAUUUGCAAGGGAACAUGUUUACAGGAUUAAUACCCAGAGAUUUUCUCAAUUCCUCAAAUCUAUUGACUUUGGAUAUUAGAGAAAACAGGUUAUUUGGAAGUAUUCCCAACUCAAUCUCUGCACUUUUGAAGCUAAGGAUUCUUUUGCUAGGAGGAAACCUUUUAAGUGGUUUUAUUCCAAAUCAUCUUUGUCAUUUGACUGAAAUAAGCUUGAUGGAUCUUUCAAACAACUCUUUUUCAGGGCCAAUUCCCAAAUGCUUUGGCCAUAUCCGAUUUGGGGAAAUGAAAAAGGAGGACAACGUGUUUGGACAGUUCAUUGAAUUUGGGUUUGGAAUGGUUUCUCAUCUUGUAUAUGCAGGUUACUUGGUGAAAUAUUACGGUUCCCCAACUUUAGUAUAUAAUGAAAAAGAUGAAGUUGAGUUUGUCACCAAGAACAGGAGUGACUUCUACAAAGGUGGCAUCCUUGAAUUCAUGUCUGGAUUGGACUUAUCAUGUAACAACUUGACAGGCGAAAUACCUCAUGAACUUGGAAUGCUAAGUUGGAUUCGUGCAUUGAACUUGUCUCACAAUCAAUUGAAUGGCUCCAUUCCAAAGAGUUUCUCUAAUCUUUCUCAAAUAGAGAGCUUAGACCUUUCUUAUAAUAAACUGGGUGGAGAAAUUCCUCUAGAGCUAGUUGAACUCAAUUUUUUAGAGGUGUUUAGUGUGGCUUACAACAACUUCUCUGGUAGAGUUCCAGAUACCAAAGCACAAUUUGGGACAUUUGAUGAAAGGAGCUAUGAAGGUAAUCCUUUCCUUUGUGGGGAACUAUUAAAGAGGAAAUGCAACACAAGUAUUGAGUCACCAUGCACACCAUCACAGUCUUUUGAAAGUGAGGCAAAAUGGUAUGAUGUCAAUCAUGUUGUUUUCUUUGCAAGUUUUACUACUUCAUAUAUCAUGAUCUUGUUAGGAUUUGCUAUCAUCCUUUACAUCAAUCCUUAUUGGCGUCAUAGAUGGUUCAAUUUUAUCGAGGAAUGUAUAUAUUCCUGCUAUUAUUUUGUUUUUGAUAGUCUUUCCAAGUUAUCAGCAUAUUUGUAUAAUUAGAUACUUUUAAUUGGAUGAUAUUUGCAUAAUUAACUACUAUUUGUUUCCCUGGGAUAGAAAGAAAUGGGAUGUAUAAUGCUAUGAGCUGAAACUUACAUACUUUGCUCAAAUUCUAACAUCUUUUGAUUUUAUUUUCAAGUUCCGUUAUUUAUUAUGUAUUGCUUAAUUCAAGAUUUAACCAUAUUACGUUACUCUUAUAAAAGCAAAUUCAAAUUUUUAGGAACUUUUAGCAUUAAAAUAAUUUCAUAGUCAGAUUUUAAAAAAUAAAGAAGAAAGAAAAUAAUAAAUAAUUGGAAAAACAAUUCAAGGAAGUAUUAAAUUAUUAUCUUAGAAUUAUUUGGCGUAGUAUGGGAAUUCAAAAAUAAUCUUUCAAUUUGUUAGAAAUGUUUAUUUAUUUAUUAUAGCAAUGAUUGAAAUAUCAAUCACAAAGUAAUGUUUUCUUUUCUUUUGUAGGGCACUAACACUUUUUCUUUGAUAGUAAUAAUUGAUAAAUAUAUUACACAAUUAUUUGUUUUAAAAAAGGGAGGGAUGACAAACAUAAUAACAUGUGAAAUAUUUCUAAAACUGUAAUGGGAAAUAAGCCAUCUAAUUAGGGUGCAAUAUUAUUCAUUUUAAUUUACAUGAAUUUACUUAUUUUUAUUUGCAUCAUAUUUUGAACUAUUUUAUGAAAUUAAGGGAGAUUAAAACAUCACGAGUUUCUUAUUUUAGUUUAUAUUCUUAAUAAUAAAGCAUGAAAUAUUAUAAAAAAAAAAAUCAUGAAUUUCUUUAAUUCCUUAGGAAACCAAUAUAUAAAAAAUUGAACAUAUUAUUAUUUUAUAUCCUAAAUCUCUAAAUUUGUUCAUUACCUAUUUAUUUUUAUAUUAAAUUUAUUAUUAAUUAUUUAUUUAUAUUAUUAUUUUAUGUUUAAAAUGUUCAUAAAUAAUUAAAAUUAAUAAAUAUAAAAAUAAAAUAUUAAAAAAUUAAAUUAUAAAGAUUUCAUCAAACUGACAUAUUUAAAAAAAAAAAAAAGCUAAAAAAGAUGAGGAUAUUAUAGAGGAGGGGAAAAGGAUAAAAGAAAAUUCAUGUGGUAUGAUAAUAUCACGUGUCAAAGUUAUUUUCUUUAAAAAAUAAUAAUAGUAAUGAUGAACUCAUUUGUCUUAUCAAAGUAAGUUAAAAAAAAAAAAAAAAAAAAAAAAGAAAAGAAAAAGAUGGUAGUUGGCUUAUUUGUUCUUUGAAAAUAAAAAAUCAAAGUUUUAGAAAAAUACAAUUUUCUUUUAAAUGAUGAAUGGUUACAUCAUUUCCCCUUAGCUUAUCUGUUCCUUUAAACUUUAGUUUGAAUAAAAUUAGUUUUAAUUAUUUUCUUUUUGGAAUUAUAUUUAAUCGUAUUAUUAAAAAUAUAAAAAACAUCGUAAUAAUAUUGUCAAUAAGUUUUUUUAUAUAUAUUGAAAAAUAUUUAUAUUUAAAAAUAUUUAAAUUUUGUCAUGGGCUGCCCAUUUCAAAAUGAUAAGAAUAUAAUAACCUAAUUUUUCCAAAUUCCAGGUAAAUAUGCUAAUCUAAAAAAAAAAAAUUAUUAGGUUUUUAUGUGCUGAUUGGGUUUUUUUUAUACCCAGUAUGCUCUCCAAUCUACCACUUAAGCAUCCGACAUGGCUAAAAAUAAAUUUUUAAAAAAAAGAAUAAAAAAGGAAAAAAACGAAAGUGUGUGAUCUCUUUCUUGAGUCUUCACAAUCUGAGACACUGAACCCAAAUCAAAAUUAAUCCUCCAAAUUAAUUUUCACCUCCAACCCAAACCCUAACGACUGCCUCACUUUCUUCUCAAACAUAGCUAUACGAAAAACCCUAGCCUCUGCCUCGUCUUCCUCUUAUCCCGGAAACCCAAAUCCCGUGACCCUAACCCCUUCUCUUUCCGAAAACCCUCCAGAAUCGGAAGAUUCAAGUGAUCGAAUUAAUUCUUCAGAAUUAAUUUUCACCUCGAAGCCGAACCCUAACUGCCUCAUCUUCCUCUCAUUCAUAUCCCAAAAGUAGCUUCAACAGUCAGGCCUGCGGCCAUGAAAGCCGUAGUGAUCGCCACUUCCGGCGAUCCCCAAGUUCUCCAAGUGCAAGAAGUCGAAAACCCUGAAAUUGGAGAUGAUGAAGUUCUAAUUAGAGUGGACGCCGCUGCCAUUAAUCGAGCGGAUACGCUUCAGAGGAAGGGCUUGCACCCUCCCUCAAAGGCGGCAGUCCCUACCCCGCUGGAAUCAUCGAAGCUGUUGGAAAGGUCGUCGUUCGAUGGAAGGUUGGCGAUCAGGUAUUUCAAUUGCCUAAUAUUUUGAUUCCGUUUCUGUUCCUGUAUUUUUCUCGGCUAUCCUUUAUGUGAUUUUGCUUCCUCCUGAGUACAAGUUCAUAAUAUACAUGGUACAUGGUGAAUCUGUAUGACAUUUCAUGGUAUACAGGUGUGUGCUCUUCUUUCUGGUGGAGGGCAUGCUGAAAAAGUGGCUGUUCCAGCUGGGCAAGUUCUCCCUGUCCUAUCUGGUGUUUCUCUGAAGGAUGCUGCUGAGGUUGCAUGUACUGUUUGGUCAACUGUUUUAAUGAUGAGCCGACUGUCUGCAGGAGAAACAUUCCUGGUGAAUUUUUUGUCUUUUUUAUUUUCUGAUGCCUGAUAUAUUUACCAGCACAAAUUUUCCCUGUUGCUGUUUAAUGUGUGUGCAUCAAUAUUGGAUUAGGGAGGUAGAAGAGCCAUGGUUCUAUUACAUCAUCAUAUUCUUAUUUAGAUACAUUGUAUCCCACAAUUUCAUUGCAUCCAAGGCUAUGUUGUUUUUUAUUGCACGGUUUGUCAUGGUAAUUUCUCAACCCUUCUCUGGAAAAUUAUGUUGGAUGGCUGCUAUUAAUUACCCCAAAAGAAGAAAUUUUAUGUUGAAGUAAGAUGAGUAGCACAAAGAGUUACUUGUGGUUGAUCCUAUCAUCAAAUGGGCGAUUGAUGCACAAUCCAAAUGGUAAAUUUUUUUCCCCCUUUAUCCAGAUGGAAUUUUUAUGCAUGGUUGAAUAGUGAAAUGAGGACUGAUAAUAUUUCAGGUUCAUGGGGGUUCAAUUGGAAUUGGUACCAUCUAUUCAAAUAGUGAAAUAUUGAGGAGCAAGGGUAUUUGUUACAGCAGGUUUGCCAUCACUGUUCUACCUCAUCCCACAGAAUGCUUAUCUCAUGGCACCAAUUCCUUUUCUUCACAUGUUUUCAACCAUUUUUUCCACCCAGGAACGAGGAAAAAUUAGCUGUUUGUAAGGAUCAUUGAGCAGAUGUGUGCAUCAAUUACAAGACUGAAAACUUUGUUGCAUGGGUGAAGGAGGAAACAGGAGGGAAAGGUACAUUCUAUUGUAUCUUAACGAUAAUUUCAAUUGAAGGUGGAAUUGCUUUUUAUUUUUUAGUGCACCAAAUCCACUAGUCUGGAAUGUUUGAAAAGAUAAAUAGUCAUCUUCCACUUGAUUCCGAUUGUGAAGAUCUAACCCCAAAAAUGUUGAAUGACAGGUGUUGAUGUUAUACUGGAUAAUAUUGGAGGGGCCUACUUUUGGGGAGACAUCAAUGGUUUAAAUGUUGAUGGAAGGCUUUUUAUUAUUGGUUUUCAGGGUGGAACAGUGGUACAAGUAAAUCUUUCAGGUUUACUUGCAAGGCGCCUUACAGUGCAAGGUACCACUUUCUCUGUAGAAGAUUUUUCUGUAGUUUUGGAGUUGAAUCAAUUUGAUUAAUCUCAUCCAAGUUCAGAACUGAGGUGGAUUCUGGCAAGCCAAGGAAAAACCAAAUUACCAUAAAUUCUUUUUUUUUUUCUGGAUCGUUUUACUUCUUGGAAAUCCUGUUUCUCGAUCUGGUCAGGUAUAUGGAAAUUCCAAGGAAAAUAUGUUUUACAUUUUCCAUAAUUGGAAACACUCAGGAAUUUAAUAUUUUCCUCUGAAAUAGCAAUGGUUUUCUAAUUACGACAUUUGUUUUUCUUGUAUCAUCCCAAAAUAUUUUUUAGGUGUUUGUUCUCUCUUGACACAGCUUUUAAUUGGGUCUGUCUUGCUUUUUGAUAGAUCUCUUGACAAGUUGCUUGUAUAUCAUACUUUCUUUAUUGUUUUCGGAUCAUGAACCUUGCUUCUGUCAGCCCUGUUAUCACUACCCAAACUAGUAAAUUUAUGCACAAAACUCCAUGUGUCAGUAACAGUGGUUAUUUGAUUGUAUUAAAUAAUUUGUAAAUACAGUGGAUAAGUUUGUGCAUAGAUUGAAGGCGAAUGAAAAACGUGCAUAGAUUGAAGGUGUGCUGCUUGAGUUGAUUGUAGUUUGAGCAUGAAAAUUUGAAGAUCCAGAACAGCAAAUGAGGAAUGCCUAUCAAUUUGAAACCAGCAUGGGUGGAUGAAUGGAGAGGUUCUUCACUGAAUUUGUCCAUGAAGCUUUUUAGCACUCUAGGGCAAGGGUCUCCAAGCCUAGCUGUUGAUUGCACAUCCCUCCUGCGCAAUACUAAGAACAGAGUGAAAUGCAAAUGCAGGAAAGGGUGUUUCUUAGCUGUUCAACAACUGACAAUACAUUGGCAUGACAAUUCCCUGGAUCGAAUGCCACAAUGCCCUCUUGGAGUUCCAAAGCUUGUUCACAGGUCAAACGAACUUGAGGGUUUUGGGACAUGAACUCCAAGUUUGGUUGCCAAGAAUCUCCAGGUGGAGGAUCAGCUUCUGACACGUGCACACACCUCUUGGCCAGUUUGUGUUAUUGCAAUUUUUAUUAAAUUGCUAAAAAAUUUAUCGCGAACAAUUUUUUCUUUUUUCUUUUUUCUUUUUUUCUUUUUAAACAAACUGCAAAAAUCCCUUUUUUUUUUAUAUAAAAAAAAAAAAAAUUCUCCAACAAAGUGAUUUUUUUUUGUGGCAUGACUCGGUUUGACCACUAACUCGGUGAACUGGUCUAUCGGCUCAAGUUUGGAUCCCUUAAUUUUGUGGCAAAUUGGGCAUCAAGCCCAACAACCUAACUUCCAUGCGGGCUAUCUACUGGAUCUCACCCAUUGUAACUUGCUCUGGGUGAAUGGCCAUUAUAAACUUCAUUUUAUCCUCAUGUGAUUUUGAUGUGGGAAUGGGAGAGAUGAGGAUUUGACAUUUGGACCUAAGGCUCAAUGGGUUUUAACUCCACUCAGCUACUUUAUGUCUUGUAUUUAAUAUUGCAAACCAAAAUAAUAAUAGACAUGAUUCUUUUCAAAAAAUUUAUAAUGUAAUAUUUUUUAAAAUUAUAAAAUAAUAGGUUAUAUAAAUUUUAAUAUAUAGGUAAAAUUAAUUAAAUUUUAACAAAUAUCUUCACAUUUAGACAUUACAUAUUUUUUAUUUAAUAAAAUUUUAAAAUAUUAAUAUAUCUAAAUAUAAUAUUAAAAAUGAAAAAUAAAAUAGUAAUAAUUUUUAUUUUCUUUAUAUAUUUAAAAUUAUAUAAUUAUUUUUUAUUUUAAUAACAUAUAAAUUGUAUAUUUAUAAUAUUAUUGGUUCAACUGUGAUUCAACCAUCACUCCGAUUAUUCAAUUAUGAAUUAAUAAAUUUUUUAAUUCAAUGAUAGGUUUGAUUAUAAAAAUAUUAUGUUUUUUUUUAUGAAAAGUACUCAAGAAAUAUCAUUAAUCACUAAGAUCACGUGGUUGGAUUAGGUGUAUCCGAAACAUAGGUAUUACUCUCUUCCUUAGUUAGGGCUUAGCUUUUGAAAAUGUAGAUAGGUAAAGUGGAUGGAAAGUCUAUAACUACGUAGAGAUUGAGCUUGGAGGCCAAUCUAGCAAAUGUGGAGAUUAGAAAUAGUUUACCAUCUAGAUAGUCAAGCAUAGCAAUUUACCAAACCCUUACCAACCAUCCAUACUAACCAAUUGUGGUUAAAUGUUUACAAAAAUGUACAUUAAAUCAAAGAGAAAAAAGAUUAAAAACGAACAAGAGAGAAGAAGCACAUCACCUAAUUUUGGUAAUAAAUGAAAUUAAAAUAAAUUCAUAAAUUUUUUAAAUUAAAAUGAAUUUGAACUCUAGAGAUUUGUGUAGAUAUCUUAUUAAAAAACCAAAAAGUUUGUUGCAUAUAUAAUUUCAACAAUGCAUAAAUAAUUACAACAUACGCAAUACAAUAAUAUUACACAACUAUAUUUUCAAAUAUAAUAUAAGAUCAUUAAAGUGAUAAAUUGUAGUUGUAUAAAGUAUUUAUACAAGUAAAGAAGAAAUUAUGAGAUUAAAAUGCUUGUUGGAUUCUAAGUAAAAAAGAAAUGAGAUAUAGAGAUUGUCCCAUCAGACAUAUAGAAUUUCAUAUACAUAAUUUUCCCUUCAAGAAAAUUUAGGGUCAAAUUGAAAAAAUUUCAUUCAUAGAUUUUGGUAAAACCUCUAUCUAGUCCCCGAAGUCUUGUAUACAAAAGGAAAUAACAUUGGUAUGAGGGGUUUGAAUGCUUAAUUUUAGAUUGAAAAUGCUUGAGAUAAUUUUUGAUCGACUUCACAUGUGUUUUUAAUAAACUUGGAACAUUCAAACUUGUAUUUGAAGAAUCUUCAAUUUGAUCUUAAAUAAUGUUGAAACCUUCAAAAUUUGAAUAGAAGAAUCUUUAAGCAUUUGAAUUUUGGUUUAAAGAAUUUUGAAAUUUGAGACUGAAGAAUCUUCAAAUUUGGGCCUGAAGAUCAAAGGCUAAGCUUGAAGAGUUCUUGAAGCUUGAGUGGUAUGUCCGAUUUUGUUUUGUAUUUUAUAAAAACUUUUAGGCUAUGUUUGGUUCCCAGAAAAUUUGAGGGAAAAUGCGAGGGAAAGAAAAUACAAAGGAAAAGUAGAAGGAAAGAAAAAGUGAAGGAAAAUAAAAAAAUAGAUUAAAAGUUGAUAAAUUAUUUUUUUUGUUACUUCAAACUCAUUUUAUUUAUUUUAACUCAUCAAUAUAAAGAUUAAAUAAUUUAAAAAUAUAAAAGUUUUUAAUUAGUUUUAAUUAUAUUUAAUUUUCUUUGAUAUUUUUUAUAAGACAACCAAACAUGAGAAAAUCAUUUUCCUUAGCAUUUUUUUUCUUUCCUUUGUACUUUCCGGGAACCAAACAUAGCCUUAAGUAUACUAUAUUUAUAGGUUUGAAGAGACAUUGAGAUUUUGUAUACAUGUUUGGAGUUUUAAACCUUGAAAUAUUACUCUUUUAUGAAAUUAACAUUUAUAAAAUUUGGAAGAACAUAAUUAGAUAAUAUUCUAAGUUAUUUUUAAUGAAAAUUGAUAAUUACCUUUUAAUUAUCAAAUUCACUAUUUCUAUUUAUUUUUGUAAUAUAUAUUAAUUACUAAAAUCAUUUAUUUCCUUUAUUUAGUUUGAAAGCAAUUAUAUAUCUUUUGUUUGUGUAGAGCUCAUGUGACACGACAAAUUUUAUUUUGUAACUUGCUCUGGAUGAAUGGCCAUUAUAAACUUCAUUUUAUCCUCAUCUGAUUUUGACGUGGGAAUAGGAGAGAUGAGGAUUUGACAUUUGGACCUAAGCCUCAGAGGGUUUUAACUCCACUCAACUACUUUAUGCCUUGUAUUUAAUAUUGCAAACCAAAAUAAUAACAGACAUGAUCCUUUUCAAAAUUUUUAUAUUAAUAGAAGUGUAAAUAAUAUAAGUAAAAAUAAUGUAAUAUUUUUUAAAAUGAUAAAAUAAUAGGUUACAUAAAUUUUAAUAUAUAGGUAAAAUUAAUUAAAUUUUAACAAAUACCUUCACACUUAAACAUUACAUAUCUUUUAUUUAAUAAAAUGUUAAAAUAUUAAUAUAUUUAAAAUUGUAUAAUUAUUUUUAUUUUAAUACUAUAUAAAUUAUAUAUUUAUGAUAUUACUGGUUCAACUAUAAUUCAAUCACUGGUCCAACCAUUGAACCAUGAAUUAGUAAAUUUUUUUAUUCAAUGAUAGGUUUGAUUCUAAAAACAUUAUGGCUAUGUUUGGUCCCAGAAAUUUUUUUUUGAUGGAUAAUGACAAAGAUAUUACCAAUUUGAUAUCACCAAUUGAUAACACAAUUAAAAAAUAAUAUGAAUUUUAACAUAUUUGAAUUCAUUGUAAUCAUAUCCAUGACCUAAUUUUACACAUCCUUAAAUCAUGGUUGAUUUAUGAAACAAAUCUAUACCAUCAAUAGAAAAUAAAUAAAUAAAAUAAUACAAAAAAAAUAUAUAGAUAGUCAAGCAUAGCAAUUUACCAAACCCUUAGCCACCAUCCAUACUAACCUGUUGUUGUUAAAUGUUUACAAAAAUAUACAUUAAAUCAAAGAGUAAAAAGAUUAAAAACGAACAAGAGAGAAGAAAUACAUCACCUAAUUUUUGUAAUAAAUGAAAUUAUAAUAAAUUCAUAAUUUUUUUAAAUUAAAAUAGGAAUUCAAAUACAUGUAACUAUUGUUUUUGUCUUGUAAAUCAUCCAAUUUUUCAAUGAAUUUAAACUCCACAGAUUUGUGUAGAUAUCUUAUUAAAAAAAGCAAAAAGUUUUCACUAAAAUCAUAAAAUUUAGAUUAGAAAUGAUUUACUAUAUUAGUUCAAAAUUCACCUCCACAAAAAUUGAAAUAAAUUAAUUAUCUUCAAUUCAAAUAAAAUUUCUCCAAUUAAAUUUCCAAAUAUGUGCCUUAAUACCUAUAAUGGAAUUAGUAAUUUUAAUUAAAAUAAAAAUAAAAAUAAGGAUUUGAUCUUUUUCUUACCAUUUGAUGAAAAUUAUAAAAUAUAUUAAAAUGACAAGUGAUCAGACAUUUGAAAUUUGCAUCAUUUCUACCAUUGCAAACACCACCAACCCCAUAUUUCCCAUUUUUCUACCUACUGCCAAUUCACUCAUCUCUCUGGGAAGAUUUUUGAGGUUAUCGUCAUGCUUGAGAUAAUCCAGAAAGUUGAGCGGCAUCACUCUCUGAAAGGUGCCUUACAGCAUGGGUAAUGUAUGGGAUACAUCUGAUAACUUGCCAUAUCCAUAAACCACUAUAUUAAACCAUGGUUCAUAUCCCCAACGUUACACGAGAAUCUGUACUCAUCCCAAGCAGCUUGGAGAUCAUAAAAUUAGGUUUUGAGGGCCUCCCGAGACAUGCACAGCUUCACCCUUUGUGCAUUCCUUUGAUUUGGAAAAUUUCUUCUUUAGAAUUCCCCAUUAUCAUGCCCUGAACCAAGACAUAUCAUGAUUGGAUGGGCCCCUUCACCAAUUUCACAAUAUCCAAUAGCAUAUCAUUUACUUCCCUUUUGUCAAUGGGAAUUACCAUUUUGCAUGGGAAGCACCAACGGAGAUGGAGGUUUUCAAAUUGGAUCACUAGCAAAGAAACCCACCGCAACUAUCUGAAUAAUUGAGCACAACAUCGGCUUUAGAGAACUCCUCCUGAAGGCGAAAUCGUCAUCUUGGCUAAACGUAGUCAUAGUUGGGUUGUGAGAAAUGGAGAUGAAUCAUAGAAGGCUUUCAGUUUCAUAGCAACGAAAAGGUAAAUGUACUCUAGAGAAGUUUUGACCUUGGGAGAAGCGCUUUUGAAUCCAAGUCAAGGUCUGUUCUGGAUCCCUUUUCGACUCUCUCUAUUAAAGGAAGAUAAUCUGCCUAGGAUUUGGAUGCAAGCUUGCAAGGCCAUGUUUAGGAGACUUAUGCAAAAUAUUUAUCCAUAGCUCCCCGCCUGAAACAUCUACAUAAAGCGUCUUCCAAGUGUGAACCAUUGUCUUGGGUCCUUGAGAUGAACAAAAACUGAGACAUAUCGUGAGUUAGAUGCAUUGCCUGAAAAUGCCGAGCAGUAGUAUGGCCUUCUUUCUGAUCAACUGUUUUGUCAAAUUCUAGAGCUCUCAUUCCAAAUCCAUCAGUUUUCUCAAAUGAUUGGCUAGUGGAGAUCCAUGGAUAUAACAUAUGAAAUGUGCACAAUAAAAGUAAUCAAACGGUUGGUUGGUUUGGCUGAAUCCCACAAUCGCAAAGACUAAUCAUAUGAAACUGUUACCAGCUGAGUUGAAUUUGGCCUAAAAAGGAUAUCCGUUACUACAAACUAGCGUUCUUUCAUGGUGCUCUCUCUUUGCAGGCUAUCCAUGUUCCAAAGAAAAACUCUCUUGUCAUGUCUGGCACUAGGCACUGAUUAGAGUGUGGGACGUUCAUUCUCCAUUAUCACCAAACACAUGCAGGAUAUAUAUAUAUCAAUUCAUUCAAAAUAUGCCUUUAUUUUAUGGAACAUAACCGAAUCCAUUUUGUUUGUGUUGAAGAGGUAUAGAUCUUCUAAGGCUGUGGAGGGCACCACCUUUUCUCAGAAUUCUCUCUGACGAUGGGAAGCCGAAGAGAACGGGUUUUGUUUUUAUUUUGAAAACGUUGUUAUCAUUAAAGAACAAACACUAUUCUUUGGAUUUAUACCCUCUUGCCUUAGGGACCAUACUGUUUGGCUAUUGGGCCUCACGAGUCUUAGGCCCAUCAUCUAAGGCCCAUGAUGGCACUGGGCUCUACACAUAAGGUGACCCAUACUCUGGAACGAAUAGAAAUCAUAUGUAUAUAUAUGGAUAGCUAAAUCCUGAACAAUGGUUAAUAUGAUGUCGGUCCACAUUUAUUCUAUCAAUCUCCCACUUGGACCACAUAUAUUACAAAACAAUGUUCAUGAUAGUACUUUAUUGAGCUCAUCUUUGCUAUCCUAUCUUAAUAUCCUUAAACAAUCCGGUCUACUAGUUAUGCUAACAUAGGAUCAAAGUGGCCUUCAUUAAUCAUAAUUAUAACUAGACCCAUCAAUGAUCACAACAUUAACAAAAUUAGCAACAUAGAUCAAGUAUGGAUGUGUAGCAUGGAAAUUACAUAAAAUGUGAUCUUUAUUAUGUCUAUUUCCAAUUGGUCCUACUUUAUGACUAAAAAAUAGUCAAAUUCCACUUUCAACACUUGAUGCUAAACUGCUUUUAAAAGUCAUCAUUUCAAUUCAGAGAAUUCAAAUACAAUAGUCUUUAAAAUCAAGGUUUGUACAGAUAACACAAUAUAACAUCAUAUCAAGAAAACAAACACAAAAUCUAAAUACAAACUCCCACUAUACUGGAACAUCAUCAAUAUGUACAACACCCAUAUGUGUGACAUGAUCAUGAUAUACUUUGGGUGGCAAACCCUUAGUGAGCGGAUCCGCAAUCAUGAAGUUUGUGCUUGUAUGUUCAAUCGAUACUUGAAGACUCUAAACUCUUUCUUUCACAACCAAGAACUUGAUGUUAAUGUGUUUGGACUUUGACGAACUUCGGUUGUUCUUAGAAUUACAAUUCUGUGGCUUUAUUAUCACAAUUUAUUCUUAAUGGUUUCUCAAUCUCAUCAACGAUUCGCAACUGAGUGACAAAAUUCCGUAGCCAUAUCCCAUGGUUUGAUGCUUUGUAGUAGGCUAUGAAUUCUGCCUCCAUGGUGAAAGAAGCAAUAAGUAUUUGUUUAACACUUUUCCAUGAAACUGUUCAUCCAACCAACAUGAAGAUGUAGCUUGAAGUGGAUCUCUUGCUGUCAAGACAUCCCACGAAAUCGGAGUCCGAAUAUCCCAUGAUCUCUAAAUGACUGGAUCUACGGUAUGUGAGCAUAUAAUCUUUAGUUCUUUGUAAAUACUGCAUAACCUAUUUUGCCUUUUUCCAGUGAUCCAUACCUGGGUUACUCAAAUAUUUGCCUAACAUUCCAAUAAUGUACGUAAUAUCUGGAUGCGUACAAACUUGUGCAUACAUGAGACUUCCUAUUGUUGAGGCAUAGGGAAACCUCUUCAUAUCCUUCUUUUUAAGUUCAUUUUUCGGACAUUGGUGCAAACUAAAUUUAUCGCCUUUUGCUACAGGCAUGUCUCCUGGUGUACAAUUGCUCAUGCCAAAUCUACUUAACACCUUAUCGAUGUAGGCCUUUUGUGAUAACCCAAGUAUACCUCUUGAACGAUCCUUAUAGAUCUGUAUACCCAGCAAAAAAGAUGCAUUACCUAGAUCCUUCAUGUCAAAUUUACUAGACAAAAAUCGCUUUGUUUCAUGCAAAAGUCCCACAUCACUACUUGCAAGUAGAAUAUCAUCAACAUAUAGCACCAAGAUAAUGAAUUUGCUCUCACUAAACUUGAGAUAUAUGCAUUGAUCAAUGGUGUUUUCCUUAAAACCAAAUGAAGUAAUCACCUGAUCAAACUUUUGGUACCAUUGUCAAGAUGCUUGCUUUAAACCAUAUAUGGACCUUUUUAAUCUGCAUACAAGUUGCUUUGAAUCAUUAGACUCAAAGUUCUCCGGUUGCAUCAUGAAUAUUGUUUCAUCAAUGUUACUAUUAAGAAACGUAGUUUUAACGUCCAUUUGAUGCAGCUCUAAAUCAUAAUGAGCCACAAGUGCCAUGAUGAUUCUAAAGGAGUCAUUUGACGAAACCGGUGAAAAGGUCUCCUUAUAAUCAAUGCCUUCCUUUUGAGUGAAACCUUUUGCGACUAGACGUGCCUUAUACCUAACAAUGUUGCCUUUUGAAUCCCACUUGGUCUUAAAAAUCCAUUUACAACCAAUCGGUUUUACACUUUCAGGCAACUUUACUAGGUCCCAAACACCAUUGUCUUUCAUUGAUUUCAUCUCAUCCUUUAUGACUUCUAUCCACUUUUCAGAGUCAGAACUUUGUUUGAAUUGACUAACUGAAAUUGGAUCGUCUUCCAAACCCAUGUCAAACUCUUGUUCCUGGAGAUGUACAACAUAAUCAUCUGAAAUUGUACUUCUCAUUUCUCUAGUGGAUCUCCUUAGUGGCACUUGUAUUUGAGGUUCUUGAGGCUGUUGAGUUACCUCUUCAUAAACUUGAAUCGGUUCCAUAACUUGAGCAGGAGGAAUCUCAGGUGUGUUUUGAAUCUCUGUUAUUGACUGCACAUUCUGGAUAGUGUCAUCAAACAUAAUAUGACCAUGUCCAGUUGUAAUAAUAGGAACACUAACAGAUUACUCUUCAAAUACCACAUUUCUUAACGGUUCUCUCCCAUUUAACUCAACAUCCUCAAUAAAUUUAGCUUUGCCCGUUUCAAAAAAGGAUCUAGUUGAGGGGUCAUAAAACUUGAAACCUCUCAACCUUUUAGAAUAUCCUACAAAGUAGCAGCUCACUGUUCUGGAGUCCAAUUUCUUUUCAUUUGGUUUUUAAGGCCUAGCUUUAGUUGGACAACCCCAGACAUGCAAGUGCCUAAUACUAGGUUUCUUGCUAGUUCAUAACUCAUAUGAGGUUUUGGCUACUGCUUUGCUUGAGACUCUAUUCAAAAUAUAAAUUGUUGUUUUGAUGGCUUCGCCCCAAAGUGAUUCUGGUAAGGUGGAAUGACUGAUCAUACUUCUUACCAUAUCCUUAAGAGUACGGUUUCGCCUAUCUGCUACACCAUUUUGGCUUGGAGUCCCCAGCAUAGUGUAUUGAGGAACGAUACCACACUCCAUCAAAUAUUUGGCGAACGACCCUAGACGUUGUUCAUUGGAUCCGUCAUAUCUGCCAUAAUAUUCACCUCCACGGUCAGAUCUGACGACCUUUAUUUUCUUGCUUAGUUGGUUCUCAACUUUAGCUUUGAAAUUCUUGAACACAUCUAAUGAUUGAGACUUCUCAUGAAUCAAAUAAAGAUAGCCAUAGCGCGAGUAAUCGUCAAUGAAAGUGAUAAAAUAUUGUUGUCCAUUCCAAGAAGGGGUAGGAAAUGGACCACAAAUGUCCGUAUGUAUCAAUUCAAAGACGUCACUGCACUUGUUAGCAUCAUUUUUUUCUCAUAUUUGUUUGUUUACCCUUAAUACACUCUAUACAGACUCGAAAGUCUAUGAAAUUAAGUGGAUCAAGAAUUCAUUCUGACACAAGCCUUUGAAUACGUUGAUUUGAAAUAUGACCCAAACGCCUGUGCCAUAACAUCGAUGAAUUCUCAUUUGUUAAUUUCCGUUUAAUGUCAUAAUUACUUGAAUUCAAGGUUUCAUUUCCAUUAGUGGUCUUUAUAUUUAAUUUGUAUAAUUUGUCUAUUAGACUACCUGUACCAAUAACAUUUGAAUUUAGAUAAAGACUAACCAUUCCAUUUCUAAAUGAACAAUAAUAUCCAAAUUUGUCUAGACAUAAAACAGAAAUUAAAUUCCGUCUAAACGACGAUACUACAAAAGUCUCUUCCAAAUCCAAAGUACAUCCAGAGUCUAACUGUAAUCUAAAAAGACCAAUAGUCUUGACUGCAACCUUGUUGCCAUUUCCCACAUAGAUGUAUUUUUCACCAUCAGUUGGCAUUCGACUCCUUAGGCAACCCUACAUCGUGACACUUAUGUGAGUAGUUGCACCCGUAUCUAUCCACCAAGUGUCAGUAGGCACUACGACUAAAUUAAUUUAUGAACAAACAAAGUUGAGAAGUGUACCUUUCUUUUCACGCCAAGCGGCGUAUUUGGUACAUGUCUUCUUCAUAUGACCAACCUUCUUGCAAAAGAAACAAGUCAUCUCCUUAUCUUGUUUCUUCUGCACCUUUUGCAUUGAUGUCCUAAAAAUUGCAUUUUGUUUUUCUUUAUUGUCCUUCUUUCUUUUCUUUUUGGUACCAAAUCCCUGAGAUGUGGAAGCCAAGUGAGAACUUUCUAUCUUUUCUUGUUUCAAUCUCUCAUCCUCUUGUGCACAUUGAGCAAUAAGCUCAUUCAAAGUCCAUUUUUCCUUUUGUGUUGUAACUAAUUUUGAAUGGACUGAAUUGUGUAGGCAGAGAGAUUAAGACCAAGUGCACAAGUAUGUCUUCCGAAAACUCUAACUUUAGUGCCUUUAGUCUAGUCACAAGAUUAGACAUUUCCAUAAUAUACUCCCUUAUAUUCUCUUUCCCUUUGUAUCGCAUAGAGACAAGCUUACUAAGAAUAGUGCUUGUCUCAACCUUUUCAUUUGAAGCGAAUCGGUUUGCUAUCUGGUCUAAGAAUGCCUUGGCUUGAGUUUUCUCAGGUAUUGGACUCCUUAUAGCUUUUGGAAUUGAGUACUUCGUUAUCAUUAGACUCAUGCGAUUGGAUCGCUCCCAUUUUUCCAUAGUAGACCUUUGCUCAGUAGUGCUGGCACUAGUAAGAUCUGGAGGGCGAUCCUCUCUUAAUGCAUAGUCUAAAUCCAUGCACCCGAGCACAAUUAUAACGUGCUCCUUCCAUUUCUUGAAGUUUGUGUCAUUAAGCGCAGGAAUGUUAUUAACAUUUGUAGAUAUAGAAUAUGUUAAAUUCAUAAUAAUAAAGCUCACAAUCAAUCACAUAAACAUCAUACAUACAUGAAAAAUAACAUCAUACAAGAUACUUAGCACAAAUAUUAAUAUUUUGUCUUUGGACAAUAAAUAUUAACUUGUAAUUGGUAUCCUUAUACAAAAUUAAUUCAUAAAUAUUGACAAUAAAACCAAAAACAAUAUGUUUGUCUUUAGACUAAUAUGUCGAAUGCAAGAUAAACUUUAUAUGUCACAUAUUUAUGACUACUUUAUUUAUUAUUAUAUUAAAAUAAUCUUCCUUUGGGCCGAUUAUUUUAAAUAAUAAUAAUAACAUGUUUAGAUAUUAUAAAAUAAAUAAAUUAUAUAAUAUAAGUUACUUUGGCAACUAACAUACAUAAUUCAUUUAUUUUAAAAUAUUAAACACAAACAUAACAAGAAAUAAUAAAUUCAAUUAAAAUUAUUUAUUUAUUUAUGCAUAAUAUAUAUAUAUAUAUAUAUAUAUAUAUAUAUAUAUAUUAAUUGAAGCAUAAAAAACCAUCUACAUGUGUAUAUAUAUCAAUUGAAGCAUAUAUACAAGCAUUAGUCUAAUGGUUUAAGCAAAAAAUAGGCCAUGGUAAAGGGUUUAAGCCAACCCGCCCCUUUAGUUUGGUUUUUGUUUUUUUUUUUUUUUUUUUUAAUUUCUUUUGGGCUACUGACCAUGCAUUCUCUCAUGGCCCAACGAAUAUAUAUAUAUAUUUGUUUUAAAAAAAUUUUGUCCAUUGCAGCCCAAAGCGACCAUCCCUUGUAAUGGCAUCAUCAACGGUGCCAGAGCUGUCCUCGAACGACACCGACAGUGAAACGCCGCCACCAUCACCGGAACGGUGAUUUCCCAUCGCCAAACGACGGUGUCACUACCAGAAUGACGUUGUAACGGCAUCGCUGGGAAGCAGCCUAACCUGUGGCGUGACACCAUGACAAGCAAUGCCGCUAGCAGUGAAACGUUGUCGCCAUCACCAGAAUGGUGAUUUUCCAUCGCCAAACGAUGGCGCCACCAUCGAAACAACGCUGAAACGACGUCACUGGGAAGCAACCCUACCCGCGGCACCAAAAUGGCACUUGGAUGACAUUUGGAACUCUUGCAACAACGCUCAAAUCAGCGAUUCUCACUGGCAAAUGACGCUUGAACGACGUCUGGAAAUAAUGCCUACAACGCCUAAAAAUUGUGCUCUUUUGAACGCCUGAAACAACGUUGAAAUGACGUCUACCGGCGUCUGGAAUUGCACCGCUGUCUAGAACGAUGCCAUGAUGGUGUCUCACUCACCUUAAAUGGCACCAACCACCGUGACUUGCAUCCCCAAAAAUGGCACUUGAACAGCGCCUGAAGCGUGCCUGGAACGACGCUGCAAACGAUGCUUGAAAUGGUGCAUUUUGUAUGCUUGAAAAUGGCACAGGAAUGACGCCUACACUACGUCCAUUUUGAAUGCCUGAACGGUGUCCUAACGGCGCCUGAAUGACGCCUGGAAUUGGCCCAGAUUUAUUUUAUGUUGUUUCCUUCCUCUUGGAUCUUUUGUUUGUGUUUUAAAAAAAAAGUGUUUUGGUGAAAAUGGGAAAUGCAACCAGGCUCUGAUACCAUUUUGUGGGACGUUCAUUCUCCAUUAUCAUCGAACACAUGCAGGAUAUAUUUAUAUAUAUAUAUAUAUAUCAAUUCAUUCAAAAUAUGCCUUCAUUUUAUGGAACAUACCCGAAUCCAUUUUGUUUGUGUUGAAGAGGUAUAAAUCUUCUAAGGCUAUGGGGGGUACCACAUUUUCUUAGAAUUCUCUAUGACGAUGGGAAGCCAGAGAGAACAAGUUCUAUUUUUAUUUUGAAAACGUUGUUAUCCUUAAAUAACAAACACUAUUAUUUGGAUUUAUACUCUCCUACCUUAGGGACCAUACCCUUUGGCUAUUGGGCCUUACGAGUCUUAGGCCCAUCAUCUAAGGCUCGUGAUGGCACUAGGCUCUACACAUAAGGUGGCCCAUACUCUGGAACGAAUAGAAAUCAUAUGUGUAUAUAUGGAUAGCUAAAUCUUGAACAAUGGUUAAUAUGAUGUCAGUUCACAUUUAUUAUAUCAUAGAGACUUCCCAUAUGAAGAAAAUUGACAGUAGGUAGCUUUGCCAUUCUUGUCCGUAUACAACCAACCUUAGCAAGGGUUGAACCCUUUUAUGCUUAGUUGUGCCAUACAAAUCCUUACCACCGCCUACAACAUGUAAUCGAAAUGAUUCGAUAAUAUCAUCUAGUGAACCAAUACCUCCAAAUGAGAGACCAUUGCCUUGGUAACUAGGGCUCAUGACUGAGAAUUGCGUGAACCCCUUUGCUUGGGUUGGAGCUUAACUGAUGCACAAAAUAUUCAUAGGCCUCUUCCCAUAACUGGCACCUUGUGUUUGCAACAUAAUUGAACAUGUAUUGAAGUGAGUUUUUUUGCAUCUUUUUGUAAGAAAAUUCUAAACAACAGAGACUGCUUAGUGUGCCCGGCUCCUCGGGAAAUCAAGGUUCAUUCCUGUAGGGCCAGUUUUUUCACAGUCGAACUAGAUAACAUGGAGAGUAUGUUGCAAUGCUUCAACAGGGUAUUUCUUAGGAAAAUCCACCUGAAGUUGGUACAAUUCGUUGGCGUACUGAGUUCCUGGAGCUCUAUUGACUUCAAUCACCCAUCUCUGUAGAUUAUCGAUGACUUAUGCUCGGAUCCUGUAGGAGGAUUGACCUGACAUUCCACUAGCUCUUUCUGGAAGACGAUCUUGUUUAACACCUUGUGAGAAGAGGCAAGGGAACUGGUCAUUGUUUCUUCGAGAAGAUCAGUGGCCGAGGAUGGGUUUGGACCAUAAUUGCUAUAUGGGUUUUCUUUGGGUGAACCAAUUAGUGGAGUGGGUGGCUAUAUAGCAACUGAAGGGUGGUCAUACUAAUGAGGAGCUAUUAUUUCAUGCAUGUGGAGAGGAAAUGAGUAGCUUCUUCAAGGAUAUAUGAUUAUUCAUCUCUAGCUUACGUUGAAUAUCUCCUAACAAAUUUCUGCUUUGAAGCUCCCUUAGUUUCACUACAGCUAACUUGGCCAACUUGGUUUCAUCAUGUUUCCUACAACCUCUAAGCAAAGCACGCCAGAUCACUGAAUCAGGUUCUAUUUGCAUUUUGUCCAUAAACUCCUUUGCCUAUUGACAAUAAACUGCCCCUCAAAAUUUGAUGAGAUAACAUCAAUGCUGACAUGUUGGUCAUCCCCAUAAGCAUCUUUAUAGAGAUUGAUUCUAUGUUUAGAUAUUUCUCUCUCCUCAAGUGAGUUCAACUUUUUUGUAACAUCCUUCUCCUUCUCUACUAAUAGUCUUAGUUGAACAUCCAACCUAUGUUCCCAAAGUGCCAGCAUCUCAUAUCUGAUGACAAGCCAACAACCUUGCCCUUGCUGAGACCCAAAUAAGUAUCCAGAACCAUCAGCAUCAACCCUUUCAUAGGCCUUUGUAUUUGAAGGUCGGAUUGGGAUUGCUUUGAAUGCACUGGCACUACAAUACACAAUUGUAUCUUCUCCAAUAAAAACACCACACAGAGGUGAGGGGACUGGUAUUAGCAAAGAAGUGUUGUUAUCUAUAUUGUUCUGAGCCCGAGUACCCUCAACAAAAUCCUCAUCCUCAUCUGUACUCUUCCAUUACAUCCCUAGGCUUUUCAAUGUGAUCCACAUGGCUUACAGGAAUCCAGAAAUACCAGUCUGUAUAAAUGUUGCUCUUAUGGGGCUCUCCUAGAAAACAUCCCUAUCAAGAUGAUCAACCUAGCUUAGAUGCUCAGCACCCCAAACUUACUAGAAAUAGAGGAAUUAAAAGCAAGGAUAGGAGCCAAAGUAAAAAUUUAGGGAAGAGCAAAUAGGAAAUCAAGCAAAACAUGAAUGUACAGAGCCUCAUUUCAGGUGACAUCUUUGGGCUAAUAAUAGGUGGAAUUAACAAAGUAGACAAGCAUGAUUGUUAUAAAUAUCAAGUUCAAGGAUGAAGCCGUGCAUCAGCUACUUAUAGGGGGAGUCAAGGAAACCAAGAUAAGAUCAAAGAGAGCAUGUAUGCAAAUAAACAGAUUCGAAAAAAUAGACCAAACAACUCGUGAAUAUCCUCCUACAAAAAACUACUACACGUGGCAAAAAGUGAUGAAACAAAAAGAGUCGGGUCCGCAUAUACAUAUCCUAUUCUAUCCUAUUCCUUCAAAUCCAAAGCAACCUGUAUUUUCAAUGGGAUUUGUUGUGAUGAAUUUUACUGGAUUGUAACAUGUAAAUAUGUUAAAAGAGGCUUGGGACAUUCCUAUAUAGUAACGCAUAAAGGUACUUCCAUUGUGAAGUUGUCAAAAUUGCAAAUUUAAAUUACAAAAUUUGAAAACAUAGAGAUGAAAGAUGAUGAAACCUUCUUUGAAAUUUUAUAUUGAACUCAUUAAUAUUAUUAAUUUUCAUUUCAGUGUAGGGGAAAGAAUUCUUUACUCUAAAGUGGUCACAAAAAUAUUAAAAUUCCUUGUUGAGAGAUUUAGACCUAAAGUGAUCAAUAUAGAAGAAAGUAAAAAUAUUCUAAGUGUAGGUAAACUUGUAGACUCAAAUGACUCUACCUUCUCAUAAAAAAUCCUCAAUUUUAUAAAUUAUAUAGAUUUCUUCAUUUGAUACAAAAUUUGAAUAAAGAUUUUUCAAAUGACAACACAAGGAAAGGGAAAAAAAAAAUUCUCUCCAGUUCAUUUCAUUUAAUCACUUAAAUUAUUUAAAAAUAAAAAUGUUUACUGCUAACAUUAUUUAGAUUCAUCUUUCUUUUGAUGGAGGUUAAAAUUCAUAAUUUUGAGGAAAAAGAUGAGGAUUCUCAUUUUUUUUUCCAUGUAUGAAUGGGAUUCUCAUUGUGUAUAUGUGGGUUACUAAAUGGCAAAUUUAGGGGCCAAUAUGAGGAAAAAUAUGAAGUUGAGUUUGUCACCAAGAACAAACAUGACUCCUAUAAAGGUGGCAUCCUUAAUUUCAUGUCUGGAUUAGACUUCUCAUGUAACAACUUAACAGGUGAAAUCUCUCAUGAACUUGGAAUGUUAAGUUUGAUUCAUGCAUUGAACUUGUCUCGCAAUCAACUAAAGGGCUCCAUUUCAAACAGUUUUUGCAAUCUUUCUCAAACAGAGAGCUUAGAUCUUCUUAAUAAUAAACUAAGUGGAGAAAUUCCUCCAAAAUUGGUUAGACUAACUUUUUUAGUGGUGUUCAAUGUGACUCAUAGUAGCAUCUUUGGAAGAGUUUCAGAUAUGAAUGCAUAAUUUGCAAUAUUUGAUGAAAGUAACUAUGAAGAUAAUCCUUUCCUUUGUGGACCACCAUUAAAGAGAAAAUGUAGCAUAAAUGUUAAGCCACCUUACCCACCAUUAGAGUCUUCGGAAAAAAGUGAUGCAAAAUGGUAUAAUAUCGAUCUUGUGGUUUUCUUUGCAAGUUUUACUAUAUCAUAUAUCAUGAUAUCAUUAGGAAUUUCAACCAUUCUUUACAUUAACCCUUAUUGGUGUCAAAGAUGGUUCAAUUUUAUCGAGAAAUAUAUAUACUUUUGCUAUUAUUUUGUUUCCUAUACUCUUUCCAAGUUAUUAACAUAUUUUGAAUAAUUAGAGAUUUUUGUUUUCAAUAAUAUUUACAUAAUUAACUACUAUUGGCUUCCAUGACAUGGAAAGAAAUGCGGUGAAGGCAACAACCACUUUUUUUUCUCCUCUACUAGUGCAUGAUUGAUAUGAGUUAAAACUUGCACCCUUAUCUUUGCUUAAAUUUUCUCAGCUUUUGUUUCAAUUCUUAAUUAUCAUUUCUUUUAUGUGUUGUUUAAUACAAUAUCCUAAACACAUUGCUUUGAAGGUUACUUAUUUAUUAAGCAUGAUAUUUAUUUUUCAUAAAGACAAAUUCAAGUUUUUUAGGAAUUUUUAGAAUUAUUAUAAUUUGGAGUUCACAUUAGAGGAAAAAAGGAAAGAAAAGAAUAGAUGAUUAAAAAAACAAUUUUAGUAAGUAUAAUUUGUCAUCUUCGGUAUAACAAAUGGGAAUUCCAAAAUAAUAUUUCAAUUUGUUAGUCUAUUCCUUAUAGUAUUAAUUGAUAUAUCAAAUAGGAAGUCACGUUUUGAUUUUUUAUUAGCUUCAAUUGCAUGUCACAUAUAUUUUAAAAUCAAGCAUACCUCAGCCGGGAAGUUCUUGUAACAUGCAUGAACAUGAUAUGAUGAAUUGAAUAAUUUUCUUAAUUGUGUGAGACACAAACCCUCUUUGUUUAAUAAUAAUAAUAAUAUACUACACAUUAUUAAAUCAUAUAUGUAUAUUUAUAGUCGUAUAAUAUAUUCAAAAUAUUAAACACAUUACCCUCUUAAAUUUUUAUGAAUGGUGUUUACUUUACAUAACGACAGAUUCAAAUUUUUUUAGAAUUUUUUAAUGUUAAAAUAAUUUGGAGCUUAAUAGGGAAAAAAAAGAAUAAAUAAUUAGAAAAGCAAUUCAAAAAAAAUAAAAUUUAUCCUCUUAAAUUGGUUUUGUGUAAUACUAUAGAAGCCAUUUCUUGAGUUUGAUAUGGUAGAAUUCGGAUUCAUAUUUAUUUUAAAAUAAAGAAUUUCAAGGGUUGGUAGCAUCAAUAGAAUCUUAACAAAUUUGCAAAAAAGUAUUUGGGUAGAUCACAUUUAAAUAUAGCUAACAGAAUAAAAAAUUAAUAUUAUUAGGAAGACAUGAUCAAUUAAAUCUUUUUUCUUAUCUAUGACACCGAUUUUAUAUUUUUACAUAGUCAAUAUAAUUUAUUACAACUUAUAUGUCAUUAAAUUAUACAUGCUUAUAUUAAAUAUAAUAUAAGAUCAUUAAUGGAAUAAUUAUGCAAGUAAUAUAAAUUGUAUAUAAUAUAAAAAAUUUAAACUCCGUCAAACUAAUGGAAUCUAUUAUAAUAAGUAGACUAGACACCAUAUUGGCCCGAGUUGGAGGCCUGGGCCAGAUUUUAAAGGCUGGGCUUUGAGUUGCCCGUGGGCCUGAGCCAAGGCCUUCUCUUGGUAUCAUCAUUUUGAAGAAAUAAAUUGCUGAUACAGAGAAAAAAACUAUACUAAAUAGAAAAAUAAAUAAAAGCAUUGACUAAAAUGAAGGUCAAGGUCCUUGAAAAAUAAUCUUUAAAUUGUUGCAUAUAUAAUUUCAAUAAUGCAUAAAUAAUUGCAAUAUAUAUGAUAUGAUAAAGAAUUUGGAAUUAAAAGAAGAUUGAUCUAUUUUAAAUGUGGUUGGAAUAUUUUUAAAUUUGUGAUGGGAAGUUAGACAGCCAAUUAGGGAUCCAUAUUAUUUAUUUUCAAUUAUAUGAAUUUAUUUACUUUUAUUAAUAUUCUGAAUGCAACAAUAUAAAAUAUGUCAAUUUUCUAAAAUUAAAAAAGUAAUUGCAAAAGAAAAUUUUUAAUUAUUUUUCUGAAAUUGAGUUUAUCAUAACAUUUUUCUUUACAUAAAUUUCUUUUUUAUGUUUAUUUUUUUAAAAAUGAGAUAUGAAAAAAAAAGAUCAAUAUUAGUAAAAGUAAAACCCAAUAUAUAUAAAAAAAAUGAAUAAAUGUUUAUGAAAUAAGAUUUAAAAGUGAGAAGGUAAUAAAUUUUUUCUCUUUUAAUUCCUAUUCAAUACAUUACAAAAAAUAUUUUUGGUUUUUAUGCUAAAAUUUAUUGUUUAUUAAAAAAUUCUAGUAUAUCUAGCUAUCAUAGAAGAGCUCCAAAAUUUUAUUGUUUAAGAGAAUGUGUUGCCACUUUAAAAGAUUUAUAUGCAUACCUUUGGAUAUGUUUAGUUCCCGGUAAAUUUGAAGGAAAAUGUGAAGGAAGAAAAAUAGAGAAGAAAAGUAUAACAAAAUAAAAAGUGAAGGAAAAUGAAAAAUAGAUUUAAAAUUAAUAAAUUAUUUUCAUUGGUUUUUUCAAAUUUAUUUUACUUAUUUUAUUCUAUUAAAUAAAGAUUAACUAAUUUUAAUUAUAUUUGGUUUGAUUUUUAUUAUUUUUCAAAGCAAAACCAAAUAUGAAAAAAAAAACAUUUUUUUUGGUUAUUUUUUUCUUUCCUUAUUACUCUUCGGGACUCAAACAUAGCUUUUAGAUUUGGGGCAUGGAAAAAUAAGAGUAUUGAAUAAGGGUUCUAUAUAUGCCCAUGCCCAUGCCCAUGAUACCAUUGAAAAAAAUGGAGAGAGGGUGAAACCUUUACUAGAUGAUAAAUUAUUCUCUUCAAUGGAAAUCAAAUAUAAUUAUUUUUAUCUUGUAUUAAUUGAAUGUUAUACUCCAUAAACUCAAAAUUAAAAUAAAUAAAAAAUUUAAAAACUAGGACAAUCCCAUUUUUUUUCAAUUUCUUAAAAAGAAAUUAAAUUAUAUUUAUUUAUAUCUAUUUUCAUCCCUACCCAACAAAAUAAAAAAAAUUAACAUUGUGGAACAUGUAUGAGAAAUUCUCACAAUUUUUUUUAAGAAAAAUAAAUUUCUUAUUUUAUAUAUGUUAAAAAUAAAUAUAAUCUUUUAUUUUUUAUAUAUAUAAUCGGGUAAGGUAGAGUGGGACAAAGAAAUAAUCCCCUUCGAUUCCAAUCCGAAAUUUUAAAAUAUAAAAUAAAAAUCUUAAACUCAUCCCUAAUCCAUUUAUUUUUAAUCCUAAACUUGUCUUAUAAGGAAUAAGGCAAAGUAAGUACAUGAAAACACUUUUUUUUAUCAUCAUCUCUACAAGUUCUAAUGUUUAGAUUGCAAUCCAUAUCAAAGAUUUAUAAAGAAAGAACAACGAUGAAUUUCAUAAACAUUUGAAAGCAUAUACAAAGUUUUAAAUAAUAUUGCUUGAGGUGCAAAUAUUAUUUGGCGCACACGUUGAGGGACUUCAACUGGUGUUGUCUAGGUUUUUUACACUAGUAAGUAAUCUUGAAUAUCUAGAGUAACUUGAUCAAAAUCUCUUUAAUUUUAUUUUCUUUGAUGAAUUAGAAUGCUUAUAUAACAUGAUUAAAAAUUUUAAGAAAAAAAAACUAAGAAGAAAGAAAGAAGUACCGAUCUUCCAAAUAUUGCUUCCACUUUAAUAUUUAGAAGGCUCUAAGAAAAGAAUUUUAUUCAUGAAUCACAACCCAAGUCGAAAAUAAAUUGAACCCAUUUUCUAAGUUAAAUUUUGAAUUUUUUACUAGUGAAUGCAAAUUGGGAAAAUGUAUAUAAAUAUAAUUAAACUAGAAUAGUAGGUUAGGUUUGUGUGGUCCCACGAUGACUUGGAAGUUUCAACAAUUCAAGCAGACUCCACCUAUAAACCUAAUAUACUAUUUUAGUUUAAUUAUAUUUAUAUAUGUUUUCCCAAUUUGCAUUCACUAGUAAAAAAUUCAAAGUUGAACUUGAAAAAUGGGUUCAAUUUAUUUUCGAUUUGGGUUGUGAUUCAUGAAUGAAACAAUGAUCAAUGACUUGACUUUUAAGGCCAACUUAGUUAAGUCAUUCCUAACCCCUAUAUUAAUUUGGCCUUAAAAGUCCAGUAAUUGAUAGCUAAAUCCCAACCCAAGUCAAAAAUAAAUUGAACCCAUUUUCUAAGUUCAACUUUGAAAUUUUUUUUAAUUGGAAAAAUGUAUAUAAAUACAAUUAAACUAGAAUAGUAGAUUAGGUUUGUAGGUGGAGUCUGCUUGAAUUUGUGAAACUUCCAAGUCGUCGUGGGUCUAGUGGUCCCAUAGCUCUCUAUUAAUUUCCACCAUCAAUUUUCUGCAAUAAAGUCAAGUCAUUCCUAACCCCUAUAUUAAUUUGGCCUUCAAAGUCCAGUCAUUGAUAGCUACGUUCAUGAAUCCCAACCCAAGUCAAAAAUAAAUUGAAUCCAUUUUCUAAGUUCAACUUUGAAUUUUUUUUAAUUGGAAAAAUGUAUAUAAAUACAAUUAAACUAGAAUAGUAGAUUAGGUUUGUAGGUGGAGUCUGGUUGAAUUUGUGAAACUUCCAAGUCGUCGUGGGUCUGGUGGUCUUAUAGCUCUCUAUUAAUUUCCACCAUCAAUUUUCUGCAAUAAAGUCAAGUCAUUCCUAACCCCUAUAUUAAUUUGGCCUUAAAAGUCCAGUCAUUGAUAGCUACGUUCAUGAAUCCCAACCUAAGUCAAAAAUAAAUUGAACCCAUUUUCCAAGUUCAACUUUGAAUUUUUUUUAAUUGGAAAAAUGUAUAUAAAUACAAUUAAACUAGAAUAGUAGAUUAGGUUUAUAGGUGGAGUCUGCUUGAAUUUGUGAAACUUCCAAGUCGUCGUGGGUCUAGUGGUCCCAUAGCUCUCUAUUAAUUUUCACCAUCAAUUUUCUGCAAUAAAGUCAAGCCAUUCCUAAACCAUAUAUUAAUUUGGCCUUAAAAGUCAAGUCAUUGAUAGUUACGUUCAUGAAUCACAACCCAAGUCUAAAAUAAAUUGAACCCAUUUUCCAAGUUCAACUUUGAUUUUUUUUACUAGUGAAUGCAAAUUGGGAAAACGUAUAUAAAUAUAAUUAUACUAGAAUAGUAUAUUAGGUUUGUAGGUGGAGUAAGCUUGAAUUGUUGAAACUUCCAAGUCAUCAUGGGUCUAAGGGUCCCAUAGCUCUCUAUUAAUUUCCAUCAUCAAUUUUUAUGAAUUCAGAUUUAAAAGUGAGAAGGGAAUAAAUUUUUUCUUUUUCAAUUCAUUACAAAAAAUAUUUUUGGUUUUUAUGCUAAAAUUUAUUGUUUAUUCAAAAAAUUAAAGUAUAAAAAUAUAAAAUAUAUAUCUUGCUAUUAUAGAAGAGCUCCAAAAUUUUCGUGUUUAAGAGAAUAUGUGUUGCCACUUUAGAAGAUUUAUAUACAAAAAGGAUUGAUGUUUCUCCUUUGACUAUGUUUGGUUCCCAAAAAUUUGAGGGAAAGAAAAUAAAAAAAAGGUAGUAAAAAAGAAAAAAUGAAGGAAAAUAAAAAAUAGUUUUAAAGUUAAUAAAUUAUUUUUAUAUGCUAUUUCAAACUUAUUUUACUUAUUUUUUUUCAUUAUAUAAAGAUUAAAUAAUUUUAAAAUGCAUAACUAAUUUUAAUUAUAUUUAAUUUUUCUUUUAUAUUUUUUAGACGGGAUCCAACACAUGUAAAAAUCCUUUUUUUUAGCAUCUUUUUUUCUUUUCUUAUUACUUUCCAAUAACCAAAUAUAACCUUUAGAUUUAGCCUUUAGACUUGGAGUAUGGAAGGAUACUGAGUAUUGAAAGAAGGUUUUGUAUAUGGCCAUGAUACCAUAGAAAAAAUGGGCGACAGAGAAAAAACCUUUAUUAAAUGAUAAAUUAUUUUUUUCAAUGGAAAUCAAAUAUAAUUAUUUUUAAAAAUAAAAAUAAAAAAUAAUAAUUUGUUGUUGCAUUAAGUAUUCUUGCAUUUGGAGAAGCAUGUACUACUUACUACAUAAAUGGAUAUUCAUGGAGUGCAUUCUCUAGAAAGCUCCAGUCUCAUGAAAAUGGAAAGAUGGACCGGCCGGUGAACCGGUUCGAGUUUGGAUUUAUGGGCUGCCUCAGCCUAACACGCAUGAUAGGUUGUUGUAGGUGAAGAACUAACUAAUUAAUUUAAAGCCUUCUUCUAUCCUCUCCUAUUCCUCUAUCACUCCAAAUGUUCCACAUGAUAAUGACAAUUCUUUUGUUAAAUGGUAAAAAAAAAAUUUAACAAUUAAUUUAAAAAAUUUUUAAAAUCUAAAUCCAAUGGAAAUUUGACUGUAAGGUGCGUAGAAGGCCCUAGUGCCCAUGUUGCUAAUUUGAUGAUAGUUAAAUUACCAUUUCGAGAGAUUCCACUCACUAGUAUUCUCAUUUAUAAAAUCAUGAACUUUGGCAUCCUAAUUAAUGUAAUUUAACUUUUUUUUGUUUACAAAUGAAAUAAGAGGCAACAUAUAAACCCAAAAGUUAAUUUUCCUACCAUCUCUAUGCACCAUUUUAGCUUUACUCCAAUAUAUUUUCUAUGAUUAAUUAUUUUCAUUCAAACAAUAAUAUCAAAAUAUUUUAAAAUUAGACAUAUCCACUAAUAUAUCUUCGAUAUAUUAUAUAUAUCUGUAAAAUCGAAACACCAAUAUAUCCGUGAUUAUCGAUAUUUUUAUCGUUGAGGGAUAACAACUAAUCUAGUUUUUGUACCUAUUGAUAUUCCUCAACAUUUAGAUUGAUUUGACCAUUUUUUUUUUAAUUUUAUUUUCUUUGAUGGUUAUAUGAUGAAUUAGAAUAGUCAUAUAACAUUAACAGAUUUAAGCAAAAAUGAUAAAAAAGCUCGCAUUUUUCAAAUAUUGGUUUCAACUUUGAAUAUUUUUAUUGGUAAAUGAAAAUUGUGAAAAACCUACUAAUGCUAAUACUUUUCACCACAUAAUUAAAUAUAAUAAACUAGAAUAGUGAUUCAUUGAUGUCUUAUAAAGCUACAUGCCUUCUUUGACUUGUUAGUUGAUUUUUGUAGGUGGAGUCUGUAGGGACCCCUCCCCCUGAUGACACGUGGCACGCAUUUCUAUCCGGAUUAGCUCCAUCCGGAUUUCCUCCAAGGAGACACGUGGCGCGCUUCCCCUAUCCGGACUCCCUCAGGGAGAAGCACACGACACUCGCAAACAUCACAUCCGGACGACCGCCAUAUCGCAUCCGGACGAUCGACAUAUCCUAUCCGGAUAUGUUUGUCCGGAUCGUUGACUAAAGUAAGCAAGUCUUACUACGUCAUUCCGACAGCCUGCCAUGGCCCACGUUCCACCACCUGCAAAGUGAAAAGACAGGAAUGAUGGCAAGUCACUUCCUACGAUCUCUGACAGCUGUGGCGCCUCUCACGAUCUCUGUCAGCCGCCCGUAGGGUGAUGAUGGCCCUGUCACCACCUAGAGUCAUCAUGACAAGCCAAAAUAUCUCUCUAUCAUUAAAGAGGGAGACAGAGCUUCUGGUACUAUAUAUAUGGACCUUCACACAAAGAGGAAGGUAAGCUUGCUAUACCUAGUAAAAGGCCAACUGAUUUAUCUCUUUAACCAUGGCUGACAAAACCAUCGGAGGGUGUGUCCGGACACCCUGUCCGGACGCCUUUUGCAGGAACGAUUGAACCAGGAAUCUAUAUUGGUUGAGAUCGUGCGUCCAUCCAUUUGGCAACUACGUGGAUCACCAGGGACGCGAGGCCUCAACAUUGGCGCCGUCUGUGGGAAAAUCACUGAUUCAGUCACCGACAAAGAUAGCCACACCUUCCCAAAGCCGCUCGUCCGCUAGGGAAAAGGAAGAUAAUUCUGAAUGGCGCCGAGCCAUUGAAAGAAGACAGUUGGCAAGCUCGUGACAACUGCAAGCUCUCCUCCAGGAGACAGAAUGACUAAGAGAAGAAAACGCGGUACUACGCAUCCAAGCUUCAUCGACGGGGCCUCCCCGUCGUCAGCAUUCAAAAGGCCAGGUAGCAAACUCAAGGCCUGACCCAGAGUCAAUAUACCCUGGGGCAGCAGGAGCAAUACUUGAAACAUGCAACGUUAGGCCACAUGAGCCACACACGCCCAUGCACCGAGCUCCCCAUGAGGAAAGCUCAGACUCUACUCAUUUUUCAGCAAAAAGACAACGCGACAAAAAAUCCCAAUUGUCAAACUCAAUGCGUGCGAGACUAGGCCCACAGGAGCCUGGGAGGCCAAAGCCGCCAGUAGCCAUAACCUGGGCAGUGCACCUUGACCCUAUGGUCACCCCCAUGGUGCAGAGCGUUCUCCCGCACCGUGACCCUAUGGUCACCCCUAUGGUGCAGAACGUUCACCCGCACCUAGCGGUACGACAAGCUGGGAGAAACCUCCCAAAUGAGCCACCCAUUGGCUCCAUUAGCAAAAGGCUGGACGACAUGCUCUCCACGCCUUUUUGCUCUCAUAUCAUUCAUUACGAGCCCCCAAGGGGAUUCCUCGUGCCCAAAUUCUCCACAUACGAUGGGUCCAGCGACCCCUUCGACCAUAUCAUGCAUUAUCGACAGCUCAUGACUCUCGAUAUAGGCAAUGACGCGCAGCUAUGCAAAGUAUUCCCCGCCAACCUACAAGGGCAGGCCCUCUCAUGGUUUCACCGCCUACCUCCCAACUAUGUUGAUAAUUUCAGAGACCUAUCAGAGGCCUUCGUGGGACAAUACUUAUGCUCUGCUCGACAUAAGCAGAACAUCAGCACUCUGCAAAACAUAAAAAUGCAGGAUAACGAAUCCUUAAGGGAGUUCGUGAAGUGGUUUGGUCAUGCCGUACUACAGGUAAAGGCUUACAGCAUGGAUGCUGUCCUGCAGAUCUUCAAGCGAAGUAUUUGUCCAGGCACCCCAUUUUUUGAAUCACUCGCUAAAAAGCCUCCUACGACGAUGGACGACUUGUUCCAGCGUGCGAGCAAAUACUCAAUGCUCGAAGAUGACGUGCGAGCAGCCACCCAGCAAGUCUUGGUUGCCGGACAGGCAUCUAGAAGUGGCACGGAAAGAAGUGCCAAACUUCCGGACAGGCCAAGACAGUCCCAUCAAAGGCAGGAAGGGCCAAGUCGCCCGGAAAGGCCGCCCCUCACACCCCUUUCCAUAUCCUAUGAGAAGCUUCUCCCUAUGAUCUAAGACAUGUCCGACUUCAGGUGGCCUAGACCCAUCGGAACGGACCCAUCCAAAAGGGAUCAUAGUAAAAAAUGUGCCUUCCAUAAAGAGCAUGGUCACACAACGGAGACAUGCAGGUGCCUUCAUUAUUUGGUCGAAAGGCUCAUAAGGGCGGGACAUUUAAAGCAAUACCUCCACUCAGAUACCGGAGGUAGAGAUGCUUCCCGAAAUCACAACUCUGGAGCCCCUAGGGCCCUAGCCGUCCCCAAAGCCGUUAUAAACUAUAUUAACAGAGGCCCAUCUGACGAGGAGUACGACUCCAAACGAAAGAAACAAAAGUUGUUGCGGGCAGCAUCGGUGCGCGAACGUGUCAACUCCAUCCGGCCUGGGAUAACUGGGGGGGCCCUCGCCCCAUAGAUGGGAUAAUCAUUUUCCCACCAGUAGACCCCACCCGGAUAUUGAAGCCGCACCGCGACGCCCUCAUCCUGUCCUUAAAGAUAGGAGACUUCGACGUGAGACGCAUCCUGGUUGACCCAGGUAGCUCGGCCGAUCUUGUGCAAGCAUCGGUCAUUAGCCACAUGGGGCACAAUCUCACAGGCCUCGAAAACCCUGGGCGAAUCUUGUCCGGAUUCAACGGGGCGUCAACUACUUCAUUGGGAGACAUUGUACUGUCGGUCCAAGCUGGCCCAGUCACUCUCAACGUACAAUUUUCGGUGGUACAAGAUUUAUCACCCUUCAAUGUCAUCUUGGGGCGCACAUGGCUGCACUACAUGAAAGUCAUCCCCUCUACAUAUCAUCAAAUGGUAAGCUUCCUUACCAAGGAUGGGCAAAUUGACCUAUACGGCAGCCAGUUAGCCGCUCGCCAAUGCUACCAGAUAGCACGAGAAGCAGGGACCAACCAGGAGGAUGCAUCCCUCCCUGAGUCCAGCCAUGCACGUGACCAAUAGCAAUUAUUGAGUCCGGGGGACAAAGAUCCCCCGGCAGCGGAUCCCUUGCAAGCAAUCCAAAUUUCGGAAGAAGGUACUCACCUUACGAAUAUCAGUUAGAAGAGACCCGGAACAUGCAGAACGCCCUCAGACAAAACCAUGACGUCUUCGCAUGGACACAUUCUGAUAUGAAGGGAAUUCAUCCCUCCAUUACCUCUCAUAGGCUUAACGUCUUGCCAACAGCCAGACCCAUCCGGCAGAGGGUUAGACGUUUUCACCCGGACAGACAAAAAAUUAUCCGGAAUGAGAUUGACAAGUUGCUAGAAGUCGGAUUCAUCAGAGAAGUGCAUUACCCGGACUGGUUGGCAAAUGUAGUGGUGGUACCCAAAAAAGAAGGCAAAUGGCGGGUGUGAGUCGACUAUACCAACCUCAAUAAUGCAUGCCCAAAAGACAGUUUCCCUUUGCCACGGAUGGAUCAAAUUGUGGACUCCACUGCUGGGUAAGGGAUGCUCUCCUUCUUGGACGCCUUCUCUGGAUACCACCAAAUCCCCAUGUCCCCGGCUGAUGAAGAAAAGACAGCCUUCAUAACACCACAUGGUCUCUAUUGCUACAAAGUCAUGCCAUUCAGACUCAAAAACGCUGGUGCCACUUACUAGAGACUGAUGACGAAGAUCUUCAAACCUCUGGUCGGCCGCACAAUAGAGGUAUAUAUUGACGAUAUCGUGGUUAAAAGUAAAACCCGAGAGGAACAUGUCCUCCACUUGCAAGAAGUCUUCCACCUCUUGAGGAAGUAUGGCAUGAAGUUGAAUCCCUCUAAAUGUGCCUUUGGCAUAAGUGGUGACAAAUUCUUGGGAUUUAUGGUUAGCCAAAUGGGGAUAGAGGUCAGCCCGGACCAAGUCAAGGCAGUCAUGGAAACACCACCCCCUAGGAGCAAAAAGGAAUUACAACGCCUCACAGGCAAGCUCGUCGCGCUAGGGCGUUUUAUAGCCCGCUUCACUAAUGAACUGCGACCCUUCUUCUUGGCAAUACGAAAAGAAGGAGCAAACGGAUGGACGAACAACUGUCAAAGCGCUUUUGAAAAAAUUAAACAUUGCCUCAUGCAAUCGCCCAUCCUGAGCAGUCCCCUCCUUGAAGAAAAACUGUAUAUGUAUCUGGCUGUAUCGGAGUGGGCAAUUAGUGAUGUUCUAUUCCGCUGCCCCUUACCCAAGGAGCAGAAACCUAUCUACUACGUCAGCAGAGCAUUGGCAGACGUAGAAACCAGGUAUUCAAAGAUGGAGCUAAUGGCCUUAGCUCUUCGAAGUGCUGCCCAGAAGCUCUGCCCCUACUUCCAAGCCCACCCGGUGGUCAUGCUAACUGACCAGCCCCUUCGCAACAUUCUGCACAAGCCAGACUUAACCGGAAGAAUGCUUCAAUGGGCCAUAGAGUUAAGCGAAUAUGGAAUCGAGUUCCAACCCAGGCUGUCCAUGAAAGGCCAAGUUAUGGCUGACUUCGUGUUGGAAUACUCCCGAAGGCCUAUCCAGCGCAAGGAACCAAGUGAAAAAGAGUGGUGGACUUUGCGGGUCGAUGGAGCCUCACGAUCAUCAGGAUCCGGAGUAGGGCUCCUGCUGCAAUCACCAACAGGAGAACAUCUGGAGCAAGCCAUCUGGAUGGGGUUCCCCGCCUCUAACAAUGAAGCGGAAUAUGAGGCCAUCCUAUCCGGAUUGGACCUCGCCCUGGCUCAUCCGUCUCCAAGCUCCGGGUCUAUAGUGACUCCCAACUCAUGGUAAGACACGUUAAGAAGGAAUACGAAGCUAAGGAUGCGCGCAUGACGUGAUAUCUGACUAAAGUAAGGGACACCUUACAACGGUUCACCGAAUGGACGAUCGAAAAAAUCAAACGAUCUAAAAAUGGACGUGCCGACGCCUUAGCAGGCAUAGUUGCCUCCCUCCCCAUCAAAGAAGCCAUAUUGUUGCCUAUACAUGUGUAAGUCAACCAUUCCGUCGCGGAAACCUCCACUUGCAAUACCAUUGAGGCAAAUCAAGCAGACGACCAAGAGUGGACGGAAGACAUUAUAAGGUACCUCUAGACAGGCACUCUGCCUGAAGAGCCCAAGCAGGUACACAAGCUCCGGGUGCAAGCCGCCCGUUUCACCCUAAUUGGGGGGUACUUGUACAAGCGAUCCUUCACAGGUUCCUAUCUUCGGUGCCUAAACCACUCAGAGGCCCUGUAUGUAUUAGCUGAAUUGCACGAGGGAGUAUGUGGAAUUAUUCUGGAGGUCGAUUUCUGGCACACAGGGCCCAUUCGCAAGGAUAUUACUGGCCCACGAUGAAGAAGGAUGCGGCAGCCUAUGUCAAAAAAUGUGACAAAUGCCAAAGGCAUGCCCCCAUACCACAUGUGCCGUCGGAGACAUUGAAGCCAAUAUCAGGCCCCUGGCCCUUCACGCAGUGGGGCAUGGACAUAGUAGGACCCCUACCACCCCCACCCGCUCAAAAGAAAUUCCUGCUCGUCGCCACGAAUUACUUCAGUAAAUGGGUGGAAGCUGAGGCAUACGCUAGCAUCAAAGACAAAGAUGUCACCAAGUUCAUGUGGAAGAACAUCAUCUGCCGCUUCGGAAUCCCCCAAACCAUUAUAGCCGACAACGGUCCAUAGUUUGAUAGCAUCGCUUUCCAGAAUUUCUGUUCGAAACUAAACAUCCGGAAUUCAUACUCCACACCGCGUUAUCCUCAAAGUAAUGGGCAAGCAGAGGCCACAAACAAGACUCUAAUCACUACCUUAAAGAAAAGGCUCGAGCAAGCCAAAGGAAAGUGGGUGGAAGAGCUACCCGGCGUCUUGUGGGCUUAUCGAACCAUACCCAGAUGUCCGACAGGAAACACUCCCUUCGCCCUCGCAUACGGUAUGGACGCAAUCAUUUCUAUUGAAAUAGGGCUACCCACUAUCCCGGACCGAGGCAGGAAAGCAGGAUGAUGCAAAUGUGGAGUUAAGAAGAAACUUGGACUGGGCAAACGAAGUAAGGGAAACUGCAUCCAUUCGGAUGGCAGAUUAUCAACAAAGGGCAUCCGCUCACUACAAUCGCAAAGCAAGGCCCAGAAGCUUUAAAAAUGAUACGCUGGUCCUUAGAAAGGUUUUCGAAAAUACUGCUGAGAUAGGAGCGGGAAAAUUUCAAGCCAAUUGGGAAAACCCCUAUAUAGUAUCUAAGACAAGUGAAAGUGGAGCCUAUCAUCUGCAGAAGCUAGAUGGAACCCCAUUGCUCCGACCAUGGAAUGUAUCUAAUCUAAAGUAGUAUUACCAAUGAAAGAAAAAUAGAGGUACAAAUAUGAAUAAGUAUGUUUUAUUAAUACUUGUGAAAAAUUGUAUACAAAAGUUCUCCGGACUACAAAAUACAGAGAGAAGAUAGCAGUAAAAAUUACAAAAAGAAAAGCUCUCAUUGGGAAGGCUUGCCACGCAGCUUCUCCUCCUCACCCGGGGGAAUCGAAGGGACGUCCCGUUUGAUACCAAGUUUCUUCAUACAGCAACGGUAGCCGAAGAAGUACAUUUCGUCUACCUACUUCUGGUAGUCUGCUUCAAGUUCCUCCCUUUCCGCAGCAAACUCAGCCUCCAACUCUUCUUUUUGCGCUAAUAAACGCAACUGCAAAUCCUCUCUCUGCUUUUUCUCAAUUGACACCUCUGUUUGGAGUUGCCUCACUUCUCCCGCAGUUGGGCCAUUUCGUCCUCCGCCUCAUGUAGACGGGCGUCUGUAGAUUCCUCCCGACUCUUUGCCUCAGCUAGCUCUACCCGGAGAGCCUCGUUGUCAUCUCGAGCAGCGGAUAAACUGGCUUCGGCCUGCUCUAAUCUCAAGCGCAGUUCCUCUUCACUGUUUAUGCGUUGAGAGACGAAGGCCUUCAUAUAAUCAGCAGUUCGUAGUAGGUCAGAAAAAAGAUCACGUUGUUGAGCCAUGCCGCGGAUACCGCUCACCAGCUGCAGAAAAACCCACAAACAAGAAGUGCAAAAAUUACAACCCAUGUGACAAACACAUCAGAAUGGCAAGAAAAAUCAAGAAGUAAACUAUACCAUUUCCGCUGCUUCAAACAUUUUUGCUGAAGGCACAGCAACAUCUGAGCUGGAUGGAAUCCGUUUCAGCAUCUCUCCCAACUGCGCAUAGCUGAAAGGACUAGCGGAGAUGCAAGCUGCAUCAUCAACGGGACUUCCUCCUGACGAGGCAUUAGGGAGUGACUCCUUUCCCGAGUCCGGGGCCUCAUCAUUCUCGACCGGCUGGGUCUCUCCGAGUGAACCCCCAUCUGGGACCAGCACCGGGGCGGUUGGAUUCUCUUCUGCCAUCUCUGUCUCACUCCCCUCCGGAUGAUCCUCCUGGACGGACGAGCAGCUGACUUCGAUGGUUUCCAAAAAACGAUCUUGAAGCCGCCUGAUGAGGCUAGACUUUAAGUCACGGGCCGGACGAGACCUCCUUGCAGUUGGCCCCUUCACCGGUAUAAAGGCAAGGGAGCUUGGCUCGCAAGGAGGCACACCCUGACUUUCUGCCCUCGUUUCUUCCGUUGGGGGUGCCGUAGGAGGCAAUGCUUCAGUACAAGAGGCCUCGGCUGCAUCCGCGUCCGAAUGGGGAGAGCCGAGCUGAUUUACUGAAGUCGCUUCCUCAGCCAGAAGAGCCAGCCGUCCAGCCGCUGGCACUGAAGGCCCCGAAUGGUUUAGACCCGCGAGACGUCCGGAGCCUCUUGAAACAGAAGGCAAGACGGGGGAAGGGGGGAGAGGGGGGGGGGGGGGGGUGGUCUGGCUCUCUUAUUAUUAUUUCCUUUACGAAAGUUGGAGGUGGUAUUACCACUUCCUUUGGUGGAGUUGGAAGUUUUAUUUAUUUCCCCUUAUUGAGAGCCUUCUUCUUCUUUUUCUUCGCCGGGGCGCCAGCAGGAAGAGAGGGCGCGAAGCGUUUUAUAUCGGGGGCCCUCCGCAAAGUUCCCUCUUGCCUCAUUCCCUCCCGUUCGUCGAGACGUGCUCGGCGUGCCUGGGCAUCUGCCUUGCGCACCUCCUUGUAGAAAGGAAGGUCUUUUAGAACAAAAUGCUCCCCAGGCAUUACCUUCUUUGGCAACUUCCUGGGGAGAAUAUUGAUGACAUACGCCUGGGGCUCUUGGACAACGGCUAGCAAGUUUCGCGUAGUAAGCAGCGUCUCAUGAUGCCUCUCAGCGGCAGUAAUCUCAAAUAACUUGUUCAGUCGAACGAAAGACGUUUUUUCUACCCACUCGACUACGCGACCCCUCUUGUCCGGACCUGCAUUAUCAGCAACCAAAGAUAUUAAGCCAUCUGAUAACCCCAAAGCAAGAAAAGCAACAAGACGAAUGCCGAACAAACCCCGCAAGCUGUCUUACCCGGAAGCACCAACGAAAGGUUUGGGGAGAAUGGCCUCUCCGGAUGCUCCAGUAGCCCAGCCCAGAUACCCCGGACCAACACAUGUCCCUUGGCUCCUCCCUUCGUCGAAUCCGAAAGCUUAGUCACUAGUUGGAGAGAAGGCAGGUGGGAAACCAUGCUAAAAAUGUCAUUUUUCUCCUUCUUAAGGGAGUAGAUGAAAAGAACCUCCAGCAGCGAGAGGUCCAGGUUGAACAACAUGCUCAGAAUGCUGCAUCCCAUCAGCACCCGGACCAUGUUGGGAUGGAUGUAGGCCGGGGGGAUCUGGGUGAAGUGGAGAAAUUCUUUGAAAAGUGAUGGGAGAGGGAACCGGAGCCCAACAUUGAGUUGCUUCUUGGUAAAGCAGAUAGUGUUCUCCUCAGUUUUCUCAGUCGACAUGGCCUCUCCGUCCAUAAGUUCAACGGACACGCCAUUUGGGAUGCAGAAGCGUUCGCGAAACUCCCUCACAUUCAACUUAUCCACGGAUUUCUCAGCAUGAGCAUCUCCGGGUGAGCUGGAUGAAGUAGCUUCCUUGUUCGCAGACAUUUUGUAGGCUGGGGCUGAAAUGGAAUCUGCAUGGAGGAAUGCCAACAGUCAAACACAGCAAUCCGACCCCACAACCUUAACUCUACCCCAAAGAAGAAUCGGUGACCCACAAAAGGCACAAGGGUGCAACAGAAACCCUAAACACACCCAAAACACGAUCAAAACCCCCCGAAAAAAGCCCUAGAAACCAAUACCGAUUCCUAGUCGCAAAGCAACUUGCCCAGCAAGCCAGAAACAACCAACAAAACAAACACAACAAGGAGAAAAAAAAAAUAGAAAACGUACCGAGUGUAAAACUGGAAAAAUGGGAUGAAAUCCGCAGUGCAGUCACCGUCACGAUACGAGUAUUACCGGCAGAAAACCCUAGAGCUUCACUAGAAAGUGAAAAUACGCGGAAGGUAGAAGAGAAAGCACUACCAGAAAAAGCGCAGAAGGAAAAAUGCAAGAGAAAGGCACAGUUUGCUAUUUAUAGAGAGACAGCUCCUCGGUAUCCCAAAUGCUUAGCCGCACCAUCAUUGAAAGGACACGCUGCCUGGGAAAUCCCAGAAUCGGCGGCUCAUCAUAAAUGAUCUUCUUCCUUUUUCGCCCCCGCUCGCCACGUGGCCCAAUAAAGCGAAAAAAGUCAACCUCAGUUUCAAAAAACAAUCAUUUUUUAACCCACCCAUUUUGCCCUGGCAAAAUGGGCAGGUUAAAAGGGGGGCAUUGUAGGGACCUCUCCCCCUGAUGACAUGUGACACACAUUUCUAUCCGAAUUAGCUCCAUCCGGAUUUCCCCCAAGGAGACACGUGGCGCGCUUCCCCUAUCCGGACUCCCUCAGGGAGAAGCACACGACACUUGCAAACCUCACAUCCGGACGACCGCCAUAUCGCAUCCGGACGACCGACAUAUCCUAUCCGAAUAUGUUUGUCCAGAUCGUUGACUAAAGUAAGCAAGUCUUACUACGUCAUUCCGACAGCCUGCCACGGCUCACGUUCCGCCACCUGCAGAGUGAAAAGACAGGAAUGAUGGCAAGUCACUUCCUACGAUCUCUGACAGUUGCGACGCCUCCCACGAUCUCUGUCAGCCGCUCGUAUGGUGAUGAUGGCCCUGUCACCACCUAGAGUCAUCAUGACAAGCCAAAAUAUCUCCCUAUCAUUAAAGAGGGAGAUAGAGCUUCUGGUACUAUAUAUAUGGACCUUCACACAAAGAGGAAGGUAAGCUUGCUAUACCUAGUAAAAGGCCAACUGAUUUAUCUCUCUAACCAUGGUUGACAAAACCAUCGGAGGGUGUGUCCGGACGCCUUUUGCAGGAAUGACUAAACUAGGAAUCUAUAUUGGUUGAGAUUGUGCGUCCAUCUAUUUGGCAACUACGUGGAUCACCAGGGACGCGAGGCCUCAACAUAGUCCAUUUCCAUUUGAAUUGUUGAAACUUCCUAGUCCUUGUGGGUCUAGUGGUCUCUCUAAUAAUUCCCACCAUUAAUUUUUUGUGAUGAAGUGCAGUCAUUGAUAGCUACUAUAUCAAUUUGCUAUUAAAAGUCAAGUCAUUGAUAACUACUAUUCAAUCUUUUUCAAUAUGGAAAUUGGAAUCUCUAGCGCUACUCUUCUCAUCGUUCAUUUUUAGGUAAUGUGAGAAUGUGUGAACAUAAAUGUCUUCUAAUCAACCAAUUUUUUUUUGAAAAAAACAUGUACAAAAUUGCAAAACUUGCAAAAUCAAACUGACUGUAAUCAACCAUCAUAAUUUUGAUGGUUUUGAAGAAUCAAAGGAUGAAUCCUAAAAGGGUAUUUGAUAAAAAAUAAAAAUUAAAAAAAUUAAAAGACAACUACUCCCUUAAGUAUAAUAAGUGUAUUUGGUAGCACAAAUUUCCUACCACUUAUUAUUUUUUUUCUUAAAAAAUCAUUUACUCUAUUAAAUAAACUAACCUUGGCUUAUCACUUAUAGCAAAAUAGGUUAAGUAGUUUUUAAAAUUUUAUAAUAUUAGAUUUACAUUUUUAUCCUUCAAAAUUUCAUUAAUGCUAGAUUCUUCUAUAUGCUUAACUAAUAAAUAAUUUUUAGCAUUUUUCUUUUCUUAUAAACAUAAAAAAAUAAAAAUAUUAUUAACUUAUUGGUAUAUUUUAAAAUUUUAAUUAGAUUUAAGCUUUUAUUUUUUUGGAUUACCAAUUAUACAUAUAAAUCCUUUAUUAUUAUUGUUAUUAUUGAAAGAAAGGGGUUGAAUAGGUAGUCCCUCAAUCCCCAAAUUAAAUUCUUUAUUGCGUACUUUUGGUUUAUUCCUUUACAUGAAUUCCUUGGUGAGAGUAAACAUUUCAUUAAUGGAUAAAUAAAAUUGAUUCCAUAUCACAGGGUAUAAUGUGGAAAAAUCAUCGGUCUCAUGUGUUCCUUAGUGGAUCCUUUGGAGCCCUUAUCAAAGUUUCAUGAUGAAACCAUUGACUUUUGUUUAACCCAAAUGUGCUUUCAAGACAAAUCUUGAAAGAUUUGAGAGAUGGAGGUUCAAGUCUUUUAUGAACGACCAUGUUCUCUUAGGGUUCAUGAAAUUUCACACCUUUUGAUAAAUAAAACUUAUUUAUUUAUACGUCUAAAACCUAGUAUUUAUUUAUUUAAUUAUAGAAAGUUUCUUAGUUUUAAAAACAUUUCAAAAAUCAUUUUUAGAAUCAAAUAACAAUUUUAGAGAUAAACACAAUAUUAAAAUUUAACAAAAACAAAUUUUUGAAUUAAAAACACAAUAUAAACUAAAUUACAAAAUAUAAAGUAAUUUUUAUCCUAAUUUCUUCUUGCAAAACCAAAUAGAACACCUAGAAGGGGAGUGAAUAGGUGAUUUUAAAUUUUUUCAAUAAUGAUUUAUAAGUUAUACCCAAUUCUUUUACCCUGCGAGUUGUUAGGGACUAUCAAUUCUUUCCUUUUGGCAAUUCAAACAAUAUAUCAAAUAAUAAAAAGAUAUAAAUAAUGAGACAUAAAGAUUUUUACAUGGAAAACCCCCCACACUAACCAUGGAGAUAAAAAGCCAUGGAGUCUAAGACCUAUUAAUCUAAAUUCACUAUACGAAAUCAAGUUACACAAAUUUAUUUGGUAGCUUUACCUUAAAGACUUACUCUCCGGUACUGACAACUUGAUUCACGUCCAUGACGUAGCAACCCUCGAUUACUCCAAUGUAUCACUUCAAGCUUACUAAAAGGAUGAAGGCCUUCAAACCAAGAUUCAAAAAUCAAUUCCUUGAAUGAGAGAUUAGGAAUGGUGUGCCACUUUAGGCUUUCUCUCUAAGAUCUCUAAAAUGAUCUCCUCAAUGAAAACCUCUUAAACAAAAUGAGAUAUUUCUCCACAAUCUCUAACCCUUAAGGGGUUAUAAUGAGAUAUUUAUAGGCAACUAAGUUGAAAGUUUCAGUUUUGGAAGGUUUCUCAAUUGAAUUUGUGUGAAAAACUCGGCAGAAUCGACAUGAUCGCUCGAGCCAACACACUUCCCACUUGAGCGUUUUGGGCACUUGAGCGGUAAGGCUCGCUUGAGUUGUCUUAAGCACUUGAGCAUUCUAGGCUACUUGAGCAAUCUUGCUCUAUUUCAAAAGUUAAUUUUAAAUCAUUUUAAGUUCAAAACAAAAUUGAUUCCCUUUAUACCUCAAAGAAGCCUAACUUGCCACAAACCAAACCUUUUUAGAUAUACUUGUGACUUCCUGGUUGGACGAACAACAACUCUUAAUCUUCAAUGGAGAGCAAGUCACUAUCUAAAAAGAUUUAUAUGGUCAAACAUAAAAAAACAAAAAAAUUGCCAACAUAACAACAAGACUCAAUGUCCUAACAAUCUUCCCCUUUGGCAAUUUUGUGACAAAAACAACGUUACAUAAACCCACCUGAACUCUCAUAAUGGAGUUUAAUAAUACACAUUAACGUUCAAUUAAAAAUAAACUAAGGGAAUACUUUAUCUCACUUUGUAGUAUUUGUCUUCCAACCUUGUAACCUACACACAUAUAGAAAACUAUACCAAAGGUAAAACAAUGUGCAGGAUAAGAUAUGAUCAAGAAAGCAAAAUAGGAUAAUUGGAAAUUUUGCUUGAUGCCUUGUGAAAGCAUGAAAAAAGAACAAAUUCAUAUAGUAAUAUCAAGGGACAAAGCAAAACUCGAGAAGAAUAUAUAUGUAUGCAAAUCAACCAAACAUAAUAAAAGCUAAAUAAGAUGCAAUAGAUAAAAAAUAAUGCCUAGGGGUCUAUCUCCAACCAGAAAAUAGGGAGUGAAGAUCAUAGAAAGAACCUUCUGUGACUUAGAAAGAUUCUAGAGAGAUAGUAAAUUCAAACAUAAAUAUCUUGCUGGAAACAUCUAUGUUAUGUAUCUCUCUAAACCUUUUAAGUUAUGCUUUCAUCAGUUGAUUUGGUUUUUCUCCAAUGUCUCAGGUUUAAUUUCCUCUAUUAUUUCAAUUAGAGAAAUUAGUAGUCGAUUGACUUAGUGGGUGUUUGGUAAAACUUAAUACUUAUUAUUUAAUGAUUAACUUUAAGUUAAAUUGUUCUUAAGUUAUUAAUUUAAAAUUUAUUACUUAUUUUGUAUUUAAGUAUUAAGGUUAUUUGUAAAAAUCAACUUAAAAUUUAUUCUAAAUCAUCAAAUUAACACAUUUACCCUUAUUAAUUUUAACUUAUAUUUAUUUUCAUUAAUUUUAAACAAUAAAUUUAUUCAUAAAACAUCUAUAUUUUUGUAGAUACAUAAUAACCAUAAAAUAUUUACUAUAAAAAAUGAGUCAUGGAUGUAGAAUUAUAAUUCUAAAAUAUACACCUAUAAGUGUGGGUAAAUAAGACAAAAAUGAUUUGAGAUUAAGAGUAAAGUUAAUUAUUUUGACUUAAGACUUCAAGUUAAAAAUAACUUUAAGUUGCAAUAUUAAGUUAUUUUAUCAAACAUGCUUAAUUUACUUAACAACUUAAAUUAACUUAUUAAGUUGAUUUAUCAAACACCCCACUAGUAAUAUGUUGAAAAUGAAGAGCAUCCAUAGCAGAUAAUGUAUAUGUAUUUGUGUUUAGAGUAGAAGGGCACUACAACAAUGGACUUGCAUGUGAUUUGGUCGCGAUAUGAUUUUGAUGAGAAUAUUUUAUUGUCUUUAAAAUAUUGUUAUAUGAAAUGCCACACUAUGUUAGUAAAUGAUAGUUAUGUUAGUAGAAAUGAAAGUUUGUUUUAUAAUGCAUUGACCAUCCUAACACAUGCACUUAAUUAUCAUUAGUAGUUAGACAUGUAUUCCCUUUUUUCAAUUUUUUUUCUUCUUUUUAAAUACAUUCUAGUGGUACUUUGCCUUAUGACUUAAUUUUUGUUACACUUACUACUUUUGGUUUUAGUCAUAUUUCAUUUUAUUAGUAUUUUCAUUUUGUGUUACAAUUUUAUUUAGUUUCUCUAUAUUCUCUUUUGGAUGGUGAUUUCACUUCAAAUUUUAAUUCAAAUUAGGCUUAUUGUCCUCUUAGUAAGCCUUUUCUAGGCGAGUUGUUAUAGAAAAUUAAACAAACCUCUCCUAAGGUUGGCCUUGUUACAUAGACUUCUUUUCUAUUUUGAAAUAUUAUAUUGACCUCCCUUGUUAGAUAUUGGUUUUUACGAUUACUAAGAAUAAUGCUUCUUAAUCAUUAUUAACGAUAAUGCAAAAUGAUAUAACUACUCUUAGUUAAAUCAAAUCAUAAUGACAAUAUUUUCAUCUUCUUUUUCCAAUUUUCUUCUUCUUCCUCCAUACAUGCUAAUUUGCAAAAAUUUAUACCCAUUAUUUAAAUGAAAUCUUUUGAAAUAAAUUAAAAUCUUCCUUAUUUGAUAUUAUAGAAACCUAAUUUAAAUAAAAUAUUUUGAAAUAAAUUAGAUAAAAAAAAAACUUGUCAUCAUUCUAACCCAAAUCAAAUUUAAAAGAAUAACUAAAUAUUUCAAGUCUCAUUUUGUCUCAAUAUCACCUUUGCUAAUCAACCUAUCCAAUCUUAGAUCAAACUCAAAUUGCAAUCAAAUUUUGACAAGAAAAAAUCUACUUAAGACUGAAUAAGAAAACUUGUGGAAAGAGUCUUAUCAAGAAGGUGCAUGAAACCCUCAGUUCAAAAACUUCUUCUAAAAUAAAAUUAAAAAAAGAAAAGAAAAGAAAGAUAUUCAAUGUUAAAGGACUUUUAAGAUAAAUCAAAAUUUGAAAAUGAAUGUUAAUACUUGCGAUAGAUUCCACAUUCAUGAACAAAUUACCAUUGCACCACUUAUUUUCAAUUCACACUUUAAUUUACUAUCCAUAGAAACUUUCAUUAAAUUUUCCAUAAAACAAACAAAGAGCCUUAACCCCCAAAUAUUUUAAUUCUUAAAAAUACAUCAUUUCAUCAAUUUUUGAAACCCUCAUUUUAACACAAAUUAUUUUUUUUUACAAAUUAUUAAAAGAAUAAAAAGAAAAUUAAGAAGAGGUUGUCAUUAUUAUUCUUGCAAAGUCACCACAAAAUAAAUUAUAACAAAUAUAGAAAAUAAAAUAAUGUGACGAUGAAGAUGAUGCUUAGAAAGUUAGAAUGAAGAAGAUAGUAUCAUUUAGAUGAUUUAGGUUAAGAUGAGGACUAGAUAAGGAAAGUGACAUCAAUUGCCUAAUUAUUUGGGGUUUUAGACAUACAAAAUGAGGGAGAUGACUAAAAUUAUGGUUUAAUUAUUUUUGGUUAAGGAUUAUUAAGUUAUUUUAAGGAAUUAAUUAAUUAAUUUAUAAUAAAUUUAGAAUUAAUUAAAAGUUAAUUAAAAUAAUUAUUGAUUCAUAGUUUAAUUUAAAACUAAUUUGAAUAAAAGAUGAAAAACUGAAAGUCCAUUAGGGUUUCACCUAGAGAGGGGAGAGGAGGUGGAUGAUUUAAAAAAUUUCAAUAAAGAUCUAUAUGUUAUAUCCAAUUUUAUUUUACCCUGUGAGAUGUUAGGGAUAACCUUUUCUAUCAACCUUAGGCAAUUCAAACAAAAUAUCAAAUAUAAAAGAUAAGAACAAUAAGGCAUGCGAUUUUUAUAUGGAAAAUCCUCACACUAACUGUGACGAUAAAAACCACGAGAUCUAAGACCUAUUAAUCUAAAUGCACUAGAUGAAAUCAAGUUACACAGAUUUACUUGACUGCUUUACCUUAAAGAUUUACUCUCUGGUAAGUACAACUUGAUUCAUGUCCACAACAUAGCAACCCUUGAUUGCUCCAGUGGAUCACUUCAGCUUCCUGGAAGGGAUGAAGGUCUCCAAAAUAAUAUUUAAAGAACAAAUCCUUGAAUGAGAAAUUGAGAAUGGUGUGGCAAUCUAGGUUUUGUCUAUAGGAGACCCUUUUUAGAGAAUAAAGUCUCUCAACAAUCUAUCUCCAAUCUCUUCAAUAUCUCUAACCCUCAAGGGGUUAUAAGGGAGGUAUUUAUAGGCAAAAGUUUGAAAAGUUUUGAUUUUGGAAGGUUUCUCAAUUGAAAUUUUGUGAAAAACUUGGUAGAAUCAACAUGAUUGCUCGAGCCAACUCACCCAUCGCUUGAGCGCCUCAAGCACUUGAGUGGUAUGGCUCACUUGAGCGGUCUUAAGCGCUUGAGUAGUCUUUAGUGCUUGAGCGCUCUAGGCCACUUGAGCAGUCUUGCUCUCUUUCAAAAAUCAAUUUUAAAAUCUUUUUAAGUUCAAAACAAAAUUGAUGCUCUUUAAUACCUCAACAUAGCCUAAUUAACAUAAGUCAAGCCUCUUUAAACAUGUGACUUCUCAAUUGGACAAACAACAACCCUUGAUCUUCAAUGAAGAGUAAGUCACUAACUAGAAAGACUUCUAUGACCAAACAUUACAAAGAACAAAAUUGCCAACAUAUAGGAAGGACUUACUGUCUUAACAAUCUCUCCCUUUGACAAUUUUGUGACAAAAAAUUGUUACAUAAACCCACUUGAACUCUGAUAACGGAGUUUACAUAACACACUUUAAUGCUCAAUUAAAACUAAAUUAAGGGAAAGCUUUGUAUUAAUUUAUAGUACUUAUAUUUCAACCCCGUAACCUACACACAUACAAAAAACUAUACUAAAGGUAAAGUAGUGUGAGGAAUAAAGUAAUGUUGAGAAAACAAAACAGGAUAGUUGGAGGUUUUGCUUGAUGACUUAUGAAAACAUGAAAAUGGAACAGAUUUUUGUAGAGACACUGAGGCACAAAGCAAAGCUUGAGAGGAAUAUAGAUACACACAAAUCAGGAAAACACAAUAGAAGCUUGAUAAGACACAAUAGAUCAAUAAUAAUGCUUAGAAGUCUAUCUCCAACCAGAAAAUGGGUAGUGAAAACCAUGGAAAGAAACUGCUAUGACUUAGAAUAGUUCUAGAGUGAUAAUUAGUUUAAACAUAAAUAUCUUAUAAGAAACAUUUGUGUCAAGUAUCUCUUUAAACCAUCUAAGUUAUGUUUUCAUCGGUUGAUAUGGUUUUCUCCAAUUUCUCAAGUUUAAUUUCCUUUAAUAUUUCAAUAAUUUCCCUUAAUGGAUGAAUGAAUGAAUGAAUUGAAUUAAAGAAUUCAAAAUUUUUAACUCAUAGUAACUUCCCUUAAAUUACAAUCAAUACAAUAAUUCAAAUCAAGUAUACAAAAACAUAAAUAAUAGAACAUUUAUGCAUUAGGUGGCGGUAGAGGGAUAGAGCUUGAAGCAUCGUGAGAAUGGGUACAAGAAAAGAUGUAGUUAAGUUAUCCCUAAAUCUCUCGGAGUUGGAGAUCCUAAGAGUCCAUCUUCUGAUGAAGUCGGGCCAUGGAAUUUAGAGCCUCAUGGGCGUUGGGUCUACAAAAGUAAAAGCCUUGUGUGUAGCUCGGGAAGAACUAACACAACCUCAACUUUAGAGUGAGUCCUCGGAGCAGACUCUAAAUAGUCUGCCUCUAGAAUUCCACCAUGCUCCAUAGCUCGAAGCUCAUCCUCCUAGACAACUACCUUUGCAUGCUGGCCUACAUCAUGUGGUUCAUAAGUUGGAAGAGCCAUCAAACUAUAUACAUGAAUGUAGUGCUUGGGCUAGGAACUCCCAUCUAAAAAGGCAUGGGUAGCCUAGACCCCUAGUGUAGGAUCAAUCUUAAAUCCCACAUCCUCGAGUAUCCGCGUCAUGAGGAGGGUAAAAGGGAAAGUGCCUCCUCUAAAGGAUAAACCACGAAGGGGAAUGAUUGUAUCCAGGAUGACUUAGCCAAUGUCAAAUUGUUGGCUUGAGAGAAUGACGUGAAUAAAGUGAGCAGAUGGUCAAUGGAUUUGGGUGCAGUGUGUAAAUGGGUAGAAGGAGUAAGUGAAGAAUGUGGCAAACAACCAUGUUAGCUUGAAGAAGCCAACAAUCAAGAUAUAAGAAGGAAAGGGGCAAAGACCCCCAUAAAGAGAAGUCAGAAUGGUGUCAAGUUUCUCUCGGGUGAGAGCCUGAACCUCUAGGGAAAAUGAAGAAAUGAGAGCCUCAAUUUGCGACAUGCUAAGGACACAUUGAAUGUAAUGGGAGAAAAUAAGGAAAAAUUGACCAUGCAUGGUCAAUUGAAAGGUGACUCCGACCACAAUAUAAUGCAUGUUCUCAUAGAACAUGUGAACAAGAUGGGGAUAGGAAGUCCCCUAGAGAGAAAACAAAGUCUCCUAACUUUACUCUUGAAUGAUGAUAGGGAAGACAGUGUCCUGAAAAGCUUAGAGGUUAAUGGCAUGCUCAGGCUCGACACAUUGAUAUGUGAAAGAAGCGUAAUAAUGGUCUCGUGCCACCUGGCAGUGAAAACGCUCAACCGAAAGUGCAUCUAGGUUAAAAAGACCCUGGAGUGGGAUGCCCUAGACGGUUUCAGUGACCUAGGAAAGGUCACCUCCCUCUGACAUCUAUGACUAGCCAUAUCUAAGGUAUAUAAUAUGAAAAAACAAAAGCUAAAGAAGAACUAAAGAAAAUCCAAAGAAAAGCUAAACCACUAAAAAUGUUAAACUCAAUGCGUCGAACAAUACUAUACAAAUGGAAAUGAAAAAUAUGAAGUGAACUGACCUCAGAAGACAAAAGGACAGUAACCUAGAGGGCUCGAAGAUGAAUAGGAAAGUUUGAAAUGAAUAUGGCGUGCUGGAUGACCUUUAUAUAGCCUAUAGGAGUGCUUGAUGCAGAUUAGCACUCGAGCGUCAUGACUAACUUAAAUCAAAGUAUUUAUUACUAUCAAAAUAUUUUAAAAGUUUCAAAGGAAGUAUUCAAUUUAGAACCUUUUUAGAAAUUUUUUUGAAAGAAACAAAAAUAAAACGUGAAAUAUUAUGUGUUAAAGGUGUUAGAAGACAAUAUUGUCUAAUCCAAAGCCUUACACAUUCCACAAAAAAAAAAAAGGAAAAAGAGAGAUAUUAUAUAAGAUUUUGAUCACAUCUAAUAGAAACUAAUAUUUAGCAACAUAUCACCAAGCACUAUCUUAUCAGAAAGCUCUAACAUGUUGGAAAUUUAUGUAAGGUUCCAUAACAACUAACAACUUUUUCUGACGACUUGGCAAUGGACCAUUUGCACUUUAACUACAUUAUUGAAUUUAAAUCAUAUUAGAAUAGUAAUUGACUUCUCUUUUGUGAGGCUACAUAUCUUGUAGGAUGGGAUAGGUGAUUCAUUUCAUAUAUGAAAUUUACUUAAUUUAGUAAUGCAUCCAAGUUCAUUAUGAAUAUAAUGGUACCACAACUUUUUGAAUAUUUGUAAUCUGUAAUCUUUGUUUCAACUUCUCAAGUCUAGUCAUUUUAUCGGCAUAACUAGUUUGCUUCAAUUAUCUCUCAACUUUAUUAUAAAACUAAGGGAAAUGAUUAUCACGCAUUUUAUAUUAACUUAACCAAACAUCUUUAUAUAUCUUACAUAUAUAUAUAUAUUGUAAAUUUAGGAAAAUUUCAUCCAUUAGCCAUAGUAAGUAAGAAUCAAAUAUGGGAUAUGUAAGCCAAUGGUGAUAUUGAUGGCGUCAAAUCAAUGACAUAGUAGAAACGUGGAUUGUCUAUUUUCAAACCUUUAUAUUUUCAUCCAAUAGUAAAAAGGUUUAGGCAUCACUUGAAAAGUAGUUUGUUUUUUACCUUGGACUAUGAUUUAUGAAUAAAGUUCUUCUGUUGUAUACCUUUUGUGAUGCCCCAAACCUAAUUUAGGGGUAAAAAUAAUAAUUUAGAAACAAAUAAAUAAAAAUUUAAAUAAAUUUAAUUAAGGUAAAAAUGUAUUUUCGUAUUUAAAAUUCCUAGGGAUCAAUUAUAUAUUUCUUGUCUUCUCUAUUCAAAAAACCCUAUUACACAAAAAUCAAAGAUCAGAGAACAUAGGACAACGUAGGGUUGAAGAUUUGGAGGUUUAGGGUUGAAGAUUAGUUUUCCAGGUAAGAUUCUAACCCUUAAAUUAGUAUUUUAGAUUCGUUAAUUAGUUUGAACACUUUAGAUAUUCUUUGAAAAAUCUGAAUCCACGUUAGGGUUUGUUAAUUUAAUUUUUAAAUAAAAAAGAUUGAAAAUUUAUGAACAUAAGUAGAGUUAUUAUUAAAGAUUGAAAAUUUUUGAAUAUUUGAAUUAAAAAUCUAGAAAAAAAAAAAGAAAAUAAAUUAUAGAUUUGGAUGUGGAAAAAAAUUAAUAUUAAUAAAUAAAUAAAACCUAUGAGUAUGGAGGUAGAAAAAUAUGAAAGUUGAAAGCAAAGAAAAAAAAAAGGAAUAAGGUUUUGUGGUUGUAUAUGCCUCCUUAGUGGAAAAAAAAUACAAGGUUGCUUGCAAUAGGAUAUGAUAAAGAGAGAGAGAUAAAUGCUUCGAUAUUGAUUUUUGUGGGGAAAAAAAGAUUGGGUAAUGCAGGAGAGAAAUAGGUAGCAUUUGUAGAGUUGGUGGAGUUGUUGUAAAAGCUCGUAGGGGUAAUUGUUAGGAAACAUUAGGACUUGAAAUAAUAAUAAUUGCUUCUAGUAAAAGUUUUAAUUUAGUUUAAGUAUAUAAAAGAAAUAGAUGAUUAGAAAAAGAUUUGGAAGGAAUAUGAAUUCAUAAAAUUUCGAAAUUUACUAAUUUAGAUUAUUAUUGUUUUGGAAGUUGAAUAUAAUAUAGGUGAUAAUAUUAUUAAUAUAGGAAAUGAUUAAGAUUCUCAAACCUACAAUUUUAGAUAAAUAGUUAAUAGUAAUAGAUGAUUUUUUAUUUUUUUUAUUUUUUAUUUUUUAUGUUAUGUUAAGUGAAUAAUGGAUUCUUUGAUUAAUUCUCUAAGGUUUCUAAGUGCUUCUUUAAGGUAAGGGAUAUUAAUACUGAUUUUGUAAAUGAAAAUAUUUCUUUUUAUAAGUUAUUUUAAAUUAUGAAAAAUUUUAUUAUUAUUUAUGCAUGGAUCAAAUAUAUAUUUUUUCAUGAGAAACAUGUUUAGGCAAUUUCUUUGUUUAUAAAUAAAUAAAUAAAAAAUGAGAACCUUGGAAAUAUAAUGUUUUGUUUUGUAAGUUUAAAAUAAUGAAAUAAAGUUUUUGACUCUGGUUUAUAUGACCUUAGUUAAUGGGUUAUAAUUGUUGACAUUUUUAGCUCCAAUCAACAAUUAUAAUUGUUGACAUUUUCAGCUCCAAUCAACGAUUAUAAUUGUUGAGAUUUUCAACCCUAGCCAAUGGGUUAUAAUAGUUGACCUUAUAGCCCUAGUCAACAGAUAUAAUUGUCAACCUUUGGUUUUGCCCAUCUUAAAAAGAACAAAUUUAAGGCUAGCCAUUUAUUUGUAAAGUCCCACCUAACUAAGUACCAUUUGUUAUUUAAUAACCAGAGUAAAGAUAUUUUGAAUGUAUUUGAUAUGAAAUUGUUUUGAUAUAAAUAUGAAAAUGUUUGGUUGAAAGUUCAAAUGUUUAAUGCAUGUUGAACUCAAAAGUUUUAUUAAAAUGAUUAUAUGUUAUAUAUCCUAUUUGUAAGCUUGAUCCAUGAAACUGUAUUAAUAUUCCUUAUUGGACUUUGAGCUCAUUCCCCUUUGUUGAGAAUUUUUUUGGUAUUCUCAGUUUGGGCAAGGAGUGAUGACUGGGUUGGGGAAUUUUCUUUGCUAUGAUUUUGGUUCAAUCUUUAUUUUGGACAUUGUUUAGAUGUUAAAAUUUAAUUCCCAUUUAAAUUAUUUGAGUUUGGAGUUAUUUGGACGAUAACACUUUGAUUGAUGUGUUAGUUUUAAAGUUGAGAAUUGAAAAUUAUAGAAUUUAUUUAUCUUACUACUUUGAACAGAAAUUUAGUAAUUGGAGAUCAUCCAGUUACAAGAUGAAUAUUUGUGUCAUUUCCACUUUGAGAGUUCAGACUUGGGGUGUGAAAUGACCGUUAUGCCCUUGGAGUGGGUAUAUUGUUUAUUUGAAUUUAAUGGUCCCCGAACUCCUUAAUUACUCAUAACUUUAUAUCACCUUCUCAAAGUUAAGUUGUUUUACAACUAUUAUCUAGCUACUUUUCUCUACUAUGACAACUUUAUUACAUAGUGAUUAAUUGAAAGAAUCUACAUGUUUUAUUUCAUAGGAUAGUUGAUUUUUUUACUCAAUGAAUCUUGCUUUUAUUAUUGAAAUUUCAAAUCAUUGUAGUCCAACAAUUUCCUAUCCAUUGGUAAUUUCAUAUUACAUUUCCAAAGUCUAAUCAUUUAAAAACACUUGUAGUUAAUAUAUUGGCAAUUGCAUUGUGGGAAGUUGUUCACUUGAUUUUAAUGUUGAAACUUUCAAAUUAUUGUAGUCCAACAAUUCCCUAUCCAUUGGUAAUUUCAUAUCACAUUUUCAAAUUAUAAUCAUUUACAAAUACUUGUAUAUAGUAUAUUUGGUGAUUGUAGAGUGGAAAGUUGAUCGUUUUCAUGAAGACCUCUAAAAUAUAAAUUUUUUUCAUUCCAUUUAAUAAAGAAUUUCAUUAAUUGAACAUAUAUGUUUUUUUUAGCUGGAAAGUAGAGGCCACAUUAUACGAGGCCUUAGGUGACAAUACUAGGUGAGGGUUUUUUUUUUAAUUUAUUUAUUAUGAAAUAUAAAUAAUAUUAUUUAUUGUAUAAUAAAGAUUAUUAUAAUAUAUUUUUUAUAGAUGAAAAAAAUAUUAAUUGAGUUUUAUUUAUUUUUUAAUAAUUGUUUUCAAUAAAUAACUUAUUUGUAAAAAGAAAACUAUAAAAUAUAUGCAUUUGAAAAAUAUUUAAUUUUUAUUUGAUUUAGUAUCAAUUAAUAUUUGUAAUAUUUUUUAAUAUUAUAGAAGUUAACAUACUCAAUCAAGAUAUUCAAGAUCAAGAGAACAUUUGAGAUUGAAUUAAUUUCUUUAUUGUUUAUGUUUUAGAAAAUUUUUAUAUCCAUUACAAAUUUUCUAUUGUUUAUUUUUCAUUCAAUUUUUGCAUUUUGUAAUAGAUAUUAAAACGAAUUUUUUUUCCUAUAUGUUAAAAAAAUAUUUCAAUGUCUUUAAAAAUAAAAUAUUGCAGUAAAAUCAAAAUUACAUUGUGAAACUUUAAGCGAAUGUUUUAUACUUAAGAAGUGCCAAUUAAAGUAAGCAUGCAUCUACAAUUGUAAUUUAGAUGUCAUACUGAAACAAUAGUUCUCUUCGACUAUAUCAUAAAAUUUGGUUCGAAUUACUUUAAGUCAUCUUGUAGAUUUUCAAGUUCUAAUGAUAUGCAUCAAGUAUGUGCAACAUACUUGAUAUAACUAAUAUUUUCUUAAGUAAUUGGACACUUUUUUUCUAUAAAUUUACUUGAUUAUCAAUGAAUACUUUUAUGUAGGGUAUUGAUAUAAUUCGAUAAAUAUUUUAAAAUAGUAUUAGAAUAGCUUUGCUCUUUCCCAAUUAACAAAUUUACCAAAUUAACUUAUAUAUAUUUGUUUAUUUGAAUUUACUGGUAUUUGACUCAAAUUGUUAUUAUUUUUAAAAUUAUAGGAAAACCAUUAUUUAUAGAGUUUAAUUAUAUUUUGGUAAAUUAUCUUUUUAAGUUUGACUAGGAUUAGGAAACUAUUAAUUUAAGAUUAAUCCAUAAGGCUCUAUAAAUUUGCAGUUUUAUAUAGGAUUUAAAAAAAGAAAGAAAAAGUAAGAAAAAGUGAAGAGAGAUAGGCAAAGAGUGCAUUGGGUUUUAGAUAGAGAAAGAUUGAGAGAGUUUUGAUUACUACUAAAAAAGAACAUAUUUUAGAUAGUAAUUCUCAUGAGUUUCGCAUCUUUUGAGCAUUAAUUAUGCCUAAAAAUGCUCAAUUAACAUGUUGUUGCCCUUGCAAAAGUUACUAACAAGUUUUAUAAAGUUUUGGAGUCAUUUCAAGUUAUGAUUUUAAUAAAUUGGUGACGAAAGAAAUGAAUUGAUUUGAAGAAGGCAAAUAAUAUUGAUGAUGAUCAAAUGCAUAAUGAAAUAAGAAAUAUAAUUAGUUUGAUCGGGAUUUGCUGCUAAUUUGGAGGUAGUUAAGGUGGAGUCAAAAGAAGAAAAUGGAAGAAAUGACAAAAAGGAGCUUAAAAACCAAAUGUUGCAGAUUUGUAUGAUCAUGCAAAAAUUUUACAUGACUAUGCGAAAUGGAUUAGAGAAGGAAAAUUGACUAUAGUAUAAGGAGGAUGCUUAAGUUGAUUUCGCAUGAACAUGAGAAAAUUUCGCAUGAACAUGCGAAAAUUUUGAACAAUCAUGCGAAAUGGUCCAGAAAGCUCUCUAAUGUUGUUGUUGCUCCACUAAUUUCGCACCACCAUGCGAAAUCGAUAUUUUCAUGCAAAAUGGCUGAAGCUCAUGUGAAAUCAUGAUUUUGAGGCUAAACUCCAGAUUUGUGAAUUUGGAAGGCUUUAUAAGACCAAUGAGAGGUUGCCAAGUGUUCACUUGACCUUGGCCUAUAAAUAGAAACUUGAAUUUCCCAUGUAAAGAGCUUUGUGAUACUUUUAAUUUUAGAUUUUUCUAGAAACUCUUUUUCUAAAUAGAAUUCUAUAUUUUCUUUAAUUUUCCCUCAUUUUCUCAUUAGCCAAACAUGCCUAGUGAGACCAAAUCUCCAAGUAUGAGUGGCUAAAUUUCGUUUUUCUCAAAGGAAGGAGGAUCUAGAGGCAAGAUCUAUGGUGAAUUAUAGAAAUGAGUUUUAAUUGCAAAUGUAAUUUGAUCCAAUUGAUUGAUUAAUUGAAAUUUGAGGAUUUCUCUCUUCAAAUUGUCUUGAAUGACUAUUACAUUGCAAACUAGGUAGAUUCAUUAAAUUCUUAAAGCUAGAUUUAAUGAGACUGAAUAGUUGCAUUGUAUGAAUCAUUGGAAGAUGAUUUAAGAUGAAUUGAAUAUAUAAUUUAAAUUGAUCUCUUGGAUUAAAUAACCUAAUUUGAAGAGAAAUUAGGUUUAGACUUAAAGGUAAAUCCAAAAUCGGUUUAGAUAAGAAUUUAGGUUUUCAAUAUAACUUGAUGAAAAAUAAAUCUCAACAUCUAUUCACUAUGGAAAUUGUUUUCUAAAAAAUAUUAACUCCGAGAAUUCCUUUUCCUUAUCAAUUUUCUUAUAUUCUACAUUAUAUUGUUCUUUUCAAUUAGAAAUCAUUGUUAUUUUGAUUUUUCAUGAAUUGUCAAAUCAAUUUCACUUGACCACAAUCAUUUCUUUUCCUUCCAUUUAAACCUUAAUUAUCGAGAAUAAUCCAUCCCAAUGGAAGACACCUAAGACCACUAUACUACCGUAGCUUUUGCUAAAAAACCUUUUUGAUCGGGCAAGAGUUACCUUAGCAUAGUUGAAUUAUGUUAUAAUUUUUUUUAUCCAAUAAACAACAAAAAAAUCAAUCGAUCAAGUUUGCAUUGUGUAUUCUUGAAUUUUAUUAAUAAAUUUAAUCCCCCUUUUUGAAGCGAUUACACCAAACCAAGUAAAUAUUUUAUAUACUUCAUUUGCUUUAUUUUUUCUAUUAAGUUUAGGUGUUGCAAUUUUCAAGAGUCAUGGUGAGAAGAUUGUGGGAAAAAUUAUUUUAAGGAUGGAGUCGAACAUAAAAUAUGAAAUUGAGUCCUUUGAUGGAAAUAAUAAUUUUAAUAUUUGAUAAAGUAUUAUUAAAGAUGUUUUGAUACAACAAAGACUUCUCAAAGCAUUACAAGGCAAAAAAACUAGAGAGCAUGACAAAUAAAGAAAUGAAAGAAUUAGAAGCAAGAGUUGUAAGUACUAUUUGUUUAAGUCUUAAAAAUGAAAUACAUUGUUUUGAAUGAAAAAUAUUCUUUCAGGGGUGUCAAUUGCUCUUUUAGAGACCAAAAAUAUUAAGCAAUCAAGUAGUUCAUCUCAUAUUGGACAAACUGUUAUGAUGAAUUCUAAACCACAUCAUCAUAGGAGUAAAUCGAAAGAAAAGUAUCUGAUAGGAGGAUGAUCAUUCCAUUCACAUUUAUGGAGGAAUAUGAAGUAUUAUUACUAUGAAAAAAAAAACAUAUCAGGAGAUAUUGUAAAGAAUUGAUGAAGUACCUAGAAGAAAUGAAAAUUUUUAAAUCCCAAGAGACUUCAAAUUCUACUAAUAUUGUUGAUGAAAAUUUUGAAAUAUUGUAGUAAAUUAAAAGUUACAUUAUGGGACUUUUAGUGAGUGUUUUGUGUUGAAGAAAGGCUAAUUAAAGUAAACAUGCAUCUAAAAUUAUAAUUUAGAUGUUGUACUCAAAUAGUUGCUCUCCUCGAUUAUAUCAUAAAAUUUGGUUUGAAGUAGUCUAAGUCAUCUAAUAAUUUUCUAGUUCCAAUUACAUGCAUCAAACAUGUGUGUUAGGAAGUGUUGCAAAUUACUAAUUAGUAUAGAUCCCUUUUUUUUUUUAAAGAAUAUUGUAUUGAAUAUUUCUAGGUUGAUAUAUUAUUGUAAUAUUAGACUUCCUUAUAGAAUAAGGAAUGUUGUUGAAAAUAUCCCUAUAAAUAUUCUAGUUCAUAAGGGGAAAAAGUUAUGAGAUGAAGAUGGACCCAUAAAGACUAUACAAGGUGGAUAGAGAUGUGAGGAAGAACAGGAGGUACCCGGUGGAGCGAGAGGGCUCGUGGUAAGGUAUAGGUACGAAGAGUGAGGAAACAUGGGAUGUUUUGGGAACCCAAUAGUUAUAUCUAGUUAUAUCAUCUAUAAGUUCUAGUUCUGUCCUUUGCAUUGUUCUCUAUUUUAUAGUGGAAUGAUUCUCUCUUAUCUGUGGAUGUAGGCAUGGUUUUCGAACCACGUUAAAACCUUAUGUACCGUUUGUGUCGAAUUUUUUUAUCUUUAUUUUCUUGAUUAAUGAAGUUUGCAUCAAAGCUUCCGUCAACGGAACAAACUUGUAUCAAAGCUUGGGUUAAAGAUUUCUGGAAGAGUAAAAGAUCACAAAGCACACAAGAUGAAACCAAAAGGAUUUUUUAGUGAAAAUGGAGUCGAUUGCUCUCUUGUGGUGAUAUGAUAUAAAAAGUUUGUCUCAUGGAAAGUUUGAAGAUUGACUUCAUGGAAUUUGGUCCAAAAUGGAGAUUGUUAAUAAGUGUCCCAAAUUCCUAAUUAGUAUAGAUUUUUUUUUUUUUUGUAAAGAAUAUUGUAUAGAAUAUUUCUAGGUUGAUAUAUUAUUGUAAUAUUAGACUUUCUUAUAGAAUAAGGAAGGUUGUUGAAAAUAUCUUUAUAAAUAUUCUAGGUCAUGAGGAAAAAAAGUUAUGAGAUGAAGAUGGGCCUGUAAAAACUAUAUGAGGUGGAUAGAGAUGUGAGGAAGAACGGGAGGUACUCAAUGGAAUGAGAGGGCUCGUGGUAGGGUAUGGAUACAAAGAGUGGGGAAAUAUGGGAUGUUUUGGGAACCUAAUAGUUGUAUCUGGUUCUGUCAUCUAUAAUGUUCUAGUUACGUCCUCUAUAAUGCUCUCUAUUGUAUAGUGGAAUGAUUCUCUUUCAUCCAUGGACGUAAGCAUGGUUGUCGAACCACGUUAAAACCUCAUGUACUGUUUGUGUUAUUAUUCUUUAAAUUUUUUAAUAUUUGUUUCUUGAUUAAUGAUGUGUGCAUCAAAGCUUCCACCUACAUAACAAACUGGUAUCAGAGCUUGGGUUGAAGAUUUUUGGAAUAGUAAAAGAUCACAAAGCACACAAGAUGAAAACAAAAGGAAUUUUUAGUGAAUGUGGAGUCAAUUGUUUUCUCGUGGUGAUAUGAUACAAAAAGUUUGUGUCAUGGAGGGUUUAAUGAUUGACUCCGUGAAAUUUGGUCCAAGGUAGAGAUUGUUAGGAAGUGUCCCAAAUUCCUAAUUAAUAUAAAUUCCUCUUUGUAAAGAAUAUUGUAUAGAAUAUUUCUAGGUUGAUAUAUUAUUGUAAUAUUAGACUUCCUUAUAGAAUAAAGAAGGUUGUUGGAAAUAUUUUCAUAAAUAUUUUAAGUCAUGAGGGAAAAAAGUUAUGAGAUGAAGAUGGGCCUAUAAAGACCAUACGAGAUGGAUAGAGAUGUGAGGAAGAAUCGAAGGUACCCAGUGGAGCGAGAGGGCUCAUGGUAGGACAUGAAUAUGAAGAGUGGGGAAACAUGGGAUGUUUUGGGAACCCAAUAGUUGUAUCUAGUUCUGUCAUCUAUAAUGUUCUAAUUCUGUCAUCUAUAAUGUUCUGGUUUUGUCCUCUGUAAUGUUCUUUAUUGUAUAGUGGAAUUAUUCUCCCUCAUCUGUGUAGGCAAGUUGUUAAACCACGUUAAAACCUCGAAUACCAUUUGUGUUGAUUUUUUUUUAGUUUUGUGUUCUUGAUUAACAAUGCUUGCAUCAAAGCUUCUACCAACGUAACAAUGUGCAACAUAUUUGAUAUAACUUAUAUUUUCUUAAGUAAUUGAACACUUUUUUUCUAUAAAUUUACUUGAUUAUCAAUGAAUACCUACAUAUGCGGUAUUGACAUAGUUUGAUAAAUAUUUUAAAAUAGUAUUAGAAUGGCUUUUCUUUUUCCCAAUUAAAAAAUUUAUCAAAUAUAUACAUACACACACACACACACAAUACUCAUUAGUAUGUCUUUUAUGAAAAAACUAUAUUUGUUUAUUUGAAUUUAGUAGCCAUUUAACUCCUUAGUUACUCAUAAACUUUAUAUCACCUUCUUAAAGUCAAGUCAUUUACAAUUAUUUCUAUCUAGCCUUCUCCAUUAUGACAACUUUAUAAGAUAGUGAUUGACUGGAAAAAUCUACAUGCCUUUGUUGAUAGGAUAAUUGUUUUUCUUUUUUUCGUAUUCAAAGAAUCUUGCUUUUGUUAUUGAGACUUUCAAAUCCUUUAUGUCUAGUGGUCUUAUAAUUCCCUAUUCAUUGGUCUUUCAUAUUACCAAUCAUUUUGCAAAUGAGUUAAUUUCAUUCACAUCCUCUGAGAUUUGAUGUAAAUUCGCUUAGUUACCAAUGAUUUCAAAUUUCAUUAAUUAGUACCCCUAUAGAUGUAAUUUGUGUACAAAAUUUAUUUUUUAAAAGAAUUUAGGUAAAAAUAUUUUAGGUUUAUGUCUUUAACAAUUCUCUAAAAUAAAUUUUACUUGCUAAAAAAUAACUUAUAUAGAUAGAAUACAUCUACAGGAGUUCUAACUGACGAAAUUUAAAACUAAUGGUGGUUUAGUGUAUUUAAACUAAACAUUAAGAAGGGUGACUGAAAUUAACCCUCUAGGUAUAUAUGUUUAACAAAAUUUUUAUUGUUUAUUUUUCAUUUAAUGUUUGCAUUUUUCAAUAAACAUUGAAAAGGAAUUGUUUUUCCAUAUGUUAACAAAAAGAAAUUUGAGCACCUAUAAAAAUGAAAUCUUGUAGUAAAAUUGAAGUUACAUUAUCAAACUUUUAACGAGUGUUUAUGUUUAGAAAGGCCAAUUAAAGCAAGCAUGCAUCUAGAAAUUAUAACUUAGAUGCAUCAAACAUGAGCAACAUAUUUGAUAUAACUAAUAGUUUCUUAAGUAACUAAACACUUCUUUUUCUAUAAAUUUACUUGAUUAUCGAUGAAUACUUACAUAUAUUUACAUAGUUUGAUAAAUAUUUUAAAAUAAUAUUAGAAUAACUUUUUUUUUCUCAAUUAUAUUAGAAAAUAAUAUAAAGUUACUUAUAAACUUUAUAUCAUUUUCUCAAAGUCAAGUCAUUUACAAUUAUUUCUAUUUAGCCUUCUCCAUUAGGACAACUUUUAUAUGAUAGUCGUUGAUUGGAAGAAUCUACAUGUCUUUUUUGAUAGGAUAGUUGUUUUUAUUUUUUUUAUUUUUUUUAUUCCAAAAAUUUGCUUCUAUCAUUGAAACUUUCAAAUCUUUUAUGUAUAUUACCAAUCAUUUUACAAGUGAGUUAAUUUCACUUAGGGUAGAUAUACUUAGCCACACCCCUAUAGAUGUAAUUUGUGUUUAAAUUUUAUUUUUUAUUCAGGUAAAAAUAUCUUAGGUAUAUGUGUUCAACAAUUCUCUAAAAAAUAAAUUUUCUUAUCUAAAAGUUUAUAUAGACAAAAUACAUCUGUAGAAGUCCUAACUAAUGAAAUUUAAAAUCAAUGGUUGUUUAGUGUAUUUACAUUAAACCUUAUGGGGUAUGAUUGAAAUUAACUCUCUUACAAGCACUUGUAGCUAAUAUGUUUGUAGUUGUAGUGUUGGAAAUUGAUCAUUUUCUUGAAGGCCUCUAAGAUAUUGGAAAUAUUGCCAUAGUUUUAGACUUUUUUUUAUUACACCUAAUAAAAAAUAUUAUUAAUUUAACAUAUAUAUUCUUGACUUAAAAGUAAAGUCUCUCCAUAUUGUAUAAGCCCUUAGGUGACAAUAUUAGGUGAAGUUUUUCUUUCGUUUAUUAAAAAAUAUAAAUAAUUUAUUAUUGUAUGAUAAAAUUUUAUGUAAUAUAUUUUUAUAGAUGUAAAAUUAUUAAUUGGGUUUUAUUUUAUUUUUUUACUAAAUUGUCAUUUCAAUAUAUAAAACUUAUUUGUAAAAAGACAAUUAUAAACUAUAUGAAAUUGAAAAACAUUUAGUUUUUUUAUUUAAUUUAUAAUUUUGUUUGGAUUAAUAAUUGAUAUUUGUAAGAUUUUUUAAUAUUAAAAAAAGUUAGCAUACUUAAGAAAGAUAUUCAAGAUCGGGAGUGUUUGAUAUUGGAUUAAUUUCCUUAUUUUCUCUAUUUUAAUAAAUUUUCAUGUCCAUUACAAAAUUUUUGUUGUUUAUAUUUUACUUCAAUAUUUUUAUUUUGUAAUAGACAUUUGAAAAGAUUUUUUCCUACAUGUUAAAAAAAAAAAAUGAACACUCCUAAAAAAGAAAUAUUGCAAUAAAAUUAAAGUUUACACUGUAGGACUAUUAGCAAGUGCUAUAUACUUAAAAUAGACCAAUUAAAGUAGAAAUACUUCUAAAAUUUUAAUUUAGGUAACAAUAAUAUAAAAAGAUAAUAUUUUUGAAACAAUAGUUCUCUUGGAGUUUUGGGUACGAUGGACUAGACUUUAUGUAACAAUAGAUAUAUGAACUUUCCAUUAACAUCUUGAGAGACAUGAUGAGGAGCAAAGUCAUCCUAGAAGGUACCAUAGAGGUACCUUAGCUCCAUUCAUCUAGACUACAUAAUGUUUAAAGAUCAAAUUCAAUGACUAGAUUUCAAAAAUCAAUAUAAGCUUUCUCAUAUUCUACUCUAUAUAAGACAAUGGUAUGAUACAUCUCUUGUGUCGUAGAAUGCACCAUGAAAACCUUAUCAUUUUAACAUCAGUUUGAAACUUAAAAGUCACUUAGCACAUUCUAGUUAUUAAUGUAAGAACAUUAAAAGAAAAUAUAAAAAAAGUUACUUUAUUCUUGUGAUUUUGAUCUAGGACUUUUAAUGAUAUUAAAAAAAAAAAAAAAAAACAGAAAAAUAAAUGGAAAUAAAAUCAACAAAUUAAACAAUUGAAUUAAGUUAGUUUAAUUUUUGCAUCGUUAAAUGGGUAAAUAAAGACUCUUAGAUUUGAUAUUAAUAUGAACAUCAUGACUUUAGUGAAUCUUACAAGAAAAUUUUAGUUUGAAAGACUUCAUUCAUUAAACGUGUGGCACAUAUUAAAGUAAAACUAAGUCUUCUCUAUAAUUUGUACCUAUCAUAGUUUCUUUCCUCAUAAAUAGCCUUUUUUGAAUAUAAUAUAGACUUCAACAUGUAUGGUGGGGCCGAUCAAACUACUAGUCAAGACAACUCAUGGGCAACAACGAUGUACCAACUAUAUUAAAUACUCUUCAUCUAUUUGCAUAUCAAGAGUAAUUUAGUAGUGUCUUUCUUAUGUACCUCGUAUCUAGACUUUCAAUGGAGAGUUCUUCAUCUAAAAAUUUGACUUGGGUUUUCAUAUUAGUUUUGGUUUAGACAUAUGGAUGCAAAGGUUGCAUCAAAGAAGAGAAGUAGGCUAAAUCAUCUUACAAAUUUUCAAGUUCAAAUUAGAUGCACCAAACAUAUGCAAUAUAUUUGAUAUAACUAAUAUUUUCUUAAGUAAUUGAAUACAAUUUUUUUUAUUUUAUAAAUUUACUUGAUUAUUAAUGAAUAACUACUUGUAUGAUAUUGACACAACUUGAUAAAACUUUUAAAAUAAUAUUAGAAUAACUUUGCUAAAAAAAAGUAAAAAUAAAAAUAAAAAUAUGUCUAUAUAUAUAAAAUUAAAUAAAAUUAAAAAUUAAAAAAGAAUAUAUAUAUAUAUAUAUAUAUUGUGUGUGUGUGUGUGUGUGCAUGGUCCCACAACUCAUUAGCUACUCAUAAGCUUUAUAUCACUUUCUCAAAGUCAAGUCAUUUUGUAAUUAUUUCUAUCUAGCCUUCUCCAUUACGACAACUGUAUAAGAUAUUGAUGGGUUGGAAAAAUCUUCAUGUCUUUUUUAAUAAGAUAGUUUUAUUAUUAUUAUUAUUAUUAUUAUUAUUAUUAUUAUUCAAAGAAUUUGAUUUUAUUAUUGAAACUUUCAAAUCCUUUAUGCCUAGUGGUCCUACAAUUCCCUAUUCAUUGGUAUUUCAUAUUACCAAUCAUUUUACAAAUAAGUUUAUUUCACCCGGUAAAUAUACUUAACUACUAAUGGUUUCAAAUUUAAUUGAUUAACACACUUAUAGAUGUAAUUUGUUUUUAAAUUUUAUUUUUUUAGAAGAAUUGUAGGUAAAAAUAUUUUAGGAAUAUGCGUUCAAUAAUUCUCUAAAAACAAUUUAUAUAGAUGGAAUACAUUCAUGGAAGUUCCAACUAAUGAAAUUUAAAACCAACGACGAUUUAAUGUAUUCUCACUAAAUCUUAGGGGAGGUGUACUAAAACUAGCCUUUUUACAAAUAUUUGUAGCUAGUAUAUUUGUAGUUAUGGUGUUGGAAGUUGAUCAUUUUCUUAAAGGCCUCUAUGAUAUUGGAAAUAUCGCCAAAGUUUUGAACUUUUUGUUUCAUCUAAAAAAAAUAUCAUUAAUUUAAUAUAUAUACUCUUUGCUUGAAAGUAUAGUUUCUUCAUAUAGUAUGAAGUUGUAGCUAGGUGACAAUAUUAGGUGAAAUUUUUUUGGUUUACUACAAAAUAUAAAUAAUAUAUUUAUUAUAUGAUAAAAUUUUGUAAAAUAUAUUAUUAUAGAUGCAAAAUUAUUAAUGGAGUUUUAUUUUUUACUAAAUUAUCAUUUCAAUAAUAAGAACUUAUUUGUUAAAAGAAAAUUAUAAAAUAUAUGCAGUUGAAAAAAUUUUAAUUUUUUUAUUUAAUUUGGUAUUUUAUUUGAAUUAAUAAUUGAUAUUUGUAAGAUAUUUUAAUAUUAAAAGAAGUUAACAUACUUAAAAAAGACAUUCAAAAUCAAGAGAGUAUUUGAUAUGAAAUUAAUUUAUUUAUUUUUUCUAUUUAAAUAAAUUUUUACAUCCAUUAAAAAAAUUUUAUUGUUUAUUUUUCACUUCAAUAUUUUUAUUUUGUAAAAGAAAUAGAAAUAAAAUCAACAAAUUAAACAAUUGAAUUAAGUUAGUUUAAUUUUGCCACCGUUAAAUUGGUAAAUGAAGACUCUUAUAUUUGAUAUUAACAUGAACAUCAUGACUUCAUUGAAUCUCACAAGAAAAUUUUAGUUUGAAAGAUUUUAUUCUUUAAUCAUGUGGCACAUAUUAAAGUGAGACCAAGUCUUCCCUAUAAUUUGUAUCUAUCACAAUUUCUUUCCUAAUGAAUAGCCUUUUUGAAUAGAAAAUAGACUUUAGCAUGCAUGGUGGGGCCUAGCUAUCAAACUACUAGUCAAAGCAACUCAUGGGCAAGAAUGAUGUACCAACUAGAUUAAGUAUUCUCCAUCUAGUUGCAUAUCAAGAGUAAUUUAGUAGUAUCUUUCUUGUGUACCUCAUUUCUAGACUUUCAAUGGAGAGUUUUUUAUCUUAAAAUUUGAUGUGGGUUUUCAUACUAGUCUUGGUUCAGAUAUGUGAAUGCAAAGGUUGCAUCGAAGAAGAGAAGUAGGCUAAGUCAUCUUACAAAUUUUCAAGUUCAAAUUAGAUGCAUCAAACAUGUGCAACAUAUUUGAUAUAACUAAUAUUUUACCAAGCAACUAAAUACUUUAUAUAUAUAUAUAUAUAUAUAUAUAAAUUUAUUGAUGAUCAAUGAAUACACAUGUAUGGUAUUGACACGGUUUGAUAAAUCUUUUAAAAUAGUAUUAGAAUAACUUUGCUAAAAAAAGUAAAAAUAAAAAUAAAAAUACAUAUAUAUAUAUAUAUAUAAAAUAAAAAAUUUUAAAAGAAUAUAUAUAUAUUAGUGGUCCCACAACUCAUUAGCUACUCAUAAGCUUUAUAUCAUUUUCUUAAAGUCAAGUCAUUUACAAUUAUUUCUAUCUAGCCUUCUCCGUUGCGACAACUGUACAAGAUAUUAAUUGAUUGAAAAAAUCAUCAUGUCUUUUUUGAUAGGAUAGUUUUUUUUUUUAUUCAAAGAACUUUCAAAUCCUUUAUGUCUAGUGGUCCUACAAUUCCUUAUUCAUUGGUAUUUCAUAUUACCAAUCAUUUUACAAAUAAGUUAAUUUCACUCGGUAAAUAUACUUAACCACCAAUGGUUUCCAAUUUGUAACACUCUUAUAGAUGUAGUUUGUUUUUAAAUUUGAUUUUUUAGAAGAAUUGUAGGUAAAAAUAUUUUAGCUAUAUAUGUUCAACAAUUCUCUAAAAACAAUUUAUAUAGAUGGAAUACAUUCAUGGAAGUUCCAACUAAUGAAAUUUAAAACCAAUGAUGAUUUAAUGUAUUUGUACUAAAUCUUAGGGAGUGUGGACUAAAAUUAGCCCUUUUACAAAUAUUUAUAACUAGUAUAUUUGUAGUUGUGGUAUUGGAAGUUGAUCAUUUUCUUAAAAGGUUUACCAUUGAAGUUAGUUGAAUAUAAAGUUAGGUGAACUUUACCAUUGUUAAAUUGGUAAAUGAAGACUCUUAGAUUUGAUACUAACAUGUACAUCAUGACUUCAUGGAAUCUCUCACAAGGAAAUUUUAGUUUGAAAGACUUCAUCUUUUAAACAUGUGGCACAUAUUAAAGUGAGACCAAGUCUUCCCUAUAAUUUGUAUCUAUCACAAUUUCUUUCCUCAUAAAUAGCCUUUUUGAAUAGAAUUAAUAUAGACUUUAGCAUGCAUGAUGGGCCCCGUCAAACUAUUAGUCAAGAUAAUUUGUAGGUAAGAACGAUGGACCAACUAUAUUAAAUACUCUUCAUCUAUUUGCAUAUCAAGAGCAACUUAAUAUUGUCUUUCUUUUGUACUUCAUGUUUGAACUUUCAAUGGAGAGUUUGUCAUCUAAAUAUUUGAUGUGGGUUUUUAUACUACUCUUGGUUCAAAUAUGUGGAUGCAAAGGUUGCAUCAAAGAAGAGAAGAUGGGUUUGCUUGAAUUCAAGGCUUUUCUUAAAUUGAAUAAUGAGCAUGCAGAUUUUCUUCUCCCUUCAUGGAUAGAUAACAACACUAGUGAAUGUUGUAAUUGGGAGCGGGUUAUUUGCAAUCCCACCACAGGUCGAGUUAAGAAGCUUUUCCUCAACGAUAUAACGCGACAACAAAAUUUCUUGGAAGACGAUUGGUACCAUUAUGAAAAUGUCAAAUUCUGGUUACUAAAUGUCUCCCUAUUCCUUCCUUUUGAAGAACUUCACCAUCUAAACUUGUCUGCAAACUCAUUUGAUGGGUUUAUUGAGAAUGAAGGUAUGUUACCUCUCACCUUUAAAAUUUCUUUUCACUUAUACUCCAAACAUUCUAAAGGAACUACUAGCAUAUGUUCUUAAAAGUGUUCAGGUGGAGACCAAAUGGUCACUAGUAACUAUUGAAUUUAAUAUAAGAACAAUUACUAAUUAUUAAAAUUUAUAAUGUAAAUUAACAUUUAAACAAAACAAUAAAAAAAUUAUUAUUUUAGAAAACUAUAGAUUACAUUAGCCUUAUAUAUAUAAGCAUACUUGUAAUUUAUGCCAUCAUUUCACACUCAACCCAAUUAGUGGGAUUCAACUAAGAGUGAGCAAUUUCACAAUUAUUAAUUAACAAAAACACUUAGGCUCCCAUAUCCUUAUCCUUUUUGCUGAAUUGUCUUUCCUUAUCUUCCAUUCCUAAAAAGCUUGAUUUCUAUAUUCCAAAUUGAUAGAGAUUGGUUAAAGAAAGGUGAUCACAAAAUUUGACUAUUGCUUUCAAAUGAGGAAUCACCAUCUUCAAAAUUUCACAUUUAAAAAAAAAAAAAAAAAAAAAACUAGCCUCGGGUAAGGUCCAAGCCUUAUUGUUUUAAGCUGAUGUCGGGUUGGUUUAAUAAUGAACAGAGUAAAUCCCAACCCAUGACCAUCUACGCAUUUCCAAAUUCCACCCAUCCACAACCCAUUAAUAUGACAUUUUCAGGGACAAAAUUUAAUCAAUUAAACCUAUUAGAUGGAUUCUCCAUACAAUGUUAAAAUGAAUAUAAAAACUUUAAUUCAAAAAAUAAUUUCCUUUAUUUAGUUAGGAUUCAAAUUAUAGGGGCACAAAACAUGAAAAUUUUCAUGUUUAAAAUUCACAAAGAUCACAAAAGCUCUUUGAAGCUCUAUGGACUUUUUUAUUUCUAACAUUUAAACACAAAAAUCACCAAAUUGAAUUAGAAACUUGGAUGCAUAUUCUUAUAUUAAAGACAUGUAAGCUUACAUAUUUAAAUAUGAAGAUCUCAACUUGUAAUUACAUGCUUCUAAUUAAAGUUAUAUUACUCUAUUUUACAGGAUUUAAAGGGUUAUCAAGUUUAAAGAAAUUGGAGAUCUUGGACAUAAGUGGUAAUGAGUUUGACAAAAGUGCCUUAAAAUCUUUGGGCACAAUAACAUCACUCAAGACAUUGGCUAUUUGCAGCAUGGGACUGAAUGGAUCUUUUUCCAUUCGAGGCAUGUUAUAUGUCCACAUUGUUUCUUUGAAAUUAAGUAAAAUGUAUUUCUAACUUUUAAUGUUCCUUAGUUAAUCUCUCUUUUGAUUCAUGUUUGUUGCAGAAUUAGCUAGUUUGAGAAAUUUGGAAGUGUUGGAUCUAAGCUAUAAUGAUUUGGAAAGCUUUCAACUAUUGCAAGGUACUUCAUUAACUUGCUAAAAAAACUUAUGAUAUUUUGUUAUUAAAUUAAAGGUAAGAUUAACAAACAAUUUCUUCCCAUUAGUUACUUUUCUUUGUAAUAUCAUUAAAUUUGAUAUAAAAUAGUCUAAAUCAUCCUUUCAAUUUAUAAGUUUUAAUUAAAACGCAUCAAGCAUGCACAAGGUGUUUAAUAUAACUAAUAUUUUCAUAAGUAAUUGAAUUUUUUUUAUGAAUUAAUUAACUUGAUUAUCAAUAAAUACUUACAUGUAUAAGAUUAAUAUAGUUUCAUAAGUAUUUUAAAAUUGUCUUACAACACACACACACACACACAGAGGGAAAAUGAAAGGUAUGUGAUACAUUUAUGCUAUGUUUGGUUCCCAAAAAAAUUGAGGGAAAAUGAAAGGAGAAAAAAGUGGAGAGGAAAAGUAAAAGAAAAGAAAAAAAGUGAAGAAAAAUAUAAAAUUGAUUAAAGUAAAUACAUGUUACUUUAAACUUUUUUACUUAUUUUAAUUCUUCAAUGUAAGGAUGAAAGAUUUGAAAAUGCAUAAGUUUCUAAUUUUUUUAUUUUAUUUUAUAGUUUUUACAAUACAACCAAACAUACUAAAAUCAUUUUCUUUAAUUUUUUUUUCUUUUCUUAAUACUUUUCACGAACCCUUAAGUUAUGUUUGGUUUGCAGAAAAUAUGAGGAAUAGCAAAUAGAAAAGAAAAUUAGAAGGAAAGAAAAAAUGAAGUAAAAUAAAAAUAAAUUUAAAUUUAAUAAAUUAUUUUUAUAUGCUACUUUAAGCUUAUUUCACUUAUUUUAAAUUAUUUAAACUCAUUUCUAAUAAAUAAUAAUGGAAAUUGUAGAGAAGUUUGUGUUAUUCAAGCUUUGCAAUGACUUUUCAAGGUGAAGGAAAAUAUUCUUGCUGAAAUUGAAAAAGGAAAUACCUUCUUAAAUAGCCUAUUGACCGAAAACACAUUACCCUAACAUAUACACACACCUUUAUUAUUUAUACAAUCAUGUAAUACUUAAUCCAGUUAGUGGGAUUCUAGUGGUUGUUUCUAUCUUGGUUUCCAAUAUUUCUGAUUGAUAGUGUUCGAUUAAUGAAAUAUCAUAAAUUUUGACCCCAAUAAGGACCAAUCCCUAUUAAAUGUAAUUGGGUUAACCUAAGACUAAAUGCUAGACCCAACUAAUAAAAACCCAUCUGUUUGUUGGAGUCUAAAUAACCUGGCCUUAGGUAGAGCCCAUGCCUUAUUAUUUUAAGAUGUAGUCCAACUGGUUUAACACUAGAUUGAGUAAAGCCCAACUUAUGAGCAUCUGUGCAUUUCCAUCCAUCCACAACCUACUGGCAUGGAUAAACUUUGGUCAAUUAAACCUAUUAUAACUGUAUACAAAAUUUUAAGUUCAAAAGAUAAUUUUCCUUAUUUAGUUAGGAUUCAUAUUAAAAAGGCACAAAACAUGAAUUUUCAUGUUUAAAUUCACAAAUACCACGAAAGCUCCUUCAAGCUCUAUGGACCAUUUUAUUUGUAACAUUAUAUUACUCUUAAUUAUCAAAUUAACCAACAAAUUCUUCUCAUUACUUAUCUUUCUUUUGUAAUGUCAUAAAAUUUGAUGUAAAGUAGUAUUGGUCAUCAUUUCAACUUUCAGGUUCCAAUUAGAUGCAUCAAGCAUGUGCAACAUAUUUGAUAUAACUAAUAUUUUUAUAAGUAAUUGAAUUUUUUUUUUCUAUAAAUCAAUUAACUUGAUUAUCAAUGAAUACUUUCAUACAUGAUAUUGAUGUAGUUUCAUAAAUAUUUUAAAAUAGUCAUAGAAGUCUUUUAUCUGAUUCACUAGAAAGAAAAAUAAACUAUUCUAAUGAAAAUACUUGAUGAUUUGAAGUGAUUGCUUUUGAUUUUAUUUGAUUGCUACCAUUAUUAAUUGUUAGAAAUUGGCAACAAAUACCCAUUUUGCAUCACUUCUAUAUGCAUCGGGGGAAUGAAUUAUAUUUCAUAGAGCUAACAGGGCAAAACUCAAACUUUUGGAAUUAUGGAAAAUGUUGCUAGAAAGCUAAUUAACCAUUUAUAUUAUGAUUAAGACUAGUUGGGUUAGAAAUAAUUCAUAUGGAGAUUAAAAAAAACUAUGUAAUUUAGUUUAGUAGCUUGGGUGCUAUUGUAAUGAUUAAUGAUCUGCAACUUGAACACAUCUACUAGUGCUUUCUACUUGUAUAGCUAAAUUUAUGUUACCACUUUGAACUAGAGUACUUACAUGAGAAGAAAGCUUUUCCCUAGUGAUAAUGCAAAAGAAAUUAAGUAUCAAUUUUUGUUAAAAAUAACAAGUGAUAGUUUAGAUAUGGUUUGAAUACACUUUCUUUCUUCUAUUUUUUUAUUUUGAAAAAAAAAACUCUUUAAUGAAAUAUAAGAAAUCUUAUAUGUAUAAAAAUUAAAGACUUAAACAAAAAAAUUUGAAAUUUUGAAAAUUUUCGAGAAGUAUUUUUAAGAAUUUGUAUUUUUAGUAUAAUAAUUCCUAUAUUUUGUAUAAAAGUUUUUGUUUAAAAAAAUAGAAGUGUAUCCAAAUUACAAAUUAAUUGUUAAAUUAAGAAUGUUUCUCAGAUCAAGAGAUAAUGAAAGUUGUAGAGAGUUUGCAUUACUCAACCUUUGCAAUUACUUUUUGAAGGUAAAAAAAAAAUACCUUCCUACAUAACAUACAAUGGUAGGUUCUGGUUUGUAAGAAACUAAUAAAUGAUUAAGAAUAUGAAUAAGACUUCCUUUAUAAUAGAUAUGUAGAGAAGAAUAGUGGAUGAUAGGUGGUGAAAAUCUUGUAAUAAAAUAUCAAUAUCGGUUAUAAGAUAAUCAACAUUUUCUCUAUUUCUUGUACCUAUGUGAUUAAGAAUCUUGUAGCUCCCUUAUUGAAAUAUAAUAUAAAAAUAUAAAUAAACUAUUUAGAAGUGCAUGUAGUUUUCAACAUGAGGAAGUUCAAAAGCAAGUUAAUUAUGAUAAUUUUCCAUAGUCUAUAUUGAACACAAAUUAUUUUUACUAAAGGUUCAAUCGUUCUAUGAAGGUUAAAAGUUUGAAUUGUUUACAUAUGCAAAUGUGAAAUUUGAAAGUUUAUAAUUUUUUAUAAUUUUCUUGUAGAUUCAAAAAGCUUGUCCAUAUUCAAAAAGCUCGAGACCUUGAACCUCAAUUACAACAAGUUCAAAAACACUAGCCUACAACAAUUGGAUAUAUUUACAUCCCUUAAAAAUCUUUCUCUAAGAUGGAACAAUGUUGGAGGAUUUUUUCCUAUCCAAGGUAUGUGUAAUUAUUAUUAUUAUUAUUUUUAAUGAUGAAAUAUUAGAAUUGUCAACAUCUUUUAUCUUUUUUUCCCCUCAAUGGUGUUGCAGAAUUAUGCACUCUGGAAAACUUGGUGAUGUUAGACCUAAGUGGGAAUUUCUUUUUUGGCAUGCAAGGUAAAUACAAAGUGAAGUUUUGGUUAUAUAUAUAUAUAUAUAUAUAUAUAUAUAUAUCAUGUAAGAACAUAACUAAAAUCAACAUUAUUUGCCUAUCAAUUUGUGCAUGACUAUUAUUUAGUUAUUCUUCGUAACAUAAUUGAAAGAAUGUCUAGGUGUACAACAUUUAAGAAUUUUACAUGGCACAAUGAAAAACAUGGUAAUCAAUGUGUGCAAUAAAAUUCUAAUAGUUGAAAAAGAAUUUUCUUGUAAUUUUAUGUUCAUGUAUAGUAAUCAAAGAGAAAAUCAUGAAAAUGUAUAUUAGUUAGACUUUAUAUAUCAAUAGACAAAAAAGAAAGAAAAAAAAAGAUUAGUUCCUUAACUUAUCCUAAAAUUUUCUAGAUAACAAGGAGUUUUUUUAUUUUGGGCUAUAAGGUUUACAACCUGAAAAGUGAAGAUGAUUAAUAUUAGUAAUAAAAUUUUAAAAUAUAAAAAUUAGUGAAAUAAUGUUCUCUAUAACUAUAACUCCAACUGCAACUAUUAAUAAAAGAUAAUAAAGGUACUUUAGACUUUGAAUCCAUGGUUAGGUUUGCAAUUUUUUGAUGAUCAAUAAAGCUACAACUUAUGCUGCAAAAGGCUAUACAAAAUGUAUUAGGAGCAUUGCUAAGCUCAUUUAUCAAUAAAGGAAAUCCAGUAAUACUUUGAUUGGAAAAAACCUAGAAUCAUGUUUGAUAUAUAAUAGGUGAAGAAACAAAAUAACAAUUCCAUGGUAUUAGUUAGUUUGAUAUCUCUUUUGUUAUAUGGAAUAACUAUUCCAUUUUAAAAUAAUUAUUUCAUCUUAUCGCUAGAACAAAAAAUUUCAGGCGAUUAUAUGGGCUUUUGGGUUUCUUAAGAAUUUAAGCAUUUAUGGGUCACCCAUAUAUAUAUAGGAAGAAUAAAAAAAAAAAUAUUCUAUGGAGACAAGGGUAGACACCCAUAAAUGUACAUAUAAUUAUUUAAAUAAAAAUAUCAAUAAGAAACAAUAUACAACAAAAUAGAAAAUUUUAAUCUUCCUAAAUUUUAAAAAUAGAAAAUAAAUGAAAAAAAAUUAAAAAGUAAAAAAAAAAAAAAAAAAAGGUCAAGAAUACAAAUAGAUAAGUAAACAAAAUAUAAAAAAAAUACAUAAAUUAAAAUUAAAAUUUUUUUAAAAAAAAUACAUAGAUUAAUAUGAACACUAAAUGAGGUUUUUUGAGAUAGACUUAGUUAGACUUGAACUAGAUGGAUAUUAAAAAAAAUAAAAAUAAAAAUUCAAAGAAAUAAAAACUAAUUAGAUGCUAAAUAUUGGAUUAAAAUAACCAAAUGAAUAAAGAGUAAUUAUUAAUUUUUAACAUUUUUUAUUCCUUAGAAUUAUUAUUUUGUGUAUUAAAUGUAUUAUGAGUGUAGUGGUAUAAAAAAUGUAGUUAAGAAUACUAUGAAGAAUAAUAAUGGUGAUGAUAAUGGUGACGACACUUAAUACCUUUUAUUGUACAUUUAGAAAAAAUGAGGUUCUUGAUCUUUAUGAAGAUUAUCAUUACUCAUCCGCAAGCAUGUUGAUAGUUGAAACUACUCAAUUAUCAAAAAUUGAAUUUCUAACCUUCAAUUUUUCUCUCUCAAAUGUAUAUGUGGGUGAGAAAGCACUAGGUAGGUUAUAAGGUCUCACAUGUAUAUGAGUCAUAGGAUAAAAAAUAUAGAGACAAUACUAGCAUUUAUUUGAUCCAGUGGCAAAUAGAGAAAUAUAACAUAACCAUAACCAUAAUGUUCUAACCUUAUAUAUACCAGAACCAUGUUUCCUUCAUUCAAUUUUGCAACUUUUUCUUUUCAAAUUAGAAUGUAACUCGUAGGAUCCAUUGUCCAUCAAAAUUUUGAAUCGAAUAUUAUAAGAUAUUUCACAUUUCUACCUACUAAAGCAUGAGCUUCAAUGUUCUCAUGCACUUUUGGCUACUAAGUUAAAGAACUCUUUGAGGGUUAAUGGAGUUUCUAUGAGUAGCAAAGCAUUAUAAUCACAAAGUCUUAUCAGUGAUAUGCAAUUUAACCAAGAACUUAUUCCCAACUAUUUUAUGACUUUUCUUGGCUACUUGUAGGCAAGCUAAAGAAAUUUUCUGGUUUGUUCAAGUCUAAAAAGUGGUUUCAAGUUUAGGGCCAAGCUUGGGCUGCACCUAGGUCCUUGGGCCUUAUUCAGCUCCACGUUUAAACCAACCUUGAGUCCAUCUUUGUAAUUUUUCUCCCAAUUCAUUGAUUUAUAUUAGGAUUUUAUAAAGCCUAUAAAUUGACCAACUAAAUAAAGUAGGUUCAUAAACUUUUAGGUGAAAAUUUUCUCUCUAAUAAAUGUUAAUUCAAGAGUCUCCGUAAUCUUUUUAUAUUCAUAUUAAUUGGUAUUUAAACUGACCUUACUAUAUUAAAGUCAAAUACCAAAUAGUGAACACUAUAUCUGCUACUACCACUAUGAUGGUCACAAACAUAGAAUGCUCCUUUUUUUAGAGUCAAUUGAUGCUUAUAAACAACAACUUUGUUUGAAAAUAAAAUACAUCGAGUGAUUGCAUCAAGAGAUUGAUGUAAUAAUUGCAUACUUGAUCUUGAUAAUGCUGAGUUGACUAAAUAAAUGAGUAUUUACUUAUAAGGUAGCCCAUAGAACAUUAUUUGUGGAAAUAUUCAUGCACCUCUACAUAUGUUCAUGAUAACUUAGGUUGAUAAAUUUAAGAAGAACAAAUUCAUAACCUUGGGCAUAGUUAGUAAGAAAUUUCACCAAUAGAGUUUGGUAUCAUGAUUCUAAUUGUUCAAAUUGUUUUAAAGGAGUAUUUUAAAUUGCAUGUUAAUUUGCUUCUAAUAAAUGGAGAGAAACCAAUUCAAGAAGAGAAUUGUACUCAAGCUAUGUAUAACAUUCAUGAAGAUGUAGAAAAUAUUGAUGAACUUACUUUUGAGCAAGUUGAAAUCAUAAUUAAAUAAAAGAACAAACCCAAGGGUUAAGAUUGUCAAGUAAAACUUUAACUAAAAUUUAUUGAUUUUUUAAAUGCCUAUUAGAGGGACAAUAGAAGUUCUAGAUAAAAAGUAAGAACUUUUCUAAGGAAUCACUUGUUAGAUUUUAAGUGAUCAAUAAAUAUAAUGUCCAAUUUAAAACUUUUAUAAAAGCAAUGCUUCUAAAGAAUAACUUGAUUUGAAUUUAAAGUUAUUAUUGAUAUUUGUUUAUAAUGGAUGUAGUUAAUCAACUGAACAUAGUAAAAAACACAUAAAUUUUUCAAAAUACCUUCUAGUUGUUGGGUAUAUUUAAAUAGUCAUCCAUAUCUCAUUAUCUUUUCACUCACAUACUAAUCUCCUUAUUGAGUAUUUACCAAUUACAAGUAGGUUGAAAGUUACUUGAAUUUAAGUCACUAAUCAAUGUUAACUUGAUAACAAAUAAGUCUCUCUUUGAAACUUGUUUUACAAGAUAGCGAAAUGUAGUCGAUCAAUCAUCAAAACAAUGUUCAAGCAUUAGGAUUUAGUUGUUAAUUUUUAUUUUUAUUUUUUGUGCUUAAACAAAGACAAAAAUGAUAAAAACUCCUUAAAAGUACAUAGUAAUUGAAUUUAAUUUAUACAUCAAACAAGAACAAACUAGUCUUGGAUUUAAAAUUCAUCAGGUUUUGUAAUUAUAAUUCCUAAAAAUUUGUAAGACAACAAAAUUAUUGGGCACUAGGUUAUUGGGUGUGUAUGACUAAGAGGUGAAGGAGGGUUCAUCUUAUACAAAGGAUGAUUUGAUUAAUUUUAAAGAUUGGAUAAACAAUAAUUGCAUAUUCAAGUAAAAAUAACAUUGCUAAAAAGGAAAAUAAGUAUUUUAGUCCUCAAACCUAAAAUGGCUAAAAAUUUUAAUUAAUACAAUACAACUUCACCUACAAAAGAAAAAAAAAACCCAAAACUUUUCAAUAGCACAACUAAGUCCAUUUAUCAAAAAAAAGAAAUAUAAGGAAGUUGGACUCAUUUACUAGCAAUUUAACAUAUGACUAAAACCUAUUGAAGAAUUUGCAAUAGCACUUACUUUGGUCAUGUCCAAACUUAUUGCACAUGGUGCAAAAAGGGGUAGUGCUCGAGGAUGCUUCCACAUAAGAAAGACCCUACUUAACUGUUACAAAGGUUAUUUUCCCACUUGUGGGAAUGCUAACCUUGCUAAUAUAUUAUAUGCCAUGUUUAUCAUAUACAAAUUUUUCUUUACUAAAUAUUUCUUUAAUGAUCUUGGACCUAAAAUUAAAUAUUUCAUUAGUAUUGGUCAUGUCGUUCCUCAACUUUUCAACUUUUAGAGUUAAAUCUUUAUCUUUAUCAUUGAUAGUUUUAUGUUUAGUCCCUAGAAACUUCACCUUAUUAACAAUAUGUUCAUUUAAUAUUUUGAUAUUUUUAAUUUUCAAAGAAUCAUAGAGCUCAUUAAUUUUAAUGUCUUUUUAUUCACUUUUAUGCUUUCAACCUUUGUUUUUAGUUUUCCUAUAAUAAUGCAUCAUAGACCCCAUGUAUAUCAUUAAAAUAAAACUCAUUUUUUUCAUUAGGAUUCAAUUAACCCAAUGGAUCAUAAUCAAAAUUAGUUGCAUAUGAACAAAAGCAAUAAGAUUAUCAUUUUGUACAUCUUUACUUUCAUUUGAGUUCUUAGCCCUACAAUCAUCAAACAUGGAAUUACUCCAAGUUACCUACAUAGCCUUCAUACCUAAUGUUUUUAAGGCAAGGACAAUCAACAACCAUGUGUCCCAUUCCCCCAAUGGUUCACUACGAAAUCAAGGUACAUAUGUUAUGCUUUCUUUGUUUCAUAGUGAUUAGAGAGGAUAAACAUUGUAAAAAAAAAAGUUGUCAUAGUUAAUGUAAGCUAAAACUAAAAAACUUGCUUUUUCAAUUGUGUAAGCAUGUUUUGUUCUUGAUGAAUAUUUACAACAUUCAGAGUUACUAAUGUUUAUAAUUCACAGAGACCUCAUUAACAACAAGUAACAACUAAUUGUAAGUAACCAUGAAAAAAAAAUAAGGAGAAAAAUAAAGGAAAAUCAAGGAAAGUGUCAAAUUUUUUCAUCCCCAUAAAAAAUGCUAAGGAAGAAAAAUGUGAAGAAAGUUUAAAGAAAGUAUAUUUUUCAAAAAUUGAAUUUUCUUUCCCUUAAAGUUGGUAUGGACAACCAAACAAGAAAAUGAUUUUUAAAUUCUUUUUUGACCUUUUUCUAUCAUUCUUUUUUUUUUCCCCCUACUCUAUUUCCUUUCCCUCAAACUUUCUAGGUAGUAAACAUUACCUAAGAUAAAUAGGGAAGAAAAUAUUUUAUCAUUUAUUUAUUUAGUAUUUUUCUUACCUUUUUUUGUAUUUUAUCCAAAUAUAAGAAAACUACUUUUCUUUAUUUUUUCUUUUCCUUGUUGCUUUUCAAGAAUCAAGCAUACUUUAAACUCUAAUUAAGAGUUACAUAGAUUUACAGAGAAACAAUGCAACUAGUAACAAAAAAUUAAGGAAAUUUAAUUUUUUAAUUUUUGAGAGUAAGUAUAAUAAGAUUGGUUUGUUUGAUACAAAAUUUGAAUAAAAAUUAUUUUAAUGAAAAUUCAAGGAAAGGAAAAAAAAAAAAAAAAACUUGAUCUCUAGACUAUAAUACUAAAUCAAUUAAAAAAUCUCCUAACAUCGUUUAUGUUCAUCUUUUUUUUUUUAUGGAUUUGAAAAACCCAAUAAUUUGGAGAAAACUGAUUCAAGGAAGAAUAAUUUUUAGAAUAAAAUAUUAUUAUUUAAGAAGAUCAUAAAUUUUAUAGUCAUUGUUGAAAAUGAUAAAUGAUUAAAAAAAAAAAGGUAGUUGGAAAUUUAGAUACUUUUAUAAGACAAAUGCAUUUUUCUAGUCUGGUAUGAAAAAAGGUAAAAUGAUAGGCUUUGAUCAUUUUUCAAGUUAGUUUGUUUAAAUCAUUUUAAUUUAUUUUGAUUUAAGAACAAUAACUUUUAUUACACUAGUUAUUUUGAUUUUCUUUUGAUAGAUUUUGCAAGCUUAAGCAAUUUGGAGCUAUUGGAUUUGAGUUAUAAUUUAUUUAGUGGGAGCAUUCCAUCAUCUAUAAGAUUGAUGUCUUCUAUCAAGUCUUUAUCCUUGGCUGAAAAUUACCUCAAUGGUUUCUUAGCAAAUCAAGGUACAUAUAUUGUGAUUACAGGUUUUUCUAUUUUCUUUUUUAAUAUCUUGUUUGUUCUUUAUGCCAAUUAAGUCAUGCAUGUCUAUUAAUUUUUGGUAUUUAAUGAAAAACUUUAUUCUUAAUUCAUAAAGACCUCAUCAACUAUAAGUAACAGUUAGUUCUAAGUUUGGGGGCAUUGACAAGACGAGGAGAUGAUUGGUUACAUGUCUUAUUCUCUUUUGUUGGCUUUUGCCAAUUGAAUAAGUUUCAAGAAUUAGAUUUUUCUUACAACUUAUUCCAAGGAAUCCUUCCUCCAUGUUUGAAUAAUUUGACAUCUUUGAGGUUAUUGGAUCUCUCUUCCAACCUAUUCUCCGGAAAUCUUUCUUCCCCUCUGUUACCUAAUCUCACAUCCCUGGAGUACAUCGAUCUCAGUUACAAUCAUUUUGAGGGUUCAUUCUCUUUCAGCUCUUUUGCUAAUCACUCCAACUUUCAAGUGGUCAAACUUGGAAGGAAUAACAACAAAUUUGAGGUAGAAACUGAAUAUCCAGUUGAUUGGGUUCCCCUAUUUCAGUUGAAAGCUCUUAUGCUAUCCAACUGUAAGCUCAUCGAUGACCUUCCUGGUUUUCUUCGACACCAAUUAAGAUUAACCGUGGUUGAUCUCUCCCAUAAUAACUUGACUGGAAGUUUCCCCAUUCAGCAGCUUGAAAACAAUACAAGACUAGGAUCUCUAGUUUUGAGGAAUAACUCUUUAAUGGGUCAACUACUUCCCCUGAGACCUAAUAGUCGUAUCACUUUAUUGGAUAUCUCAGACAACCGACUUCAUGGGGAACUUCAACAAAAUGUGGCCAAUAUGAUUCCAAAUAUUGAGUUUCUAAAUUUAUCCAACAAUCUUCCCCUUCAUUUCAUCCAUAUUUGGAUCUACCUUUAAAUCUCUAUUGCAUACAACCCAUAUAUGAUUCCCUCUAAAUUUAGCCUUCAUUUCUUGUUAAGAGGUUUUAAAAGCCAGCAAUUUAAUUUACUUUCAUCCUCUAUAUAGAUGAGAACUCUUAUAUUUAUCCAAUGAUAGGUAACAUUUUUGCAAAUGCUUUUAUUUGAUUUUUUUAAUUGGUCUUAAAAAUAAGUGUUAAUAAAGAUCCACAAUAUAAAAUAAUAAAUUAUAUCUCAAUUGACCUCAAGAUACUAUUUACUUCUACUAACUCAUUUUACAUCUCAAUUGUUCUUAAAAAGUCUAUAAUGGUAAUUAACUAUAGAAUUCAAGUUUUAAUUAUGCAAAAAAUAUAUAAAGGUUUUUAAAAUUAAUAGAAAAAAAGAUUCUAAUAAAUAAUAAGUAGAUUGAAACAUUUAUUUCUAGAAGUAGAGAAAGAUGGAGGAUCAUAAAAGUUGAAAAAAGAAUAAUUUGGAAGUCAUAAAAUUUUGGAAAAAGAAUAAUUCAUAGAGACCUCAUUAACAACAAGUAACAACUAAUUGUAAGUAACCAUGAAAAAAGUAAGGAGAAAAAUAAGGGAAAAGCAAGGAAAGUAGCAAAUUUUUUCAUCCCCAUAAAAAAAUGAUAAGGAAGAAAAAAGUGAAGAAAGUUUAAAGAAAGCAUAUUCUUCAAAAAUUGAAUUUUCUUUCCCUUAAAAUUGGUAUGGACAACCAAACAAGAAAAUGAUUUUUAAAUUCUUUUUUGACCUUUUUCUAUCAUUCUUUUUUUUCCCCCUACUCUAUUUCCUUUCCCUCAAACUUUCUAGGUAGUAAACAUUACCUAAGAUAAAUAGGGAAGAAAAUAUUUUAUCAUUUAUUUAUUUAGUAUUUUUCUUACCUUUUUUGUAUUUUAUCCAAAUAUAAGAAAACUAUUUUUCUUUAUUUUUUCUUUUCCUUGUUGCUUUUCAAGAAUCAAGCAUGCUUUAAACUCUAAUUAAGAGUUACAUGGAUUUACGGAGAAACAAUGCAACUGGUAACAAAAAAUUAAGGAAAUUUAAUUUUUGAGAGUAAGUAUAAUGAGAUUGGUUUGUUUGAUACAAAAUUUAAAUAAAAAUUCUUUCAAUGAAAAUUCAAGGAAAGGAAAAAAAAACAAAUUUAUCUCUAGACUAUAAUACUAAAUCACUUAAAAAAAACUCCUAACAUCGUUUAUGUUCAUCUUUCUUUUUAUGGAUUUGAAAAACCCAAUAAUUUGGAGAAAACUGAUUCAAGGAAGAAUAAUUUUUAGAAUAAAAGAUUAUUAUUUAAGAAGAUCAUAAAUAUUAUAGUCAUUGUUGAAUAUGAUAAAUGAUUAAAAAAAAAAAAGGUAGUUGGAAAUUUAGAUACUUUUAUAAGACAAAUGCAUUUUUCUAGUAUGGUAUGAAAAAAAGGUAAAAUGAUAGGCUUUGAUCAUUUUUUAAGGUAGUUUGUUUAAAUCAUUUUAAUUUAUUUUGAUUUAAUAACAAUAACUUUUAUUACACUAGUUAUUUUGAUUUUCUUUUGAUAGAUUUUGCAAGCUUAAGAAAUUUGGAGGUAUUGGAUUUGAGUUAUAAUUCAUUUAGUGGGAUCGUUCCAUCGUCUAUAAGAUUGUUGUCUUCUCUCAAGUCUUUAUCUCUGGCUGGAAAUCACCUCAAUGGUUCCUUAGCAAAUCAAGGUACAUAUAUUGUGAUUACAGGUUUUUCUAUUUUCUUUUUUAAUAUCUUGUUUGUUCUUUAUGCCAAUGAAGUCAUGCAUGUCUAUUAAUUUUUGGUAUUUAAUAAAAAACUUUAUUCUUAAUUCAUGAAGACCUCAUCAACUGUAAGUAACAACUAGUUGUAAAUUUGGGGGCAUUGAUAAGACGAGGAGAUGAUUGGUUACAUGUCUUAUUCUCUUUUGUAAGCUUCUGCCAAUUGAAUAAGCUUCAAGAGUUAGAUUUUUCUUACAACUUAUUCCAAGGGAUCCUUCCUCCAUGUUUGAAUAAUUUGACAUCUUUGAGGUUAUUGGAUCUCUCUUCCAACCUAUUCUCCGAAAAUCUUUUUUCCCCUCUGUUACCUAAUCUCACAUCCCUGGAGUACAUCGAUCUCAGUUACAAUCAUUUUGAGGGUUCAUUCUCUUUCAGCUCUUUUACUAAUCACUCCAACCUUCAAGUGGUCAAACUUGGAAGGAAUAACAACAAAUUUGAGGUAGAAACUGAAUAUCCAGUUGGUUGGGUUCCCCUGUUUCUGUUGAAAGCUCUUGUCCUAUCCAACUGUAAGCUCAUCGGUGAUCCUGGUUUCCUUCGACACCAAUUAAGAUUAACCGUGGUUGAUCUCUCCCAUAAUAAUUAGACUGGAAGUUUCCCCAUUUGGCUGCUUGAUAACAAUACAAGACUAGGAUCUCUAGUUCUGAGGAAUAACUCUUUAAUGGGUCAACUACUUCCCCUGAGACCUAAUAGUCGUAUCACUUUAUUGGAUAUCUCAGACAACCGACUUCAUGGGGAACUUCAACAAAAUGUGGCCAAUAUGAUUCCAAAUAUUGAGUUUCUAAAUUUAUCCAACAAUCAUCCCCUUCAUUUCAUCCAUAUUUGGAUCUACCUUUAAAUCUCUAUUGCAUACAACCCAUAUAUGAUUCCCUCUAAAUUUAGCCUUCAUUUCUUGCUAAGAGGUUUUAAAAGCCAGCAAUUUAAUUUACUUUCAUCCUCUAGAUUGAUGAGAACUCUUAUAUUUAUCCAAUGAUAGGUAACAUUUUUGCAAAUGCUUUUAUUUGAUUUUUUUAAUUGGUCUUAAAAAUAAGUGUUAAUAAAGAUCCACAAUAUAAAAUAAUAAAUUACAUCUCAAUUGACCUCAAGAUACUAUUUACUUCUACUAACUCAUUUUACAUCUUAAUUGUUCUUAAAAAGUCUAUAAUGGUAAUUAACUAUAGAAUUCAAGUUUUAAUUAUGCAAAAAAUAUAUAAAGGUUUUUAAAGUUAAUAGAAAAAGAGAUUCUGAUAAAUAAUAAGUAGAUUGAAACAUUUAUUUCUAGAAGUAGAGAAAGAUGGAGGAUCAUAAAAGUUGAAAAAAGAAUAAUUUGGAAGUCAUAAAAUUUUGGAAAAAGAAUAAUUCAUAGAGACCUCAUUAACAACAAGUAACAACUAAUUGUAAGUAACCAUGAAAAAAGUAAGGAGAAAAAUAAAGGAAAAUCAAGGAAAGUGACAAAUUUUUUCAUCCCCAUAAAAAAUGAUAAGGAAGAAAAAGGUGAAGAAAGUUUAAAGAAAGUAUAUUUUUCAAAAAUUGAAUUUUCUUUCCCUUAAAGUUGGUAUGGACAACCAAACAAGAAAAUGAUUUUUAAAUUCUUUUUUGACCUUUUUCUAUCAUUCUUUUUUUUUUCCUUACUCUAUUUCCUUUCCCUCAAACUUUCUAGGUAGUAAACAUUACCUAAGAUAAAUAGAGAAGAAAAUAUUUUAUCAUUUAUUUAUUUAGUAUUUUUUUUACCUUUUUUUGUAUUUUAUCCAAAUAUAAGAAAACUAUUUUUCUUUAUUUUUUCUUUUCCUUGUUGCUUUUCAAGAAUCAAGCAUACUUUAAACUUUAAUUAAGAGUUACAUAGAUUUACGGAGAAACAAUGCAACUGGUAACAAAAAAUUAAGGAAAUUUAAUUUUUGAGAGUAAGUAUAAUGAGAUUGGUUUGUUUGAUACAAAAUUUGAAUAAAAAUUCUUUCAAUGAAAAUUCAAGGAAAGGAAAAAAAACAAAUUUAUCUCUAGACUAUAAUACUAAAUCACUUAAAAAAAACUCCUAACAUCGUUUAUGUUCAUCUUUCUUUUUAUGGAUUUGAAAAACCCAAUAAUUUGGAGAAAACUGAUUCAAGGAAGAAUAAUUUUUAGAAUAAAAGAUUAUUAUUUAAGAAGAUCAUAAAUAUUAUAGUCAUUGUUGAAUAUGAUAAAUGAUUAAAAAAAAAAAAGGUAGUAGGAAAUUUGGAUACUUUUAUAAGACAAAUGCAUUUUUCUAGUAUGGUAUGAAAAAAAGGUAAAAUGAUAGGCUUUGAUCAUUUUUUAAGGUAGUUUGUUUAAAUCAUUUUAAUUUAUUUUGAUUUAAUAACAAUAACUUUUAUUACACUAGUUAUUUUGAUUUUCUUUUGAUAGAUUUUGCAAGCUUAAGCAAUUUGGAGGUAUUGGAUUUGAGUGGUAAUUCAUUUAGUGGGAUCGUUCCAUCGUCUAUAAGAUUGUUGUCUUCUCUCAAGUCUUUAUCUCUGGCUGGAAAUCACCUCAAUGGUUCCUUAGCAAAUCAAGGUACAUAUAUUGUGAUUACAGGUUUUUCUAUUUUCUUUUUUAAUAUCUUGUUUGUUCUUUAUGCCAAUGAAGUCAUGCAUGUCUAUUAAUUUUUGGUAUUUAAUAAAAAACUUUAUUCUUAAUUCAUGAAGACCUCAUCAACUGUAAGUAACAACUAGUUGUAAAUUUGGGGGCAUUGAUAAGACGAGGAGAUGAUUGGUUACAUGUCUUAUCACUACUACAAAAAUUGAAAUUAAUGACGCUUUAUUUUAUGACGCUUUCUAAAAGCGUCAUUAUUGAGGGUAUACAAUGACGCUUAUAAGAAGUGUCAUAGUUGUAUUAUUUAUCUUGAUACUGAUUAUAAGUGUCAUUAUUUGAUGUCAUCUUUUUCCUUGUAACUGUGUAUAUAAUGACGCUUAUAAGAAGCGUCAUAGUUUUAUUAUUUACCUUGACACUUAUUAUAAGCAUCAUUAUUUGAUGGGUAUGUAAUGACGUUCUUGAGAAGUGUCAUAGUUGUAUUGACUUUUAAAAUUUUUGUUUUUAAGUUAACUUAUACAAAUUUUGAUAUUAGAAUAUUAUUCUAUAAAUUAAUUAUGGUAAAUUGACAUUAAUAUUAAUGACAUAAAGUUGCUACAUUAAGGUUUUUUUAAAAAAAUUUGGAUAUAAAUAAAAUAAAAUCCUAAUAAAUUAUUUUUUUAUUGUUUGAUAUUAAUUUUUUUAUAGUUUGUAUCAAUACAAUCUAUUUUCAUAAACUAUUUUUCAUUUUUAUUAAAUUAGAAAUUAUCUUAUAUUUCAUUUAAAAAUAAUUUGUUAAUUUAUUUGUGGACCACAAAAAAGUGGCCUAUUUUGAGCACUUGUUCGAGCCUUGGGCCACAUUUAUUGGGUUUAACCCUUUUAUUUGAGAAGGUUUUAUAGUUAAUGAAUAUAAAUUUGAAAUUAUUUAACUAAAAUGAAAUAAAUUAAUAUUUAAAUUAAUUUAAUGAUGAUUAGACUCACAAUAAAACUAAAUGCAAUAAGAAUAUUUAUAAAAACUUUCUAAUAUUUAUGGGAAUUAAGCUCAUUCUAUUAAAUUAGUUUUUUUUUUAAAUAUCAAUAUUCAAAUUAAACCAAUAUCAACCUAAAAUAUCAAAUAAUUAAACAAUAUAAAUUUAUUAUGAGUUCAAUAUAUAAAAAUUAUUAUUGGAAGAUGAAAUAAAGAAUACUAUUUUAAUUUAUUGAAAAAGGACAUGCAUGAUAUUUUAGAAUUUGUUAUAAAGUCUCCAUUGAAAACCCUAACUUUUGGAAGACAAGAAAGAAGGGAGAGAGCCACCGUUUUUAGUGAGAAAGAAGAGAAGAGAGAAAAAUGCAAGUUUUUCUCAUCAGGCCCAGAUUUCAUCAAAGGUCUGAUCCCACUUUGUCCGUGGUCCGAUCGAGCUGAAAUUUGGAGGAGAGUUUCGUGACUCAUUUAUCUUCAAUCUGAACGGUGAAGAUCGGAUUUGGAGUUUCGGAAAGUCAUUAGAAAGAAAGAGGAGAAGAGAGAAAAACGUAGGUUUUUCUCAUCAUGCCCAGAUUUUAUCAAAUGUCCGAUCCCGCUUCGUCCGUGGUCCGAUCGAGUUGAAAUUUGAAGGAGAGGUUUGUGGCUCAUGUAUCUUCAAUAUGAACGGUGGAGAUCUGAUUUGGAGUUUCGGACAGUCAUUAGAGAGAAAGAGGAGAAGAGAGAAAAACUUAGGUUUUUCUCAUCGUGCCCAGAUUUCAUCAAAUGUCUGAUCCCGCUUCGUCCGUGGUCCGAUCGAGUUGAAAUUUGAAGGAGAGGUUCGUGGCUCAUGUAUAUUCAAUAUGAACGGUGGAGAUCGGAUUUGGAGUUUUGGACAGUCAUUAGAGAGAAAGAGGAGAAGAGAGAAAAACAGUGGUUUUUUUAUAUCAUGCCCAGAUUUCAUCAAAGGUUCAAUGCCGCUUUUUUCAUGGUCUGAUUGAGCUGAAAUUUGGAGGAGAGGUUCAUAAGUCAUUAAUCUUAAAUUUGAACGGUGAAGAUCGGAUUUAGAGUUUUGGAAAGUCAUCUUUCAGCCAAAAACAAAACCUUUAUUUUAUCAAAGAUGGCGCUUCCUGAAAGUGUCAUUGUUGCCUAAGACAUACAAUGACAGAGGCGAAGAGGACGCUUUAGAGAAGCGUCAUCUGUUACCUUUCUUGACGCUUAAAAAACGUCAUAGUUUCCCAUUUUUCUUGUAGUGUAUUCUCUUUUGUAAGCUUCUGCCAAUUGAAUAAGCUUCAAGAGUUAGAUCUUUCUUACAACUUAUUCCAAGGGAUCCUUCCUCCAUGUUUGAAUAAUUUGACAUCUUUGAGGUUAUUGGAUCUCUCUUCCAACCUAUUCUCCGAAAAUCUUUCUUCCCCUCUGUUACCUAAUCUCACAUCCCUGGAGUACAUCGAUCUCAGUUACAAUCAUUUUGAGGGUUCAUUCUCUUUCAGCUCUUUUACUAAUCACUCCAACCUUCAAGUGGUCAAACUUGGAAGGAAUAACAACAAGUUUGAGGUAGAAACUGAAUAUCCAGUUGGUUGGGUUCCCCUGUUUCUGUUGAAAGCUCUUAUCCUAUCCAACUGUAAGCUCAUCGGUGAUCCUGGUUUCCUUCGACACCAAUUAAGAUUAACCGUGGUUGAUCUCUCCCAUAAUAAUUAGACUGGAAGUUUCCCCAUUUGGCUGCUUGAUAACAAUACAAGACUAGGAUCUCUAGUUCUGAGGAAUAACUCUUUAAUGGGUCAACUACUUCCCCUGAGACCUAAUAGUCGUAUCACUUUAUUGGAUAUCUCAGACAACCGACUUCAUGGGGAACUUCAACAAAAUGUGGCCAAUAUGAUUCCAAAUAUUGAGUUUCUAAAUUUAUCCAACAAUGGUUUUGAAGGUAUUCUCCCAUCCUCAAUAGCCGAAAUGAGUUCCUUACAGUCAUUAUAUUUGUCUGCUAAUAGUUUCUCAGGGGAAGUACCAAAACAAUUGCUUGCGGCAAAAUAUUUGUGGCUUCUGAAAUUAUCAAAUUAUAAAUUUCAUGGCGAAAUAUUUUCAAGGGACUUUAACUUGACUCAGUUAGGGUUUUUGCAUUUGGACAAUAAUCAGUUCAAGGGAACACUGUCAAAUGUAAUCUCCAGAAUCUCUAGGUUAUGGGUGUUGGAUAGGUAACAUGACCGAUUUGACUACACUGGUGUUGGGCAACAAUAGUUUUAAAGGCAAAUUACCACCUGAGAUUUCUCAAUUGUUGGGGAUGAUAUUUCUUGACGUUUCUCAAAACGCUCUUUUAGGAUCUCUUCCUUCUUUGAAGAGCCUGGAGUAUUUAGAUACCCAGAGAUUGAUACCCAGAGAUUUUCUCAAUUCCUCAUAUCUAUUGACUUUGGAUAUCAGAGACAACAGGUUAUUUGGAAGUAUUCCCUAUUCAAUCUCUAGACUUUUAGAGCUAAGAGGAAACCUUUUAAGUGAUUUCAUUCCAUAUCAGCUUUGUCAUUUGACUAAAAUAAGCUUGAUGGAUAUUUCAAACAACAAUUUUUCUGGGUCAAUUCCCGGAUGCUUUGGUCAUAUCGGAUUUGGAGAUUUCAAAACUGAGCACAAUGUGUAUAUACCGAUGUUGGAUUCGUAUUCAGAAAGCAAUCCUUCUAUAUAUACGGGUUACUUAAUAAAAUAUUUAUUUUUCUCUAGUGAACUCCCUGAUGAAGUAGAUGAAGUUGAGUUUGUUACCAAGAAUAGGUAUAGCUCCUACAGAGUAGAUAAAAAUAUUUGUUGGGAAUUUAGAUAUUUUUAUAGGAAAGUAGACAAGUAUUCUAAUUUAUAAAAACAAUGCAUUUCUUUAGUUUGGUAUAAAAAAAAAUGAAACGAUAGGUAUUGGUAUUUUUUUUAAAGCAACAAACGUUUUAUUUUAUUUGUAUUUAAGAACAAUGUCUUUUCUUAUACUAGUUAUUUUAAUUUUCUUUUGACAGAUUUUGCAAGCUUAAGCAAUUUGGAGAUACUAGAUUUGAGUUCUAAUUCCUUAAGUGGGAUUAUUCCAUCAUCUAUAAGAUUGAUGUCUCAUCUCAAGUCUUUAUCCUUGGCCGGAAAUCAGCUCAAUGGUUCUUUACAAAAUCAAGGUACAUAUGUUAUGAUUUGUUUGUUUCAUAUGGAUUAGAGAAGAUGAAUAUUGUAAAAAAAAAGUUGUAGUUAAUGUAAGCUAGAAAUAAGUAUCUUGCCUUAUAAAUUAUAUGAGCAUGUGUUUGUUCUUAAUGAAUCUUUACAACAUUUAGAGUUACCAAUGUUUAUAAUUCAUAAAGACCUCAUUAACCGUGAGUAACAACUAAUUGUAAGUAAUUGUGGAAAAAGUAAGGAAAACAAAAUGAGGGAAAAGCAAGGAAUUAGGAAAUUAUUUUGUUCCCAUUAAAAAAUGCUAAGGAAGAAAAAGGUAAAAGAAAGUUUAAAAAAAGUGUAUUUUUCAAAAAUUUAUUUCUCUUUCCUUUAAUUUUGCUAUGGACAACCAAACAAGAAAAUUAUUUUAUAAUUCCUUUUUUAUUUUUUUCAUUCUCUCUCUCUUUUUUCCCCUACUCUAUUUCUUUUCCCUCAAACUUUCUUGGUAGUAAACACAACCUAAGAUAAAAUGGGGAAGAAAAUUUUCAGUUUUUUUUUUAUUUUUUUAGAAUGUUUUCUUACUUUUUAGUAUUUUAUGCAAAUAUAGGAAAAUUAUUUUUUUUUCUUUUUUUUUCUUGCUCCUUUUCGGACAUGAAUCACACUUUAAAAGAAAAUUAAUUUUUAAUUAGGAGUUAAGAUAAAUUUAAGGAGAAACAGUGAAUCACGAAUAACAAAAAAAUAAGGAAAUUGAAUUUUUGAAAGUAAGUAUAAUCAAAUUGCUUCAUUUGAUACAAAAUUUGAAUAAAAAUUCUUUCAAGGAAAGGAAAAAACAUUUUUGUCUCUAGAUUAUAAUACUAAAUCAUGUAAAAAAUCUCUUAACAUCAUUUAUAUUCAUAUUUAUUUUUGUAGAUUUGAAAAAUUCAACAAUUUGGAAUAAACUUAUUCAAUGAAUAAUAAUUUUUAGAUUUAAAGAUUAUUAUUUAAGAUCAUAAAUAUUACCAUGAUUGUUGAUGUCUAAGAAGAUCAUAUUCAACAAUUUUUUUAAUAUGUUGUUUUUUUAUGGUAAUUAAUUGAUGUCUUGUAAUUUUUAAUAUUUAAUGAAAAACAUUAUUUUAAUUCAUCUAGAGCUCUUAAUUCAUGAAGACCUCAUUAAUGGUGAGUAAUAGUUGGCUGUAAGUUUGGAGUCAAAGACAUGUCAAGGAGAUGAUUAGUUACAUGUCUUAUUCUCUUUUGUAGGUUUCUGUCAAUUGAAUAAGCUUCAAGAGUUAGAUCUUUCUUACAACUUAUUCCAAGGGAUCCUUCCUCCAUGUUUGAAUAAUUUGACAUCUCUAAGGUUAUUGGAUCUCUCUGUCAACCUAUUCUCCGGAAAUCUUUCUUCUCCUUUAUUACCUAAUCUCACAUCCCUGGAGUACAUCGAUCUCAGUUACAAUCAGUUUGAGGGUUCAUUCUCUUUCAGCUCUUUUGCUAAUCACUCAAAGCUUCAAAUGGUCAAACUUGGAAUGAAUAACAACAAAUUUGAGGUAGAAACUGAAUAUCCAAUUGGUUGGGUUCCCUUGUUUCAAUUGAAGGCUCUUUCGCUAGACAGCUGUAAGCUCACCGGCGACCUUCCUAGUUUUCUUCAAUACCAAUUCAGGUUAGUGGGGGUUGAUCUCUCACAUAAUAACUUGACAGGAAGUUUUCCCAAUUGGCUGCUUGAAAACAAUACGAGACUAAAAUCUCUAGUUCUGAGGAAUAACUCUUUAAUGGGUCAAUUACUUCCCUUGGAACGUAAUACCCGUAUCCAUUCAUUGGAUAUCUCACACAAUCAGUUGGAUGGACAACUUCAAGAAAAUGUGGCCCAUAUGAUUCCAAAUAUGAAAUAUCUAAAUUUAUCCGACAAUGGUUUUGAGGGUAUUCUCCCAUCCUCAAUAGUUGAACUAAGAGCCUUAUGGUAUUUGGAUUUGUCUACCAAUAAUUUCUCUGGAGAAGUACCAAAGCAAUUGCUUGCAGCAAAAGAUUUGGGGGUUUUGAAAUUAUCAAAUAAUAAAUUUCAUGGUGAAAUAUUUUCAAGGGACUUUAACUUGAUUAGGUUGGAAGUUUUGUAUUUGGGCAAUAAUCAGUUGACGGGAACUCUGUCAAAUGUAAUCUCUAAAAGCUCUUGGUUGGGGGUGUUGGAUGUGAGCAACAACUACAUGUCAGGUGAAAUUCCAAGCCAGAUAGGUAACAUGACCUAUUUGACUACACUGGUGUUGGGCAACAAUAGUUUUAAAGGCAAAUUACCACCCGAGAUUUCUCAAUUGUGGGGUUUGGAGUUUCUUGACGUUUCUCAAAAUGCUCUUUCAGGAUCUCUUCCUUGUUUGAAGACCAUGGAGAGUUUAAAGCAUCUACAUUUGCAAGGGAACAUGUUUACAGGAUUAAUACCCAGAGAUUUUCUCAAUUCCUCACAUUUAUUGACUUUGGAUAUGCGAGAUAACAGGUUAUUUGGAAGUAUUCCCAAUUCAAUCUCUGCACUUUUGAAGCAGCUAAGGAUUUUUUUGCUGGGAGGAAACCUUUUAAGUGGUUUUAUUCCAAAUCAUCUUUGUCAUUUGACUGAAAUAAGCUUGAUGGAUCUUUCAAACAACUCUUUUUCAGGGCCAAUUCCCAAAUGCUUUGGCCAUAUCCGAUUUGGGGAGAUGAAAAAGGAAGACAACGUGUUUGGACAGUUCAUUGAAAUUAGGUAUGGAAUGGAUUCUCAUCUUGUAUAUGCAGGUUACUUGGUGAAAUAUUGGGAGGACUUAAGUUCAGUAUAUAAGGGAAAAGAUGAAGUUGAGUUUGUGACCAAGAACAGGCGUGACUUCUACAGAGGUGGCAUCCUUGAAUUCAUGUCUGGAUUGGACUUAUCAUGUAACAACUUGACAGGCGAAAUACCUCAUGAACUUGGAAUGCUAAGUUGGAUUCGUGCAUUGAACUUGUCUCACAAUCAAUUGAAUGGCUCCAUUCCAAAGAGUUUCUCCGAUCUUUCUCAAAUAGAGAGCUUAGACCUUUCUUAUAAUAAAUUGGGUGGAGAAAUUCCUCUAGAGCUAGUUGAACUCAAUUUUUUAGCGGUGUUUAGUGUGGCUUACAACAACAUCUCUGGUAGAGUUCCAAAUGCCAAAGCACAAUUUGCAACAUUUGAUGAAAGCAGCUAUGAAGGUAAUCCUUUCCUUUGUGGGGAACUAUUAAAGAGGAAAUGCAACACAAGUAUUGAGUCACCAUGCGCACCAUCACAGUCUUUUGAAAGUGAGACAAAAUGGUAUGAUAUCAAUCAUGUUGUUUUCUUUGCAAGUUUUACUACUUCAUAUAUCAUGAUCUUGUUAGGAUUUGUUACCAUCCUUUACAUCAAUCCUUAUUGGCGUCAUAGAUGGUUCAAUUUUAUUGAGGAAUGUGUAUAUUCCUGCUAUUAUUUUGUUUUUGAUAGUCUUUCCAAGUUCUCAGCAUAUUUGUAUAAUUAGAUACUUUUAAUUGGAUGAUGUUUGCAUAAUUAACUACUAUUUGUUUCCAUGGGAUAAAAAGAAAUGGGAUUAUAAUUGCUAUGAGUUGAAACUUACAUACUUUGCUCAAAUUCUAACAUCUUUUGAUUUUAUUUUCAAGUUCCGUUAUUUAUUAUGUAUUGUUUAAUUCAAGAUUUAACCAUAUUAUGCUACUCUUAUAAAAACAAAUUCAAAUUUUUAGGAACUUAGCAUUAAAAUAAUUUCAUAGUCAGAUUUUUAAAAAUAAAGAAGAAAGAAAAUAAUAAAUAAUUAGAAAAACAAUUCAAGGGAGUAUUAAAUUAUUAUCUUAGAAUUGUUUGGCGUAGUAUGGGAAUUCAAAAAUAAUCUUUCAAUUUGUUAGAAAUGUUUAUUUAUUUAUUAUAGCAAUGAUUGAAAUAUCAAUCACAAAGUAAUGUUUUCUUUUCUUUUGUAGGGCACUAACAUUUUUUCUUUGAUUGUAAUAAUUGAUAAAUAUAUUACACAAUUAUUUGUUUUAAAGAGGGGAGGGAUGACAAACAUAAUAACAUGUGAAAUAUUUCUAAAACUGUGAUGGGAAAUAAACCAUCUAAUUAGGGUGCAAUAUUAUUCAUUUUAAUUUAUAUGAAUUUACUUAUUUUUAUUUCCAUCAUAUUUUGAACUAUUUUUUGAAAUUAAGGGAGAUUAAAACAUCAUGAAUUUCUUAGUUUAAUUUAUAUUUUUAAUAAUAAAGCAUGAAAUAUUUAAAAAAAAAAAAGAAAAUCAUGAAUUUCUUUAAUUCCUUAGGAAACCAAUAUAUAAAAAAAGUUGAAUAUAUUAUUAUUUUAUAUCCUAAAUUUCUAAAUUUGUUCAUCACGUAUUUAUUUUUAUAUUAAAUUUAUUAUCAAUAAUUAUUUAUUAUAUAUUAUUAUUUUAUAUUUAAAAAUGUUCAUAAAUAAUUAAAAUUAAUAAAUAUAAAAAAUGAAAUAUUAAAAAAUUAAAUUAAAAAGAUUUCAUCAAGCUAACAUAUUUUGAUAAAAAAAAAAAGAGUAAAAAAGAAGAUGGGGAUAUUAUAGAGGUGGGGAAAAAGAUAAAAGAAAAAUCAUGUGGUAUAAUAAUUGCCACGUGUUAAAGUUAUUUUCUUUAAAAAUUAAUUAUAGUAAUGAUGAACUCAUUUGUCUUAUCAAAGUAAAUAAAAAUAAAUAAAUAAAAGAAAAAAAGAAAAAGAAAAAAAGUGGUGGUUGAUUGGAGGUUAGAGAGGAGGGUUUGAAGGUAAAUUUGGAAUAUUGAUUAUUUUCACUAAGUAGAUAUUUUGAAAGUUAUUUUCAAUGUUUUAAAAACCGGACCGGCCGGUCCGACCGGUCCAACCGUCGACCGGUCACCAUUCCGGUCCGAUCCGGUCAUUUGGACCGGAUUGAGAUCGAACCGGAGUUGAACCGCUCGAACCAGCGGUUCAACCGCUGAACCGGACAAACCGAUCGGUUCCAAGGGAACCGGCCAAUUCAAAUAAUUUUAAUUUUAAAAAAAAAAUUACACAAUAAAAAUAUUACUGUGGGUAAGCUGCAAGCAUGAAAGGUAGGAUUCCAUGUUGGGCCUGUCUUGUGACAAGCCCACACACCCACUCCAAUUACCCUGGGCCUCUUUUUUGAGCCCACAAGAUCAUGCCAAGGCUUUGCUGAGGAUGGCUUUUAUAGGAGUCAUUUGACUCCUUGUUCCUCUCAUAUUCCGAUGUGGGAUUGCAUUUUAUCAAUGAAAAAAAACAUAACAAACAUAACAAAACUCCACCAACAGAAUUUGAACCUUGGACCAAUCUUUAACUCUAGUCCACCUAGGAAACCACUCGGCUACAUGUGUUUUAUCAUCUAAUGUGCCAAACAAAAUAAUAUAUAUUAGAUUUUAAAUUUUUUUAUAAUAUUAAAUAAAAAUAAUAUAAUAUUUUUAAAAAUUAUGAAAUUAGUUUAAAUUUUCAUUUUUUUUAUAUUCACAUUUAAAUAUUAUACAUAUUUCAUUUAAUAAAAUUUAAAAUAUUAAUAUGAUUUAAUUUGAUAAUAUCAAAGAUAUAAAAUAAUAUUAUUGAUGUUUAAUUUAUUCAUAUAUAUUUUAAAAUUUUUUAUAAUUAUUUUUAAUUUUAAUAAUAUAUAAAUUAUAUAUUUAUUACGUCACCGGUUCGAUAGCGGUUCGACCGCCGGUCCGACCAGUGAACCGUGAACCGGUAACUUUUCCAGUUCGAUCACCGGUCCGAUUCUGAAAACAUUGGUUAUUUUGCCUGAAACCCAUAUUGUUUGAAAAUAAAAAAUCAAAGUUUUAAAAAAAUACAAUUUUUUUGAAAUGAUGCAUGAUUAUAUCAUUCCCCUAAUAGAUUAUUUAUUCCUUUAAACUUUACUUCAAAUAAAAUAGUUUUAAUUAUUUUCUUUUUGGAAUUAUAUUUAACAUAUUAUUAAAAAUAUAAAAAACAUUUUAAUAAUAUUGUUAAUGAGUUUAUAUAUAUAUAUAUAUAUUGUAAAAUAAUUAAAUUUAAAAAUAUUUAAAUUUAGUUAUGGGCUGCCCAUUUCAAAAUAAUAAGAAUCUCGUAACCUAAUUUUUCCAAAUUCCAGGUAAAUAUGCUAAUCUAAAAAUAAAAAAUAAAAAUUAGGUUUUUAUGCUCUCCAAUCUACCACUUAAGCAUCCGACAUGGCUAAAAUAAAUUACAAAAAAAAAAAAAAAAAAAAAAGGAAAAAAAACAAAAGUGUGUGAUCCUCUUUCUCGAGUCUUCACAUUUUGAGACACUGAAACCAAAUCAAAAUUAAUCCUUCAAAUUAAUUUUCACCUCCAAACAUGGCUAUCCGAAAAACCCUAACGUCUGCCUCCUCUUCCUCUUAUCCCGGAAACCUAAAUUCCGUGACCCUAACCCCUUCUCUUUCCGAAAACCCUCCGGAAUCGGAAGAUUCAUAAUUCUUCAGAAUUAAUUUUCACCUCGAAGCCAAACCCUAACUGCCUCAUCUUCCUCUCAUUCAUAUCCCAAAAGUAGCUUCAACAGUCAGGCCUGUAGCCAUGAAAGCCGUAGUGAUCACUACUUCCGGUGAUCCCCAAGUUCUCCAAGUGCAAGAAGUCGAAAACC
rnacentral:lncRNA from 1 species